AAAUAUCUUACUAACUGAAGUUCUCUCCUUAAUAAUUCUAUUCACCAUGUCCAUAUGGCAUCUUAGCGCCGUAAAUGUUAACAUUUUCCUUAGUGUAAUCAUUGUUUUAGCUUCAAUUAAUUUGCAGAUGUCCAGUUUAGACACCUCAAACUCAAAAUCUUCUGCUUGUGACAGGCCACCACUUCCUAGUCUUUGCUCAUUUCCUUCCCAUUUAAUUAUUGUCAUCAACCUCUGAUUUUUUUAUGUCGUUAAUAGUAAAAGAAUCAUAAUUGUACUACAUUAGUUGAGCGUGGAUGCUACAAUUUAAUUUCCAUAUUCAAGUUUUUCUUAUACUUACAAAUGAUAAUGUGAGCUCUAGAUUUUCUUCUUUCAAAUUUGUGAUUAUGAGGAAGAUACUUGGAGUAGAGAGGAGCCAAACCAUAUUCAAAGUCACAGCACUGCAGAAUAUGGUUUUGUUCCACCAAGUUCAGGUCAGUUGGGUGGAAUCUUAUUAAUACUUCAAGGACACAUUUUCCAAACUUGAUGACUGCCUCUAACCUGAACUAAGUAUUUUUUUUACCAGCUUUGUGUUAAGAAAUUGUGAACGUGUUGGAUCUGCUCAUACAACCUCCCUCCAUGAUGAAUUUUAACUACUCAAUACUUGAAGGAUGGCUACUCAACUGAAUUCUAUUUAUUGGAGCACGAUUUGAGCUUUUCUUCCUUACCCAGGUAUAGUGCUAUAAAAUUUUCAGUCUAAAGAGUAUUUAUAACCCCAUAUGAAUUUUAAUGUCAGAUUCAGUUGAUUAGCAUGUGACCAUUAUUAUUUUCAGAUGGUAGCAUUUUGAAUCAUUGGAACAAUUGCAGGAGGAAGCUUUGCCAAAGCCUCCCUAUGCAAUACAUGGGCCUUUGGUUGCAAGUGAGAUUCGAGGAUUCUAUUUUCUCUUGGAAGACUUCAACUCAUUUUUUUUGAGUUUUGAACUUUGAGCUUUUACUUCCAAGCAUGUGCAAAGAAGAAAGAGAGCAACAACAAAGGUCCGCUUAUAGAAGUUUUAUAUGGAGUGAGACUCCCAUGAAAAAUAUUGUAGCUAUUGGUUUGUCAACCUUGAAGGUUAUAGUUCUGUUUCCCAUUGGAUCUUUAAGGAGUGCGUCUGUUGAAUCAUAUAUUUUGAACUUACUACUGACUUUGUGUAUAUACACACAUGUAAAUGAUGUUUUCUUCUUCAUUCAUGUGGAAUUUGAUUCUCUAGUGCAUGUUGAAAAGUUAUAAGUUUGUUCCAGGGUUUUACUUGAAGUGAGGUUAGAUAUGCCCUUUUUUUGCAUUUUGGUGUAUAAAAGAGUUUACAUCAUAGGCAAAUCACUUCCAAUCCAACUUCUUUUUAACAUUUUUGAUUCCUUUUAUCCUCCUCAAGGUGACUUAGGUGCAAAUUGGGCUUUUGGGUUAAUUUAAUAGUUUCACAUUUCUGAGUCCUUGUUUUCAAGAUUUUAAGGAGCAUUAGGUGGCUCAUGAUGAAUGCAAUUGGAUGGAUUCAGCUUCCUCAAGAUGUUUGAACAUAUACCCAAGUGAAACUCUCAAACAAGUUUUGACAUUAUUUUUGGAUAAUUAAUCAAAAUAAUAAUUUUUGAAAGAAAUAUCUAUCAAUUUUAGUCCAAUAAUUAUUUUGACUAACUAUUAAAAGUGAUUUUUAGGAUUUUAUAGAGUAAUAAGUUUUAAAAAGAAGGCAGUUUUAAAAUUUAAAAAGUGCCUUUAAGAGUCUACUUGGUAAUCUUUUAAAAAACAAUUCUCAGAUCAAUUUUAAAAAUAAGUCCAAUUAUUUUUAUAAUAAAAUAGUCUUGUUAGAAAUACUGAACAAUUGUAUUGUAUUUCAUAGGAGAAAGAAUAUACAUCAGUGCCUUUAUAUAGGAGGCAUAUGUGUGCGGUACAAGUAACCUAACUGGGCCUAAAGCCCAUAACAUAAUAUACCCAUAUAAUAUACCCAUAAUAUACAUUAACAGCCCCCCUCAAACUCAAGGUGGAUGUGAGACCAACUUGAGGUUGUCAAUUAAAUCACGAGUACGUCUUGUAGGAAGUGACUUGGUGAAGAUAUCUGCAAGCUGAUCUUUGAAGGAGACGAAGAAAAGCUUAAGAGCACCAUGGACAAGAUGAUAACGGAUAAAAUGACAAUCAAUCUCGAUGUGUUUAGUCCGUUCAUGAAAGACAUCAUUGUGAGCAAUAUGAAUGGCACUCUGGUUGUCACAAUAAAGGGGAGUAGCAGAGGAGGUGGACACACCCAAAUCCUUAAGAAGCCAUCUUAGCCAAAGGAGCUCAGAUGUGGUAUCAGCAAGGGCACGAUAUUCUGCUUCAGUACUGGAGCGGGCCACAAAAGUUUGUUUCUUACUUCUCCAAGAAAUCAAAGAAGAACCAAGAAGGAAGCAGUAACCUGUAGUGGACCUGCGAUCAGUAGGAUCUCCUGCCCAAUCAGCAUCAGAGAAUGCACGGAGUACAAGAGGAGAUUGAGCUGAGUAGAAAAGGCCAUGAAAAAUGGUACCCUUCAGGUAUCGAAGAAUGCGCAGAACAGCAGCAUAGUGAGUUGAUCGUGGAGCAGACAAAUACUGGCUCACCUGAUGAACAGCAUAGGAGAUGUCUGGACGAGUAACUGUGAGAUAAACUAAGCUGCCAACCAAUCGUCUGUAAAGAGAAGGAUUGGACAAUGGUUUCCCCCCGGAGGGUGUCAGAUGCGCAUUAAGUUCGAUUGGAGUGUCAACAUUCUUACUGUCAGUGAGUCCGACUUGAGACAGCAGAUCAGAAGCAUACUUGGCUUGAGUAAUAUAAAGACCAUAUGUGGAAUGAGUAAUUUCAAGACCCAGGAAAUAGCUGAGAUGUCCAAGAUCUUUCAUCUCAAACUGCUGACUGAGAAAAUCCUUGAGUUCUUGAAUGCCACUAAGGUCAUUACCAGUUAUGAUCAUAUCAUCCACAUGUAGAAGAAGCAAAAUAGUGCCUUUAUCAGUACGAUGAAGAAAUAAGGCAGAAUCAUACGGACUGGCAGUGUAACCCAAGCGAAAAAUAGUGGAGCUGAACUUGGCAAACCAAGCUCGUGGGGCUUGUUUAAGACCAUAAAGUGCACGUCGAAGAUGACAAACCUUGUUUGAUUCAACAAAGAGACUAGGAGGAGGUUGCAUAUAGACUGCUUCACUCAGAUCCCCAUUAAGGAAGGCAUUUUUAACAUCCAUCUGAAAAAGGUCCCAUUGACGAGCAGCAGCAACAGCUAAGAGAGCACGAACAGAUGAGAUACGAGCAACUGGAGCAAAAGUCUCUUCAUAAUCAAUCCCAUAUUCCUGUGUAAAGCCUUUGGCAACAAGACGAGCCUUGUAGCGCUCAACGGAUCCAUCAGAGCGAGUCUUGAUCUUAUAGAUCCACUUACAACCAACCACAGACUGUCCAGGAGGGAGAGGAACCAGGUCCCAAGUAUGGUUUUUGGUUAAUGCAUCAAGUUCCUCUUUCAUAGCAAUCUGCCAUAAAGGGUCAGUAGAGGCCUCACGAUAGGUUUGAGGCUCGUGAAGUGUAGCAAGGGCAGUGUAACAAUGAUAGUCAAGUAGGUGUGGAGGAAUGGAUCUUACCCGGGUUGAGUGGCGAGGUGGAAUGUCUUGUGGAGGAUCUUCAGGCAGAGUAGGAGCAGGGGACCCAGUCUCAAAGUGGGGUAGCUCGUCAUCAAUCUGUUCAUCUGCAACCUGUCUAGGAGAAGCAUCAAAAAUAUCUGGAGAGAAGUCCAAAGGAGGAUCAAAAGUAUUUGUAGAAGGAACAAGAGACUCAUCUGGAAAGAUUUCUAAAACAGAGGAGUUAGUCAAGGAAGAAUGAAAGUGAGAGAGUUCAACAAACAAUCGAUGUUCCCAAAAAACAACAUUAUGAGAAACACGAAGACGAUGAGAGACAGGAUCAUAACACCUAUACCCCUUUUGAGUUUCACCAUAACCAAGGAAACAACAGAGUCUAGAGCGAGGCUCAAGUUUGUUGUGCUCAUGAGACUGAAGAAGAACAAAACAAGCAGAUCCAAAUGAGCGAAGGUGAUGAUAGACAGGGGGUGACCCAAAGAGACGCUCAUACGGAGUCUGAUUAUGGAUGACAGCACUUGGAAUACGGUUAAUUGCAUGAACAGCAUGAAGAGCCGCUUCACCCCAAAAUGGGGCAGGAAUUUUGGCAGAAAGAAGCAGAGCACGAAUAGUGUCAAGAAUAUGACGAAGUUUUCUUUCGGCUCGACCAUUUUGCUGAGAGGUACCUGGACAAGUUAGAUGAUGUACAAUGCCAUAGGAAUGUAACAGAGCUUGAAACGCAUGUUGAGUAUAUUCAAGAGCAUUAUCAGAUCGAAAAGUUUUGAUACGUUUGGAGAAUUGUGUUUCAAUCAUUUUUGCAAAAUUGCUAUAUAUUGAUAAAAUUUCGGAACGAGAUUUCAUAGGGAAAAUCCAACUAUAACGAGAAUAAUCAUCAAUAAAAACAACAAAGUAUCGAGAUCCACCAAUACUAGCAACAGGAGAAGGUCCCCAAACAUCAGAAUGAAUUAACUCAAAAAUACUAUUAGAAAUGGAUUCACUGUUAUUAAAAGGCAAAGCUGGCUGUUUUCCUAACUGACAAGAAGUACAAUAAAAAAUGUCUUUAGACACAGAACCCAACAGACCCCUAGACACUAACUGUUGUACCCGAGAAGAUGAUGCAUGACCAAGACAAAAAUGCCAAAGUGCAAGAGAAGGUAAGGAAGAAACUGCAGCAGCUGCAGUAGCAAUAGAAACAGAAGCAACAGGUGGAAGAUGAAGAUUGCUCACGGGAAACAUACACCCAACUCUAGGACCGGUCCCAAGCUCCUGCCCCGUCCUUGGAUCCUGCACAAUACACCCAGAAUAGUCAAAAAUAAGGCGAUGACCUAGUUCAGCUAAUUGUCCCACAGAGCACAAAUUAUAGGAUAGGUCAGGAACAUGGAAGACUCCAGGAACAGAAAGAUUAGAGGUUGAAACAAAACCUAGACUAUUCCCAUGCAUGGUGGAACCAUCAGCUAUAUGAAUAUUUAGAGGAUGUGGUGCAGGGUCAAGUUUGGAGAAUAGGGAUGAGUGAGGUGUCAUGUGAUUGCAGCAGGCAGAAUCAAAAAGCCAAGUUUGAGACUUACCAGGUAGAACAGAUAAGGUAGUGGAAAGAGAUGCAUUACUAGCCAUACGAACAGCCUGAGCUAUGAUCUCCUGUAGUUCAGUGGAGGAGAGGUUGAUAGUAGAUCCAGAAGACUUGGACUCAACUGAGGUGGAAGCCAUUGGCGGAGUAGGCUCAAUAUUAGCAACAGCAGCAGUAGAUUUGUUACGACGGUAACAAGUCUCAAUGGUGUGGCCAGGACGCUUGCAAUAGUUGCAGAACUUUUUGUUGGUCUGCUUGCGACGAUUGCUAGAACCAUAAGAAUCACCUGAUUGCUGGGGUUGCUCUAUGAGUGGAGUAGAUGGAGUAAUAGCCAAAACAUUGAACUUAUUCUGGGCUUGAAGGGUUGCAAGACAAGCUUCUUCUCUAACCAACUCAUUUACAGCAGUAUCAAGAGAGGGAGUAGGACUGCGAUUGAGUAGCUGACCACGAAUGGGCUCAAAGUCCUUGUGAAGUGACAUCAAGAAUUCAUAGAGGCGAAAUUCAUCUCUAAUGGAAGCAUAUUGCUGAGCAUCUUUUGAGCAUGUCCAAGUUGGAUCAGAAAGGUCAAUUUGGUCCCAAAUAAAGCGAAGCUGAUCAUAAUAGUCAUUGAUGGAUUGCCUUGGUUCUUGCCUGAGUUGAUGUAAUUCAACCACUAAUUGAUAUUUUAGGGAUCCAUGAGUAGUGGAGUACCUUUUGGCCAACAUAUCCCAUGCAGAUUUUGCAUCAUCAAAGCUGCCCAUCAGAUUGGAAAUAGAGGGAAUGGAAGUGUUCCGAAUCCAUGUGAGGAUCAUGUGGUUAUGACUAUCUCAUUCAAUCAUGCGAUUAAGAAAAACAGCAUCUCCUUCACUUGCUCCCUUGACAGGAAUAGUCAUUACACCAGUACAAUAAUGCCAGAGCAUGCGACCCUUAAGAAAACUGCGCAUAGCUUGAGACCAAGAUAAGUAAUUUUUAUUUCCCUCCAAUACAGUAUUGAUGGGGCUAGAAAGAAAAAUAUCCUUUUUAUCCAUUUAGAGACACAAUAUGCAAAAACAGACUGCAAAAGUGAAAUCUACGCGAAAAACUGGGUAAGGAGAACCUGGUCAGCCCUGGAAAAGUCAACGGUCAACACUGGUAAAAGUCAACGGUCAACAUUGGUCCACGUGGGGGUCACGGUCAAAGUCAACGGUCAACGAUGGCAAAGUCAAUGGUCAAAGCGGGUCAACGGUCAACGCUGGUCAACGGAUGACGUGGAGAUGAUGUCAGCUAGGGCUAACGUGGCACUGACGCGUUAGUAGUUGUGACGUAGCUAGGGCUGACGUGGCAGAGAGAAUGACGUACGGGCUCCGAGGGCGACGAGGUUUCCACGAAUGUGUAGAUCGGCGUUGGACGAUCUCAGUGGUACCGUCAAAAUUGAAAUCGGAGCAAUAUUCGCAGCGGUGAUGCGAAAAACAGUGAUCUUGUGCGGUGUGAAACUCCUUAAGGACUGCAGGUCCGGAACCCAAGGACGACGCCUGGAUGACGUCAGAGGUUCAACGGCAAAAGGCUGUGACGACAGUUGUGAUUGGCAGAAGCGUUAAAAAGAAAGGAAGUCACACUAAUGAAGACAGACUGCUAAGAAAGGGUCAGAGCAGUGGCUCUGAUACCAUGUUAGAAAUACUGAACAAUUGUAUUGUAUUUCAUAGGAGAAAGAAUAUACAUCAGUGCCUUUAUAUAGGAGGCAUAUGUGUACGGUACAAGUAACCUAACUGGGCCUAAAGCCCAUAACAUAAUAUACCCAUAUAAUAUACCCAUAAUAUACAUUAACAAGUCUUCUUAAUUCAUAAAGGUCAAAAGUUCCUAUUUUCUAUAUUUUAUAUGGAUGCAAAGGACGCUCUAUACUAUUUUAAAAAUCUAUCCCCAGAAGUUAUUUUGAUUAGGUUAUUUUUAAAACGCUUUUUCUUUUUUUUUUUUAAAAAAAAGGAUAAGUUAUUUUUAAAAAUAAUUUUUUAUUUUGAUUUUGUAAAAAACAAAUUGUUAAUUCAAUUUAAAUAAUAUAAAAUAAAUUUAAUUCAAGUAUUAUUAAACAAAAAAAUAAUUUUUUAAUUACAAAUAAACUAAAAUAAAUAAAUAGUUUUUAAUAAAAUAUGAAUAAUAAUAUUAUAAUAAAUCAUAAAUUACAUUUUUUUUAUAUAAAUAUUAUUAAAAUAUAGAUAUUAACAUCUUAUAAAAGCAUUAUUUAUUUUGUUGAAACUAAAUAACAAUAAUAUAAAAUUAAUAAUUGCUAAUACUAUUUUUAAAAAUCAUUAAACUUAUGACUUUGCUUUUAAAAAAUUGUACUCAAGAACAACAACCAAACAAUGGUAUUAAUUUUUAAAAACAAUUUUAUUUUUAAAUCAUAAGCCCAAAUAGUUUUUUAUUAUUUAGCAAAACAAAAAACCCUCAAAGUUGUUUUUUUCUUAAUUGAAAAUAAAAAAUUAUUUUAAAUUCAGAUUUAAAAGAAGGAAAAUAAAAUAUUAUUUUAAACUAUACAUAAAUAUUGCCUUUUUUUUUCAUUCCCGUUCCAUUAUUACUUAACAUUAAAAUGGAAAUUAACAAAUAUACAUCCAAGUACAAGAAUUGAAAUAACCAAAUUAUUCAUCCCUAUUCAAUGACAAGUAAGAAUGGAAAGAAAAUUUUCAUUCUCAGUACUUAUUCUCAUGUACCAAAUAUUAUCUCAAAGAUUUGAGACCCUUAAUGAAGUUAAUGUUCUUCGGACCUUUUUACUAUUAAAUUUUAGGACUUGGCCUCAGUAUGAUAAGAUUUCAAAGGUUAUAUAUCCAUCGGAUGGGCGUAAAUAUCUUCUACAGAUAUGCUUGAGUAAUAGAGUUUUGGAGUGAUUUAUUAAUAAAGUCCAAUAUUUACCGAGUGUUGUCACUGUGAUAUUUAGACCUUACCUCCACAUCCACCAAAAGUUAUUUGAAUCAGUUUGCAGUUUGUAUAACUUACCAACAUUGAUACUAUAUUAUUGUGGUUCUCUUGUUGAAUUGCCUGCAGUGAUGUGCAAAUUGAUUAGGUUGCAUCAUCUUGAUAUUAGUCAUAGUGGAAUGCACGAGAUGCCAAGUCAAAUGGAUCACUUUUUACAAAAAUUGAGUAACUAUAGAGCGGGCAAGCAAAGUGGGAACAGGGUUGCAGAGUUGAGGGAGCUUUCCCACAUUGGUGGAAGUUUUCAAGUGGUGCGGGUGGUGGUAGAGGUAGAGGGUAUGCCUUCAAGUGGGUCCUCUAGACCACGAGUUGGAGUUCAUGCACGCGUUCUUUAAUUUUGAAGGAUUUGCAAAGAAACUUUCAAAUAUCCAAAAUCUUAAAUUAAAAAAAUAAAAAAAUAAAAAAAAUAAAAAGGACCCAGUAGAAUAAUUUUGUAUCAUAGGAAUAAGAGUUGAAUCCACCAAUCAGCAAGAAUAAUUAUUAAAUGAAUCAACCGUAUUGAGACAAAAAGUCUUCAGGUGUGAAACGCUUGAGACUUUCCCAAAGGCAAAAUCAUUCAAUAGAAAAAGGACUCCAGCUACAAGCAAAACAAAGGGGCAAAUGUAUAUAAAGAUAAAAGUCUGCAUUCAUUCCCAAUCUUCCUUGGAUCAACUGUAGACCACAGGGCACGCCUCAACCCCGCAAAGGAUACUCAUUUCCUUCACCUUGAUCAACAGACCCUUCACUCUUUUUCUUAUACGUCCUCCUGGCUGUGUCAUUCAUUAUCCAUUGGAGCUUGACCUUCUUCCUCCCCAUAGCCUGAUGUUUACUUGGAUCUGUCACCAAGAAUAUCAAAAUAUCUUGCUUUCCCAUUGAUUUAUGGGUCUUCUUAUAGACAUAAAAGCGCCUGUAAGAGGGGGUGCAACCCUUUGAAUGGACAAUAAAAGCUAAUCCUUGGAAAUUUUUGUUUUGGGUAUAAAUGAUCAUUAUUUCGAUUAUUUUUAUUUAUAUUUCUGGAUUGCACUCAGUGACAGGUUUUUAAGACUUAAUCCUUUACAGAUAUUGUGUUUUCUAGAUCUAAUUGAAUCUAAAGUUUUUUUUUUUCCCAAAAUUUGUUUCCUAUUUAUUAUGGUCAAGUCCAAAUUGAGUAAUACAACAUCACUUGUAAUAAAUUAAGUAAUACAACAUGCCACUACCUAUUUUUCCUUAGAUUUUAUUUUCAAACAGUAAAAAAGCAAGUUGAUACGAUCUAUUUUACCUUAAAUUUUAUUUUCGAAAACUAAAAGAAAGUUGACACGACCUAUUUUUCAUUAAAUUUUAUUUUCAAAAAUAAAAAACAAGUUGACACAACCUGUUUUUUCUUAAAUUUUAUUUUUGAAUAGCAAAAAAUAAUUUGAGAUGGACUAUUUUUCCUUAAAUUUAUUUUCAAAUAGUAAAAACCAAGUUGAUAUCAUAGUAACUUAUCCUAUUUAUCAUGCUCAAUUCCAAAGUGAGUAAUAUGACAUAACUCAUGAUAAAUUAGGUAUGAUAAAUUAGGUGAUAUAACAUGACCUAUUUUUCCUUUGAUUUUAUUUUCAUACAGUAAAAAGCCAAAUUGACAUGACUUACUUUUCUUUAUAUUUUAUUUUCAAACAGUAAAAAAACAAGUUGACAUGACCUAUUUUUUUCCAUAAAUUGUAUUUUUGAAUAGUAAAAAAAAGAAAAUUGAUGCCACCUAUUUUUUCUUAAAUUUUAUUUUUUGAAUGUUAAAAAUCAUAAUAACACGACCUAUUUUGCUUGAAAUUUAUUUUUGAAUAGUAAAAAACAAGUUGAUACCAUAGUAACCUAUCCUAUUUAUCAUGGCCAAUUCCAAAUUGAGUGAUAUGACAUCACUCAUGAUAAAUUAGGUGACACAAUAUGACACGACCUAUUUUUUUUACAUUUUAUUUUCAAACAGUAAAAAAAAUAAAUUGACAUGAUCUAUUUUUCCUUAGAUUUUAUUUUCGAAUCGUAAAAAUACAAGUUCACAUAACAUAUUUUUCCAUAAAUUUUAUUUUCAAAGAGCAAAACACAAGUUGGCACGAUAUUUUUGAACGGUUUGCAAGGACUGCCCUCUCCUACCAGUAGUAGAAUCUUAGGUCUUUAAAAAAAUUAGAGAUCUAUGACUAGCCCAAGCUCCAAUCCUUAACAUAAGAGCAACUGCCCCCCAACCUUUUUGUUUUAACAAUCCAGAAGUGCCCACUGCUAAAAGGUCAGAGCAGAAGUUUUGGACAAGGAAAGAUUAACAUCAGAUAACACAUAUUCCACACAUUGUGAUCGAUGACCAAGUUUUAUAAUGAAGGUAGCAUUACACCACUUUUUAGUCAAGUACUGGUUUUGUCCUAAAAGUAAUUUUCUCAAGAAAACUGAUAUGCUUAAAUACCAAUUUUAAUUUGAACAAUUAUAAAUAGGAAAAAAUAUGCUUUAAAUUUUCUAAUUUUUAUAAUAAUUUCUUGUUUUCUUUCAAGUUAUCAGUGAUUCUUCACUCUUAUAAAUUGAUGUUUCAUAUCUUCAUAAGAAAUCUUCUUUUAAUCAAUAAUGUCUUAUUAAAUGCUUCAUAUUAUCAAGGAGCACAAUAUGCAUAUUGAACCAAAAUCCUCCAACCUUAAACUUUUAGGAAAAUUGGUAGUUUAAUAUGGUAUCAGAACUUGGUUUUGUAGGGGGUUAUGAGUUUGAGUCAACUCUCCGCAAUUUGCAUAUUUGUUUCUCUCAUUUGUUUCUUUUCUCCCUCUUUACAAUUCUUUAGUAUCUCUCUCCCUCAAUUUGCAAUUCUAUGGUAUUUCUCCACACGAGGAAGGGUGUUAAGGAGCAUGAUAUACAUUUUGAACCCAAAUCCUCUAAACUUAGUUUUUUUAAGAAAAAUGAUAGUUCUACCAAAAAGUCAAGCAAUUUUGCAUGUCUAGUUUCAUAACUUGUGUCUCUUGUAUAACUUUAUGGACCUUGAAUUCGUAACUUGUGUUUCUUGUAUAAUUUUGUGUACCUUAAAUUCAUUUUUAUUAGCUAACUCACUGAAACCUCGUGGCAAGCCUUUGAUCCUAGUUUUCUCAACAAAUUCGAGCUAUCUAGCAGACAAUUUUUAUCAUCUAAAGACCAAUAUAUAAUUUAUAUGUUACUUGAGGAAUUAGAGAAAGCUCGACUUUGUUGGAGAGUGGAGUGGAGUAUGCAGCUUGUUCUGUGAUUCCAAUUAGUAAGACAUUUCAAUUCCUUUAUUUUAAGUUUCUAAGCUACAAACUACAAUGAUUUACAAUUUCAUAUGCAUUAUUUUUCAGGUUCUCUAUGUUAAUAUCUUAGUUCUUCUUUAGAAACAAUUGGUAUGUUUCUUUUGAUUCAUACUUUUCAUAAAGAAAAUUGUCAAAAAUUUAAUUUUCUUUCUUUUCACUUUUUCAUGUAGAAUCAAACAAGAAUAUUUUUUUUUUUUUUUACUAUGUUUGUGCUCCUUAUCUUUUUUCUUUAUGAUUUUUUUCCUUCAAACUUUUAAGAAAUAAAAAAUUAUUUGGCUUACAUUUAUAAAAUAUAGUCAUAUAGUAUAAUAUAAUAUUGUGUAGGCUCUGAGCUGAUACGAUAUUCAUAAGGCCUUAGCUCAUGGCCAAUAUGCAAGUUUAGAUUGAAUUAGAAUUUCCAAACUUUAAUAUUUUUUAGAUUGGCUUUAAAUUGAAUUGUGUUUAAAUUCCUAGUUUCAAGAGACCUAAAAUGGUGGUGAUCUUUUUGAUUCAUUGAUAUUUUUUUUUUUUUUUUUUUUUUUUUGCUUUUUUCAAUCAAGAUAGAAAGUAUAUCAAUUUUAUUAAUUAAUAAAAGAUGUUCUCUUUGCAAAGCAAAAGACAUGGCUGUGGUUGGAGAAGAAACAUAUUGAGACAACUUAAAAUAAUUUUGUUUCUAGUUGGAAUUUUGCUUUCAAAACUUAUAAAAUUGGUAAGUUAAGGGGUUAAAUUGAGAUAUGAAUUUCCGUGUAUGUUGGUUUUUCAGAAUUUAUCAUAAAAAUGAAUACAGUGAAGGAAAAGGAGAGGGAAUGAAAAAGAAGGGGGGAAAAAGAGAGUUAGGAUUGACUAGGGUUUUAGAUGAGUGUGGUGAUAAAAAUGAUGGGUUAAGUCCCCCAUUCAAAUAGAUGUAAAAUCAUAUAACAGGGGAUCAUUCUUGAUAAAGAUCAAGAAACUAACAGCUUCAACAACUCCUCAACAAACUGAUGUAUUGAUCAGUUAGAUAGUUACACCUGCAAGCAGCUAGAACUCAAUCAAGAUUUUAUUCACUGGAGAAGAUUUGAUAGAAUGAUUCGCAGCUGGAUAUAUUCAUCCCUUACUCCUGAAAUUAUGGGACAAAUAGUAGGGCACUAGACAUCUCAUGCAGCAUGGACUGCAUUAGAGAAAAUUUUCUCUGCUUCCUCAAAAGCACAGAUAAUGCAACUAAGGCUGGAGUUCAAACCACUCGGAAAAAGAUCUCUUUCCAUGAUGGAAUAUAUACUCAAGCUCAAGACACUAACCGAUAAUUUGGCUGCCAUUGGAGAACCGGUCACAGAGAGAGAUCAAGUUUUGUAGCUUCUUGGUGGUCUUGGAGCUGAAUACAGCCCCAUAGUGGCGUCUCUCACAGCUUGAGAAGAUGAAGUAUCUCUCCACUCUGUCCACAGCAUUAAUUCUGCUCACACAUGAGCAGCGCCUCCAAUUUCAAAACUCCAUCAUAGAAAAAGAAACUCUAUCCACUCAUAUUGCUUCUCACAGUCGAACUACUCAAUCAAGAACAUCCCAGAAUAACAGAAAUAAUUUUUCUCUUCACCAACAGAAUGGUUUUUCUCAUCCUUCAAGAAGAGGACACCCAGGAGGUCAUGGACAAGAACAUGUUUAGUGUAACAAUAUCCAUAUUAUGUUCAUUCAUAUCUCAAAUAUUAAAGCUAUAUUAAAACUAUUAAUAUUGUAAAUAUUAAUACUUAUUCUUAUAUAUUCUUAAAUAAGAUAUUGAUAGAUAGUGACUAAGUAUAUCCCGAACAAAUACUAUAAUAAUGUGCAAAAUAAAUAUAACAUGUGUUUAUUUUAUAGAAAAGUUUGAUUUAUAUAUAAUUUCACAUAUUUUAUAGGAUAUCUCUCAAAUCUUAUGACAAACAUCUUGAAUAUUCAUAAAGUUAAUUUCAUUAUUCAUUUAUUAUAAUAAUAAUAUUCAAUUUAUUUUUUAGUUAAUUAUAUCUUUAUUAUUUGACUUUUCUCAUUUAUGUUGAAUAUUAUAAUGAUAAUAUUAAAUUUAUUUUUUAAUUACUUAACUAUAACUAAUAUGAUUAUCACUUAUGUUGAUUGCUGAAAAGUUAAAUUGUAAUUAAACAGUAAAAAGUUAAACAGGGGCUUCCCACCUCUAUUUCUUUUCUAAAAAUGAGCUACUAUCUCCUGGUGAAACAUCAAUACCAAUUCUGGAAAGGGGAAGAUUUGCAGCAUAUAGCUCACAUUCCACGCAUUGUGGUGGACGAUCAACAAGGUUCUUAUAAUGUGCUAUAAAUGAUUUUCUUCAAAAGGCAGUAAUUUGUGAUCAAAACUUUUUAUAUCAGCUUUGCCUUAAGGAAUUGUGAAUCAAUCCGAUCUACUCAUACCGCAACUCUAUAAAUUUUCUUCCCUGUUACUUUGUGUAAGGUUAUGUUUGGUUUCCGGAAAGUAUUAAGGAAGGAAAAAAAAAUGCUAAUAGCCCAAAGGAGAAGUAUAAUAAAGAUCGGGGCAUUAAUGGAUGAGAUUGCCUGAUCAAGCGGGCCUAAUCGGGGCCCUUAACAUAUGGGCUUGGACAGCACUAAUUCUGGUCGGAAUAGGCAGGCUUAGGUUGGUGGGAAGAGUCUUGUCCCAGUGGAAGGGCCAAUGCUAGGUAGCCUGGCCCGAAGCUUGUUUUUCCUUUCUUUUUUUUCGUCUCGGUCGGAAGCUUCUCUUUUUUAAGAAUGGGUUCCACAAUUAACACUGCCUAUCCACUAGGUGUGCUAAAUGGUCAGCCGGCCUUAUCAGGAAUCUUGCAUAUUAUACUCAAAUUGUCGCAACUUGAAUGAAGGGACAACCCCAAAGGUCUUAUCCUUUCAAUGUUUUACAUAUCAGAUAGGUGAUUUUGUUAAAAUAUAUUAUAUAUUAUAGACUAUUGAAGGGCAGGCUUAAUCCCUACCACUCAUAUUUACACAUUCAGAAAAACAAAAAUCAAUGAUUCUGCAAUUUUGUUUUUGGCAGCCAAAUUGCUAGUCACAUGACUGAGAAUUCUUUGUCACUAGUUAAUAUUUUUUCUUCUUUACUGGCCCUUGUGUUUGGUUAAGAAUAGGGAAGUUGCAGUGCGUUUCAUAUCAUAAACCGAAAUUCUACAGUUUGGUUUGCAUCUGCUUAAGUAUUUGUUUACCAUAUGUUCAAUAAUGUGGACAUACCUGUAGGUGGAAAAUAUUCUUAUUUGUUUAUGUGGACAUUUGGACUAUUAAUAGACUAACUGACAGGCCAUGUUCAUCCGCCUCUUUAUUGUAUCUAGGGGCCGCCCUAUUUGGUGACAAGGUUCUUCGUUGUUGACCAAAACUAGUCUGCUUGAUUUGCAUCUGCUUUCAUUCAUUUUUCUUUGAUCCAGUAUUCACUUCCCUUGCAAACCAACAGACAUGGCCGGGGCUAUAGUAGGAGGAGCAUUUCUCUCCGCUUCUAUCCAAGUUCUACUUGACCGAAUGGCUUCUCGCGAGGUCCUCACCUUCCUCCGGGGACAGAAACUCAGUGCUACGCUCCUAAGGAAGUUGAAGAUAAAAUUGCUGGCAGUUCAGGCAGUGCUCGAUGACGCUGAGGCCAAGCAAUUCACAAAAUCAGCUGUAAAAGAUUGGCUGGAUGACCUGAAAGAUGCUGUGUAUGAUGCAGAGGACCUGUUGGAUGAGAUAACCACCGAAGCUCUUCGCUGCAAAAUGGAGUCUGAUGCUCAAACCAGCGCAACUCAGGUAAGUGACAUCACCUCUGCCUCGCUUAAUCCGUUUGGUGAGGGGAUCGAGUCCAGGGUAGAGGAGAUCACUGACAAACUAGAGUAUCUUGCACAAGAAAAAGAUGUUCUGGGAUUGAAAGAAGGCGUUGGAGAAAAAUUGUCACAAAGAUGGCCCACGACUUCCUUGGUAGAUGAGUCUGGGGAGGUGUACGGAAGGGAAGGUAAUAUACAGGAGAUAGUUGAAUAUUUAUUGUCCCAUAAUGCAAGUGGGAAUAAGAUAAGUGUGAUCGCCCUGGUGGGUAUGGGCGGUAUUGGAAAGACCAUACUUACUCAACUGGUGUAUAAUGAUAGGAGGGUGGUGGAAUGUUUUGAUCUUAAAGCUUGGGUUUGUGUUUCCGAUGAAUUUGAUCUUGUCCGGAUAACGAAAACCAUUCUUAAGGCAAUCGAUUCUGGGGCUUCUGAAAAAUAUUCUGAUGAUAGUGAUUUGAAUCUGCUUCAACUUAAAGUGAAGGAGAGACUUAGUAAGAAGAAAUUCUUUCUUGUCCUUGAUGAUGUUUGGAAUGAAAACUAUACUAAUUGGCAUAUGCUACAAACUCCAUUCACCGUUGGUCUAAAUGGAAGUAAGAUUAUUGUAACUACACGUAGUGAUAAGGUUGCAUUGAUCAUGCGUUCAGUUCGUAUUCAUCAUUUGGGACAGUUAUCCUUUGAGGAUUGCUGGUCGCUAUUUGCAAAACAUGCAUUUGCAAAUGGAGAUUCUAGUCUACAUCCAGAACUAGAAGAAAUUGGCAAAGGGAUUGUAAAGAAGUGUAAAGGAUUGCCUUUGGCUGCAAAGACCCUAGGGGGUGCCUUAUACUCAGAGUUACGAGUAAAAGAAUGGGAAUUUGUAUUGAACAGCGAAACGUGGGAUUUACCGAAUGAUGAAAUUCUCCCCGCCUUAAGGUUAAGCUAUUCUUUUCUUCCUUCACAUUUAAAGCGGUGUUUUGCAUAUUGCUCAAUUUUUCCUAAGGACUAUGAAUUUGAAAAGGAAAAUUUGAUUCUAUUGUGGAUGGCAGAAGGCUUUUUGCAACAAUUUGAAAGCAAGAAAACAAUGGAAGAAGUAGGUGAUGGGUACUUUUGUGACCUAUUAUCAAGGUCAUUUUUUCAGAAGUCCAAUAGUCGGAAAUCAUAUUUUGUAAUGCAUGAUCUCAUUAACGACUUGGCUCAACUUGUUUCUGGAAAAUUUUGUGUUCAAUUGAAGGAUGGUAAUAUGAAUGGAAGUCUUGACAAGCUCCGCCAUUUAUCAUAUUUUAGAAGUGAAUAUGACCGGUUUGAGAGAUUUGAGACCCUGAAUGAAGUUAAUGGUCUUCGUACCUUCUUUCCUUUGAAUUUGAGAACUUGGCCUCGAUCGGACAAGGCUUCAAAAAAGAGAAAUCUAAAUGCUGCUAAGUAUGUUGUAGAUUUUCGGUUGAGUAAUAGAGUUUGGACCGGUUUAUUAUUGAAACUUCAAUAUUUACGAGUAUUAUCAUUGUGCUACUAUAAGAUAACGGAUUUGUCUGAUUCAAUUGGUAAUUUAAAACAUUUGCGCUAUUUGGACCUUACUUUUACACUCAUCAAAAGGUUACCGGAGUCCGUUUGUAGUUUGUAUAAUUUACAAACAUUGAUAUUAUAUCAUUGUGAAUGUCUUGUUCAAUUGCCUAAAAUGAUGUGCAAAAUGAUUAGCUUACGUCAUCUUGAUAUCAGGCAUAGCAAAGUGAAAGAGAUGCCAAGUCACAUGGGUCAAUUAAAAAGUUUACAAAAAUUGAGUAACUACAUAGUGGGCAAGCAAAGUGGGACAAGGGUUGGAGAGUUGAAGGAGCUUUCGCACAUUGGUGGCAGUCUUGUCAUUCAAGAGCUGCAGAAUGUGGUUCAUGCUAAGGAUGCCUCAGAGGCCAAUUUCGUAGCUAGGCAAGCAAUAUCUGGAUGAGCUAGUGUUCGAAUGGAAUCGUGGUAGUGAUGUUGAACAAAAUGGAGCAGAGAUAGUGCUCAACAACUUACAAACUCAUUCAAACUUAAAGAGACUCACUAUUUAUGGUUACGGUGGUUCAAGAUUUCCAGAUUGGUUAGGAGGUCCUUCAAUUCUGAAUAUGGUGUCGCUACGUCUCUGGAAUUGUAAGAAUGUGUCAACCUGCCCACCGCUUGGGCAGCUACCCUCUCUUAAACAUUUAUAUAUAUUGGGGUUGGAGGAGAUAGAAAGGGUGGGCGCUGAGUUUUAUGGGACUGAGCCCUCCUUCGUGUCCCUAAAAGCUCUAUCAUUUCAGGGUAUGCCAAAAUGGAAGGAAUGGUUGUGCAUGGGAGGCCAAGGAGGAGAAUUCCCUAGUCUCAAGAAGCUUUAUAUAGAGGAUUGUCCCAAGCUAAGGGGGGAAUUACCAACCCAUUUGCCUUUUUUGACCACAAUAAGGAUUCAAGAAUGUGAGCAGUAUGUGGCUCCACUUACAGGGGUUCCAACCAUNNNNNNNNNNNNNNNNNNNNNNNNNNNNNNNNNNNNNNNNNNNNNNNNNNNNNNNNNNNNNNNNNNNNNNNNNNNNNNNNNNNNNNNNNNNNNNNNNNNNUAAAAGCUCUAUCAUUUUCAGGGUAUGCCAAAAUGGAAGGAAUGGUUGUGCAUGGGAGGCCAAGGUGGAGAAUUCCCUCGUCUCAAGAAGCUUUAUAUAGAGGAUUGUCCCAAGCUAAUUGGGGACUUACCAACCCAUCUGCCUUUCUUGACCACACUACGGAUUCAAGAAUGUGAGCAGCUUGUGGCUCCACUUCCAGGGGUUCCAACCAUCUUUGAAUUGACAACGCGCAGCCGUGACAUCUCACAGUGGAAGGAACUACCACCACUACUGCAGUAUCUCUCAAUUAAAAAUUCCGACUCUUUGGAGUCCCUACUGGAGGAGGGAAUGUUGCAAAGUAAUACUUGUCUUCGAGAGUUGAGAAUCAGAAAUUGUUCUUUUUCGAGACCCUUGUGCAGAGUUUGUUUGCCCAUUACAUUGAAGACGUUAGAUGUAGAGGAGUGUAAGAAACUAGAGUUUCUCCUACCUGAGUUCAUAAAAUGUCACCACCCUUCCCUUGUCUCUUUGGUGAUCAUCAGAAGUACUUGCAAUUCUCUCUCAUCCUUCCCACUCGGCAACUUCCCAAGUUUAACUAAUCUCCAAAUCAUGUAUCUCAAGGGGCUUGAAUCCCUCUCCAUUUCAAUUUCAGAGGGCGAUGUUACAUCUUUUCAUCUGUUGCACAUAAGAGGGUGCCCUAAUCUUGUUUCUAUUGAAUUGCCAGCUCUCAACUUCUCAAAAUAUUACAUCUUCCAUUGCAAGAAUCUCAAGUGGCUGCUGCACAACGCUGCAUGCUUUCAGUCAUUAACAAUAGAAGGUUGUCCUGAAUUGAUAUUCCCAAUACAAGGUCUGCAAGGACUGUCCUCUCUUACCUCUCUCAAAAUCUCCGAUCUUCCAAAUCUCAUGUCCCUUGACAGUUUGGAGCUUCAACUGCUCGCCUCUCUUGAAAAAUUAGAGAUCUGUGACUGCCCCAAGCUCCAAUUCUUGACAGAAGAGCAGCUUCCCACCAACCUUUCUGUUCUAACAAUCCAGAACUGCCCGUUGCUGAAAGAUCGGUGCAAGUUUUGGACAGGGGAAGAUUGGCAUCAUAUAGCUCACAUUCCACACAUUGUGAUCGAUGACCAAGUUUUGUAAUGAAGGUGGCAUUACACCAAUUUAUAGUCAGGUACUUGUUCUGUCCUAAAAAUGAUUGUCUCAGGAAAACUAACAUACUUAAAUACCAAUUUUGAUUUGAUCCAUUAUAAAUAGGAAAAAUAUGCUUUAAAUUUUCUAAUUAUUAUAACAAUUUCUUGCUUUCUUUCAGGUCAUCUGUGAUGCUUCACUCUGGCUCUGAUCAACAUAUCUUUAUAAGGAAUCUUUUAAGACUCCCUUGCUUAAUUAGUGCCUUGUCAAAAGCUUCAGAUUUCCUUUAGAGUGAAUCGAUGCUUAAAAGCCAAGCAGCUCUGCAGGUCUGAUUUAUUAAAUUGUGUUUCUUGUAUAAUUUUAUGGACCUUGAGUUUGUUUUCAUUGGCUAAUUUGCUGAAAUCUGAUGGCAGGCCUUUGAUCCUUGUUCUCUCAACAAACUCUAGCUGUCUAGCAAUGAUUUCCAAUGGGACCAUUUUUUUGUUGUGAGUUCAGGUUCAUGACUCUCUUUUUGGACAACAGUAGCCGAGAUUUUUUGCACCCAGAGAAUCAUGAGUUGAUCCUCUGCUGGAGGAACUACAGAAGCUCAAGUCUGUUGGAGAGUGGAGCAUCCAGCAGGCUCUAUGAUUCCAAUUAGUGGGACAUUUCAAUUGCUUUGGUUUAACUUUUUAGUGAAGUACCAGUUCUGUCCUAAAAGUAAUUUUCUCAGGAAAACUAACAUACUUAAAUACCAAUGUUAAUUUGAUCCAUCAUAAGUCAGAAAAAUAUGGUGUAAAUUUUCUAAUUAUUAUAAUAAUUUCUUGCUUCUUUCAGUUUAUCAGUAACUCUUCACUCUAGUAAAUUGAUGCUUCAUAUCUCCAUAAGGAAUCUUCAUAAAGAUUGUAUUUUUUAGCAUCCAAAGACUCAUGAUUGAUACUCUGCUUGAGGAACUGAGAAAGCUCAACUCUGUUGGAGAGUGGAGCAUGCGGCGUGCUCUAUGAUUCCAAUUAGCAAGAUAUUUUAAUUGCUUUUGUUCAACUUUCUAAGCUACAAAUUAUAAAGAUUUAUAAUCCCAUAUGCAUUAUUUUUCAGGCUUUCUAUGUUAAUAUCUUAGUUCUUCUCUAGGAAAAACAGGUAUGUUUCUUCUGUGUUAGUACUUUUCAUAAGAUGACACAUUGUGGAGUUCCAUCAUAUGCAUGACAAGAUAAACCCAAUUCUAAAAUAAACUUAAGCUAAAACAAAAUAUCUUACUACCUGAGGUUCUGUCCUUAAUAAUUCUAUUCAUCAUGUUCAUAUGCAAUCUGAGUGACGUAAAUGUUAAACAUUUUCCUUUGUGUAAUCAUUGUUUUAGAUUCAAUUAAUCUGCAGAUGUACGUUCAGUUUAGACACCUCAAACUCAAAAUCUUCAACUUCUGACAGGCCACCACUUCCUAGUCUCUGCUCAUCUCCUUCCCAUUUAGUUAUUUUCAUUAACCUUUGAUUUUUUUACAUCGUUAAUAGUAAAACAAUCAUGAUUGUACUACAUCUGUUGAGCAUAGAUGCUACCAUUUAAUUUCCAUAUUCAAGUUUUCAUUUACUUUAAUGUGAGCUCUGAAUUUUCUUCUUUUAAAUUUUUGAUUCUGAGGCAGAUUCUUGGAGAAGAGAGAAGCCAAACCAUAUUCAAAGUCAUAGCACUGCAGAGUAUGGUUUUGAUCCACCAAGUCCAGGUCAAUUGAGUGGAAUCUUAUUAAUACUUAAAGGACACAUUUUCCGAACUUGAUGACUGCCUCUAACCAUGCACUAACUAUUUUUUUGUAUCGACUUUCUGUUAAGAAAUUGUGAAUGCAUUGGAUCUACUCAUACGACCUCCCUCCAUCAUGAAUUUUAACAACUCAGUACUUGGAGGAUGGCUACUCAACUAAAUUCUAUUUAUUGGAGCAGAAUUUGAGCUUUUCUUCCUUACUCAGGUAGAGUGCUAUAAAAUUUUCAGUCUAAAAAGUAUCUAUAACCCCCUAUGAAUUUGAAUGUCAGAUUCAGCUGAUUAGCAUGUGACCAUUUUUAUUUUCAGAUGGUGGCAUUUUGAAUCUUUGGAACAGUUGCAGGAGGAAGCUUUGCCAAAGCCUCCCUAUGCAAUACAUGGGCCUUUGGUUGCAAGUGAGAUUUGAGGAUUCUAUUUUCUCUUGUAAGACUUCAACUCAUUUUUUUUGAGUUUUGAGCUUUGAGCUUUUACUUCCAAGCAUGUGCAAAGAAGAAAGAACGCAAAAACAAACGUCCACUUAUAGAAGUUUUAUAUGGAGUGAGACUCCCAUGAAAAAUAUUGUACCUAUUGGUUUGUCAACCUUGAAUGUUAUAGUUUUGUUUCCCAUUGGAUCUUUGAGGAAUGCGUCCGUUGAAUCAUAUAUUUUGAACUUACUACUGAUUUUGUGUAUAUACAUGCAUGUAAAUGAUGUUUUCUUCUUCAUUCAUGUGGAAUUUGAUUCUCUGGUGUAUGGUGAAAAGUUGUAAGUUUGAUCUAGGGUUUUACUUGAAGUGAGGUUAGAUAUACCCUUUUUCUACAUUUUGGUAUAUAGAAGAGUUUACAUCAUAGGCAAAUCACUUCCAAUCCAACCUUUUUCUAACAUUUCUGAUUCCUUUUAUCCUCCUAAAGGUGAUUUUGGUGCAAGUUGGGCUUUUGGGUUAAUUUAAUAGUUUAACUUCUAUUAGAGUCCUUGUUUUCAAGAUUUAAGGAGCAUUAGGUGGCUCAUGAUGAAUGGAUGGAUUCAACUUCCUUUUAAUGUUUGAACCUAUACCCAAGGGAAACUCUCAGACAAAUGAAAAAAAAGAAGAAGGUAUAUAUUUUUAGUAGUAUUUUUAUAGUAUUUAUUUAACAGAAUUUUAUUUUAUUUUUAUUUUUGGGAAAACAAUGCACAUAGAAAUUCACUUCAAAUGAUUCUUUGAAUUUUUUAAAGUAAUUUUAUUAAUUUUUUAAAAAAAUUCAAAUUAACUUUAAAAAGAAUUUCAAAAAGCGUUUUGAAUCUUACUGAAACCUAUUUUCAAUGGGUUUAGAUAUAAUUUUUGGAUAUUAUUUUUGGACGAUAUUUGAUUAAUCAAAAUAAUAGUUUUUGAAAGAAAUAUCUAUCAAUUUUAGUCCAAUAAUUGUUUUGACUAAUUGGACUUUUAAAAGUGAUUUUUAGGAUUUUAUAGAGUAAUAAUUUUUAAAAAGAAAGCAAUUUUAAAAUUUAAAAAAAAUGCUUUUAAGAGUCCACUUGGUAAUGUUUUAGAAAACAAUUCUCAUAAAAAGGUUUUUCAGAAUCGGUUUUAAAAACAAGUCCAAUCAUUUCUAUAAUAAAAUAGUUUUCUUAAUUCAUAAACAUAAAAAGUUCUUAUUUUCUAUAUUUUAGAUUGAUGCAAAGUACACUCCAUACUAUUUUUAAAAAUCAUCAAAUUUAUGACUUUAUUUUUAAAAAAUUGUUUCUCAAGAACAACAACUCUUACAAAUUGAUUCACAUCUUCAUAAAAAAUCUUCUUUUAAUCAAUAAUGCCUUAUCGAAUGCUUCAAAUUUCUAAAAUCCCUAUAAUCAUGUACAUAUGUAACCCAUAUCUAAUUCGUGGAUUCAUUGUGCUUAAUCUAGCUUUACAUAACCAAUGGGCAUGCUCGAAUUCCACUCAUUUGCCACUUUCAUUGUUAAUUAGUAAAUGAUUACAUUCAAUGACAAUAAUCUAAUUUAAUCCACCCUUUCAUGCUAUUCUAAGAUUUCAUCCCCAUUCAUGGAUAGUGAAAAAAAAUAAAGGGUGUUCCUUUUUAAUGUAACAACCUAAUAUUAACAAGCAUUUAGACAUUUUGCUCUCAACAAUGCCAAGAUAUACUAACCCAUUAAUGGUCUAAAAUCAACUUAACAAUUCUCCAAAUGUAAGCAACCAUAAAUCACUCAUUCUAAAAGAUGUUAAAGGAGAAAAAUCAAAAGUGAUUGUUGGUUUAUAAUGUUGGUCCAAUUGAGUUAAAACUCUCAAGGCCUCAACUCAUGCCAAAUAUGCAAAUAGAGAUGGAAUUAAUUAGGAUGUCUCAGCUUCCUUUUUUUUUUUUUGUUGUUGGAUUUAUAUUGGAUGGUGGUAAUUCUAUUUAUCUAUUAAUAAAAAGUUUUCCUUUUUAAUCUAUACUAAAAAAACAUUAAGUUUAUUAAUCUAUAGCAUUAUAAAAGUUUGAAGAAUCUUUAGUGUAAUAAUAUCCAUAUUAUGUUUAUUCAUAUAUUGAAUAUUAAAGCUAUAUUAAAACUAUUAACAUUGAAAAUAUAUAAAUUAGUUUUUAUAUACACAAUACUUGUUCAUAUAUAUUAUAAGAUACUGAUAGAUGGUGACUAAGUAUAUCCCAAACAAUUGCUAUAAUAAUGUGCAAAUUCAUAUAGCAUAUGUUUAUUUUAUAGAAAAUUUUGAUUUAUAUAUAAUUUCACAUAUUUUAUGGGAUAUUUCUCACAUCUUAUGUGCAAUCAUAUUGAAUACUCAUAAAGCUAAUUUCAUUAUUCAUUUAUUACAAUGGUAAUAUUCAAUUUGUUUUUUAGUUAUUUAUUUAUUAUUUGAUUUUUCUCAUUUAUGUUGAAUAUUGUAAUGAUAAUAUUAAAUUCAUUUUUUAAUUACAUAACUGUAACUAAUAUGAUUAUCACUUAUGUUGAUUGCUGAAAAGUUAAAUUGUAGAUGUUAUGAUUCAUUAUUUAUGUUGAAUGCGAAUUCAACAGUUAAAUGUUAAAGAGGGACUUCCCACCUCUAUUUCUUUUCUAAAAAUGAGUGACUGUCUCCUGCUGAAACAUCAAUUCCAAUUCUGGAAAGAGGAAGAAUAGCAGCAUAUAGCUCACAUUCCUCACAGUGUGGCAUAAAUGAUUUUCUUCAAAAGGCAGUAAGUUGUGAUUGAAACUUUCUAGUCAUAUUGUUUUGUUCCAACUUAGUACAUGCUUUAUCACUCUGGGUUUUAAUUCUUCAGCAAUACUUUCUGUUAUCAUGACUGCCUCUAAUUAACCAUAAACUAACUAUUUUUUAUAUCGACUUUGCCUUAAGGAAUUGUGAAUUGAUUGGAUCUACUCAUACUGCUGCCCUAUAAAUUUUCUUCCCUGCUAAAUUUAUGUAGUUAAUAGUUUUGGUAUAGUGCUACAAAAUUUUUAGGGUUUACAAAGUAUUGGUAACAUGUUUUCUCUUUUUAAGUAUGUUUUGGUCUUAAAAGAAAACAUAAAUUUGUCUUGUAAGUGAUGUUUGACUCUCAAAUUUUUUUGAUUACCAUGUGCCCAUUUUUAUUUUCAGGUUGACAUUUUGAAUCUUUGGAGUAGUCCAUUCAAAUCAUUUUUGUGAUCACUUCUUCCAAGAUUUUGCAUUAUAAAAGUUGGUUGAUGUAAAGUGAGAAGAAAGAAUUAAGGUAGCAACUUUUCUUUAAAAAUAAGAAAGUACAUUAAUGUCCUAAUUAAGUUUUAUACUAGAGUGGGACUCCUAUGAAUGGUUAAAUUGCAUAGAAUUCAAUUUAUUUAUGUCUAUCAAUCUUUGUUUAAUUUCUAUGGAAAAUAUUAAUAGAAUGAACUAUUUCAUAUUUUGGUAUAAUUUAAGCCUGAUUGAUACUACUUAAAAAUGUUAAAAGGAUUAAAUUGAGAUAUGAAUUACAGUACCUAUUGAUUUUUUUAUAAUUUACCAAUAAAAUUAAAUAGCAAAGGCAAAUGAGGAGAAAGAGAAUUAGUACUAGGGUUUUAAAUAAGUGUGGUGAUGAAGAUGACGGGCUAAGCCCUUCAUCCAACCUAUGAGGGCUAGCUGAAGUUCUUUAAGUCCUUUUAUGGGUUUUUUUUUUUUUGAAAUCUAAAUAGUAACUUAAUCAUUUAAAGCCAAGUCAUAAGUUUGCUAUGAGUGAAUUGAAUUUCCCUCAUUAAACUUUCUUUGUAUUUGAGGUUGAUAUUAUAUGGUUAUGAUAAUUUUGUUUUUGUUGACAUGCAAUAGAGUUUGCUCCUCCUUUGUAUUUACAAGCUGCUCAAUUUUCAUUUUUAUUUUAUUUACCAAUAACAACUUAAAGCUUGUGGAAAAUUAGGUUGACAACAUAUCAAGUUGGCUUACAUUGGAAUGAGGCUUUUGGAUUUUAUUAUUUAAUAAUCUCGCAUGUAUGCACUAAGAGUUUGUCUUACAGUUAUACUUUUUAAAUAAGAAUAAAAAUUUUCAAGUAUUGAAAAGGUUAAAAACAUUUUUUAAAAUCAUUAUCAAAUACACUAUUAAGUCUAAUAAAAUCAGUAUAACUCAUAGUAUGUUUAGAUGAAUAUGUGAGAAUAAGAACCCUUUUAAUAUUUGAAAGUAUUUAUUUCCCAUAAAAAUUAGUUAUUUUGUAAAAAAAUUAAUCAUUAUUUUUAAAAAUCUAAAAAAAUCAUUUAAGUAAUUUUGAAACUAGUAACUAAUAGAUGCCUUUUUUAAUUAUUUUUAUUAUGUAAUAUAUCACCAAAAAUACUAUCAAGUCACCUAUUGGGUUUAUAUCUAGACCUUAAUUUGACUAAAUGGAAAUAGAUCUUAAUAUUAUUAAAUAUCAAUUUGUUUUUAUUAUUGAAGUGUUAAUUUUUUUCUCAUGAUUUGUUACUAUUGCUAUGAGUUAAAUGAAGAAUCUUUAUCCUUAAAAAAUAAUUUAUUUUAUUUUACUUAUUUUAAAUAAUUUUGAUAAAGAUAUUUCAAAACUAAUAAUUUAAAAAAUAUUAAUUUGAUAUAUUUAGGAACAACCUUAAAUAUUAAAAAAAAUUAUAAUAUGAUUUUAUCUCAUUCAGAUAAGAUAUUUGAAACUUAAUAAUUUGAUAAAAAGAUAGUAAUUUAAUAUAGCUUUUAAUAUCAUAAAGCACCAAAACAGAUUGCAAUAACCAAAAGUUUAGGGAAAAGUGAGUCUUAAUUUACUAAUUUGAAAAAAUAUAAACAAAAGCAUUCCAACUUUUAUAAAUUAAUUUUAUCUUCACUCAUCUAAAAAUAUUUUAAAAUACACACAAUUUUUCUUAACUGAAAAAAUUAUUUAUUGAAAUAACUCUUUUACUUGUGAUGUUAAUAACACCAAUUAACAAUUUUUUUUACCGUGAGAACUGAUUUGAGAUUAAUAAAAUAAGAAAUUUUAAAAAUUAAAACUAAAAAGAACUUUAAAACUAAAAAUAUAAAAAUAAAAUAUUAAUUUUUACUUAGUUAAAACACUAUGGUAGAAAACAUAGAUAUCGAGAAAGUGUUGAGUAAAUAUUUUUUUUUUAGUUUUUAAGUUUUUUUUAAUUAUAUUUAAUUUUUAUGUAUUUUAGUUGUAAUUGUAAUUUUAAUUUUAAAAUUUUUUAUUUUAUUGUUGAUGUCAACUAACAAAAUUUUUAUUCAAUUUUAUUAAAAAUAUAAAAGAAGAUGAGGGGAUUUAUAUAAUAUAGGAUAUAAAAUCAUCAUUAAUUAAUAUAAUAAAGUAAAAUGAUGUUUCAUGAAAUAAUUAUUUGACUUACAAAAAAGUGGAAAUAUUUUUAAAUUGAUGAAGAUAAAACCAAUUUAUAAAAAUUGAGUUUUUUUUUCUAUUUUCUUUCAAAUUAGUGAGUCAAAACCUAUUUUUUUUCAUCAAAUUAUAUGAAAUUAUAAUUUGAUUUAUUUUUAAGUAAAUUUUUAAAAAAAAAGUAGAUUGGAUUUUAUUUAGGUGACUAUUGUAAAGUUAAAAGAAAAACAACAUUUUUCAUUGACGAAAAAAUAAGAAAAUAAAAAUUCAACUUUUUUAUUAACACAAACUUGUUUUAAAAUAAUUAAUAAUUAGGGGGGGGAAAAAGGUGGGGCGCUAGUUAAUUCUUGUAAAAGCAUUUCUAAGAAGUAAUAAAAGACUAGAGAUUGAAUACACUUUUAUUUUAAUCACUUGCAAACAAGCCCUUAAUUAAUAAACAACAAAUAUGAUAAAAUAUCAUUUGAGAUCAUAUUUAUUUAAUAUUAAAAUUUCAUGACAUGCUUCCUAACAUUGUGUAAUUUGGUUGUAAUUCAUUUUUCCCAUGCGAUUUUAAGCCUCUUUUUUAUCUUUAUAAAAUUUUAUGAGCAAACAUAAAAUAUGACAGUCACUUAGAAAGCCUUAAGGUUGUUUGAUUUUCAAAAAAUUUGAAUGAAAAGUAGAAGGGAAAAGUAGAAAAAAAAAAAAAAAAAAGUGAAAGAAAAUAAAACUUAUAUAUAGAGUCAAUAAAUUAUUUGUUAUGUUCUAUUUUAAACCCAUUUAAUUUAUUUUAACCUUUAUAUAUAAAGAUUGAAUAAAAAUAUAAGUUUCUAUCUAAUUUUAUUUUUAUUUAUUUAUUUUUAUAUUUUUCUUAGUAAAAUCGAAUAUGAGAAAAUCAUUUUUUUUAUCAUUAUUAAGUGGAUUUAGAGAAUUGGAAAUUUCAUAAACAAUGAACUAUGAUCCUAAGGUUCUUUUAACUUUUUCUUAACUAGACAAUACUCUUACUGAAAUAUGUAAUUUUUUUUAAAAUGAAAGACUAAGCAAACAAAGUUAAAUUUAGUUGAAACUUGAGUUAAAGAGUUUGUUGAUAAGUCUUGAAACCUUAAAAAUUAAUUUCUAAGUGAAAUGGUCAUUAAAAAACCAUCAAUUAAGCCUUAACCUAAACUGGUUCCAAAUUUGCCUAAACAAAAUGUUGUAAUACUACUCACUUUCUCAAGUUUUCUUAUUAAUUAAGUUCCAAAAAUUAUGAAACUCUCAAGAUUUAAUAUAUAAUAAGUUUAGAAACUUUAAAAAUGAGUUAUAAACCUAAAAAAAAUUCUAAUAACACCAAAACUUUAAAAAUUAAAAACUGUUUCAAAUUAAAUGUGUAUAAGGUUGAUGUAUAUUUUCUUAUUUAUUUGUAAGGCAGGGAUCAAUUGCAACCCAUAAGAUAUGGGUAGGUAGAAAAUGAAUUCAUCUGUACAUUUGGCAUUAGUUGAUAGGCCACCUUCUUCAUCUACCUCUUUCUUCUAUCCAAGGCCCAGGCUCUUCCCUUACAAACCAACAGACAUGGCCGGGGCUGUAGCAGGAGGGGGAGCACUUCUCUUGGCUUCUCUCCAAGUUCUAUUUGAUCGGAUGGCUUCUCGCGACGUCCUCACCUUCCUCCAGGGACAGAAACUCAGUGCUACGCUCCUAAGGAAGCUGCAGAUGAAAUUGCUGGAAGUUCAGGCAGUGCUGAAUGACGCCGAGGCCAAGCAAAUCACGAAUUUAGCUGUCAAAGAUUGGGUCGAUGAGCUGAAAGAUUCUGUGUAUGAUGCGGAGGACCUGGUGAAUGAUAUCACCACUGAAGCUUUACGACGCAAGAUGGAGUCUGAUUCUCAAACUCAGGUACGGAACAUCAUCUUUGGUGAGGGGAUUGAGUCCAGGGUAGAGGAGAUCACUGACACAUUAGAAUAUCUUGCAGAAAAAAAAAGAUGUUCUCGGGUUGAAAAGAGGCGUUGGAGAAAAAUUGUCACAAAGAUGGCCGACAACUUCCUUGGUAGAUGAGUCUGGGGUGUGCGGUAGGGAUGGUGAUAAAGAGGAGAUAGUUAAAUUUUUGUUGUCCCAUAAUGCAAGUGGGAAUAAGAUAAGUGUGAUCGCCCUGGUGGGUAUGGGCGGUAUUGGGAAGACCACACUUGCUAAGCUGGUGUAUAAUGAUAGGAGAGUGGUGGAAUUUUUUGACCUUAAAGCAUGGGUUUGUGUUUCAAAUGAAUUUGAUCUUGUCAGGAUAACGAAAACCAUUCUUAAGGCAAUUGAUUCUGGGACUUCUGAUGACAAUGAUUUCAAUCUGCUUCAACAUAAAUUGGAGGAGAGACCUACGAGGAAGAAAUUCUUACUUGUCCUUGAUGAUGUUUGGAAUGAAGACUAUAAUGAUUGGGAUUCGCUGCAAACUCCAUUUAUUCAAUGUUGGUCUAUAUGGAAGUAAGAUUAUUGUAACUACACGUAUCAAUAAGGUUGCAGCAGUCAUGCAUUCAGUUCAUACUCAUCAUUUGGCAAAGUUAUCCUCUGAAGAUUGCUGGUCCCUAUUUGCAAAACAUGCAUUUGAAAAUGGAAAUUCUAGUCCACAUCCAAAGCUAGAAGAAAUUGGCAAAGAAAUUGUAAAAAAGUGUGAUGAAUUGCCUUUAGCUGCAAAAACCCUUGGGGGUGCCUUAUACUCAGAAGGUCGAGUAAAAGAAUGGGAAAAUGUGUUGAACAGUGAAACGUGGGAUUUACCAAAUAAUGCAAUUCUUCCUGCCUUGAUCUUGAGCUACUAUCAUCUUCCUUCACAUCUAAAACCAUGUUUGGCAUAUUGUUCUAUUUUUCCUAAAGACUACCAAUUUGAGAAGGAAAACUUGAUUUUAUUGUGGAUGGCAGAAGGGUUUUUGCAACAAUAAAAAAAAGGCAAGAGAAUAAUGGAAGAGAUAGGUGAUGGGUAUUUUUUUGACCUAUUAUCAAGAUCAGUUUUUCAAAAGUCUGGUAGCGACAAAUCAUAUUUUGUAAUGCAUGAUCUCAUCAACGACUUGGCUCAACUUAUUUCUGGAAAAGUUUGUAUUCAGUUGAAGGAUGGUAAGAUGAAUGAAAUUCCUGAAAAGCUUCAUCACUUAUCGUAUUUUAGAAGUGAAUAUGAUCGCUUUGAGAGAUUUGAGAUUCUUAACGAAGUUAACAGUCUUCGGACCUUCUUACCAUUGAAUUGGGAGAUCUGGCCUCGGGAAGAUAAGGUUUCAAAGGGAAGAUAUCCACGUAGUAGUAGGUAUGUUUUAGAGUUUCGCUUGAGUGCUUGAGUACUAGAGUUUGGAAUGAUUUAUUGAUGAAAGUUCAAUAUUUACGAGUGUUGUCAUUGUGUUACUAUGAGAUAACGGAUUUGUCUGAUUCAAUUGGUAAUUUGAAACAUUUGCGCUAUUUGGACCUUUCCUAGACACAUCAAAAGGUUACCUGAAUCAAUUUGUAGUUUAUAUAAUUUACAAACAUUGAUAUUACACUAUUGUAAAUGUCUUGUUGAAUUGCCUAAAAUGAUGUGCAAAAUGAUUAGCUUACGUCAUCUUGAUAUCAGACAUAGCAAAGUGAAAGAGAUUCCAAGUCAUAUGGGUCAAUUAAAAAGUUCACAAAAAUUGAGUAACUACAUAGUGGGCAAGCAAAGUGGGACAAGGGUUGGAGAAUUGAGGGAGCUUUCCCACAUUGGUGGGAGUCUUGUCAUUCAAGAUCAGCAGAAUGUGGUUGAUGCUAAGGAUGCCUCAGAGGCCAAUAUGGUAGACAAGCAAUAUUUGGAUGAGUUAGAGUUGGAAUGGAAUCGUGGUAGUGAUGUUGAACAAAAUGGAGCAGACAUAGUGCUCAACAACUUACAACCUCAUUCAAACAUAAAGAGACUCACUAUUUAUGGUUACGGUGGUUCAAGAUUUCCAGAUUGGUUAGGAGGUCCUUCAAUUCUGAAUAUGGUGUCGCUACGUCUCUGGAAUUGUAAGAAUGUGUCAACCUUCCCACCGCUUGGGCAGCUACCCUCCCUUAAACAUUUAUAUAUAUUGGGGUUGGUGGAGAUAGAAAGGGUGGGCGCUGAGUGUUAUGGGACGGAGCCCUCCUUUGUAUCCCUAAAAGCUCCAUCAUUUCAGGGUAUGCCAAAAUGGAAGGAAUGGUUGUGCAUGGGAGGCCAAGGUGGAGAAUUCCCUCGUCUCAAGGAGCUUUAUAUAGAGGAUUGUCCCUUACCAACCCAUCUGCCUUUCUUGACGAGACUAUGGAUUAAAGAAUGUGAGCAGCUUGUGGCUCCACUCUCCAACAGACUUGAGCUUCUGUAGUUCCUCCAGCAGAGUAUCAACUCAUGAUUCUUUGGGUGCAAAAAAUCUCGGCUACUGUUGUCCAAAAAGAGAGUCAUGAACCUGAACUCACAACAAAAAAAUGGUCCCAUUGGAAAUCAUUGCUAGACAGCUAGAGUUUGUUGAGAGAACAAGGAUCAAAGGCCUGCCAUCAGAUUUCAGCAAAUUAGCCAAUGAAAACAAAUUCAAGGUCCAUAAAAUUAUACAAGAAACACAAUUUACAAAAUCAGACCUGCAGAGCUGCUUGGCUUUUAAGCAUCAAUUCACUCUAAAUGAAAUCUGAAGCAUUUGACAAGGUGCUAAUUAAGCAAGGGAGUCUUAAAAGAUUCCUUAUGAAGAUAUGUUGAUCAGAGCCAGGGUGAAGCAUCACAGAUGACCUGAAAGAAAGCAAGAAAUUGUUACAAUAAUUAGAAAAUUGAAAGCAUAUUUUUCCUAUUUAUAAUGGAUCAAAUCAAAAUUGGUAUUUAAGUAUGUUAGUUUUCCUGAGACAAUCAUUUUUAGGACUUAGUUUUCCUGAGACAAUCAUUUUUAGGACAGAACAAGUACCUGACUAUAAAUUGGUGUAAUGCCACCUUCAUUACAAAACUUGGUCAUCGAUCACAAUGUGUGGAAUGUGAGCUAUAUGAUGCCAAUCUUCCCCUGUCCAAAACUUGCACCGAUCUUUCAGCAACGGGCAGUUCUGGAUUGUUAGAACAGAAAGGUUGGUGGGCAGCUGCUCUUCUGUCAAGAAUUGGAGCUUGGGCAGUCACAGAUCUCUAAUUUUUCAAGAGAGGUGAGCAGUUGAAGCUCCAAACUGUCAAGGGACAUGAGAUUUGGAAGAUCUGAGAUUUUGAGAGAGGUAAGAGAGGACAGUCCUUGCAGACCUUGUAUUGGGAAUAUCAAUUCAGGACAACCUUCUAUUAUUAAUGACUGAAAGCAUGCAGCGUUGUGCAGCAGCCGCUUGAGAUUCUUGCAAUUGCAGAUGGAAUAUUGUGAGAAGUCAAGAGCUAGCAAUUCAAUAGACACAAGAUUAGGGCACCCUCUGAUUUUCAACCAAUCAAAAGAUGUAACAUUGCCCUCUGAAGUUGGUAAGGAGAGGGAUUCAAGCCCCUUGAGAUCGUAGAUAUUGAGAUAAGUUAAACUUGGGAAGUUGCCAAGUGGGAAGGAUGAGAAAGAAUUGCAAGUACUUCUGAUGAUCGCCAAAUAGGCAAGGGAAGGGUGGGGACAUUUUAAGAACUCGAGUAGGAGAAACUCUAGUUUCUUACACUCCUUUAUAUAUAAUGAUUUCAUUGUAAUGGGUAAACAAACUCUGCAACAUUCCCUCCUCCAGUAGGGACUCCAAAGAGUCGGAAUUUUGAAUUGAGAGAUCCUGCAGUAGUGGUGGUAGUUCCUUCCACUGUAAGAUGUCACAGCUGAGAGUGGAGCAUGCAGCAUGCUCUAUGAUUCCCAUUAGUAAGAUAUUUUAAUUGCUUUUGUUUGACUUUCUAAGCUACAAAUUACAAGGAUUUAUAAUUCCAUGUGCAUUAUUCUUCAGGUUCUCUGUGUUAAUAAUUCUAUUCACCAUGUCCAUAUGGCAUCUUAGCGCUGUAAAUGUUAACAUUUUCCUUAGUGUAAUCAUUGUUUUAGCUUCAAUUAAUCUGCGGAUGUUCAGUUUAGACACCUCAAACCCAAAACCUUCAGCUUUUGACAGACCACCACUUCCUAGUCUUUGCUCAUCUCCUUCCCAUUUAAUUAUUGUCAUCAACCUUUGAUUUUUUUUACACCGUUAAUAGUAAAAGAAUCAUAAUUGUACUACAUGUGUUGAGCAUGGAUGCUACCAUUUAAUUUCCAUAUUCAAGCUUUUCUUGUACUUACAAAUGAUAAUGUGAGCUCUGGAUUUUCUUCUUUUAAAUUUGUGAUUCUGAGGCAGAUACUUGGAGAAGAGAGAAACCAAACCAUAUUCAAAAUCAUAGCACUGCAGAGGAUGGUUUUGUUCCACCAAGUUCAGGUCAGUUGAGUGGAAUCUUAUUAAUACUUCAAGGACGGAUGAUCAAAUUGGCUGAUUUUCCAAACUUGAUGACUGCCUCUAACCAUGAACUAUUUUUUUGUAUCGACUUAGUGUUAAGAAAUUAUGAACGUAUUGGAUCUGCUCAUACCACCUCCCUUCAAGAUGAAUUUUAACAACUCAGUACUUGGAGGAUGGCUACUCAACUAAAUCCUAUUUAUCGGAGCACAAUUUGAGCUUUUCUUCCUUACUCAGGUAGAGUGCUAUAAAAAUUCAGUCUAAAAAGUAUCUAUCACCCCCUUGUUAGAAUUCAUGAGAGUUUGCCUUUGAAAAUGUCUUAGUUAGACUCAGUCUCUGUUUUGCUCCAUAAUUUUCAGUUUUUCUGUUAGUAGAAGUAGUCAUAGCAGCUGAGAGUUUUUAGCAUUUUCAGUUUGGUUGCAAGCCUAUAAAUAGGCAUUCUCAUUGGUGAAAUAUUGUGUGCCUUUCUCCAACUCAAUACUCUAAUAUUUUCUGCAAGUUUUAGUUCCUUAUUUUUCCCUAGAUUUUAACAGUGGUAUCAGAGCAUUAUUCCUACGGGCUGUGAGGCAAAGUUUUUGAGUGUUUUUAGUAUUAAACACAGUGAGGUUGAGUGCAAACACUAGUGAGGUUGAGUGAUCUAUUUAAGACAAAGCCAUCACCUGCCUACAUUUAGGACUUGCAGACCACAUCUUCACCAAAAUCAUGAACUUGGAAACACCUAAACUGGUUUGGGACAAGCUCCAAGGUGAAUUUGAGGGUAGUGAAAGAGUCAAAACUGUUAGACUCCUCACAUGGAAGAGAGAGUUUGAGUUGAUGAAGAUGAAAGACGACGAAUCUGUCAAAGAUUAUUCUGGCAGGUUAAUGGAUGUUGUAAACCAAAUACGGCUUCUUGGUGAGGCAUUUACAGAUCAAAAGGUGGUAGAAAAGAUCAUGGUUUCAGUGCCUCAAAAGUUUGAAGCCAAGAUUUCUGCAAUUGAAGAGUCUUGUGACUUGCAAACUCUCACAAUUGUAGAGUUAACCAGCAAGCUUCAUGCACAGGAGCAAAGGGUCUUAAUGAGAAGUGAUGAAGCUACUGAAGGUGCUUUUCAAGCAAAUCACAAGGGAAAGAAUUCUGGAAACUUGCAAGGAAAGAAGUUCUUCAAGAACAACAAAGGGAAAACUGAAGGGUCUUCAAGAAAAGGAAAAUUUUCGUCUUGCUCUCAUUGUAGAAGAACCAACCAUGCUGAGAAAGAUUGUUGGCACAAAGGUAAACCUCUCUUUAAUUGUAAUUUCUGCAAUAAACUUGGCCACAGUGAGAAGUAUUGCAGAGCCAAGAAAAAAUAAUCUCAACAGUAACCAGAACAAAAUGCAAGUGUGACUGAAGAAGACAAAAAUGAUGAUGAGCAUUUAUUUAUGGCAUCACAAGCACUUAGUUCUCAUGAACUGAAUACUUGGCUCAUUGACAUUGGCUGCACGAGUCACAUGACCAAAUAUCUGUCAAUAUUUACCUCCAUUGAUAGAUCAGUUCAACCAAAGGUCAAGUUGGGAAAUGGUGAAGUUGUGCAGGCCAAAGGAAAAUGGACAAUUGCUAUCAGCACCAAGAGAGGUACAAAAAUUGUCACUAAUGUUCUUUACAUUCCAGAUUUAGAUAAGAAUCUUCUUAGUGUUGCACAAAUGCUAAGAAAUGGACAUGCAGUCUCUUUUAAAGAAAAUUUUUGUUUUAUCACAAAUGUACAGGGAAAAGAGAUAGCAAAAAUUAAAAUGAAUGGAAAUAGCUUUUAUUUGAAGCUUGAUUUAGUUUAAGGUCAUGUCUUUAGUGCCAAGAUUGAUGAGAGUGUUGUUUGGCACAAAAGAUAUGGUCAUUUCAACUUGAAGUCAUUGAGGUUCAUGCAAGAAGCUGGUAUGGUUGAAGACAUGCCUGAAAUCUUAGUUAAUGCUCAAACUUGUGAAAGUUGUGAGCUAGGGAAGCAACAACGACAACCAUUCCCUCAAAAUAUGUCUAAGAGAGCUACUCACAAGUUGGAAUUAAUUCAUUCAGAUAUUUGUGGACCAAUGAGCACAACCUCAUUGAGCAACAAUGUGUAUUUUGCAUUAUUUAUUGAUGAUCUCAGUAGAAUGACUUGGGUUUAUUUUCUAAAAACCAAGUCACAAGUGCUCUUUGUGUUCAAAAGCUUCAAGAAAAUGGUUGAAACUCAAAGUGGCCAGAAUGUUAAGGUGCUCAGAACUGAUAAUGGAGGUGAGUAUAUCUCAAAAGAGUUCAAUGUCUUUUGUCAAGAAGCAGGAAUUGUACACCAGCUAACAGCUCCAUACUCACCACAGCAGAAUGGAAUCUCUGAGAGGAAGAACAGAACCGUGAUGGAGAUGGCAAGGUGCAUGCUAUUCGAGAAGAAGCUACCAAAACUUCUAUGGGCUGAAGCAGUCAACACCUCAGUAUAUUUGCUUAACAAACUACCAACUAAGUCUGUUCAGAGCAAAACACCAAUAGAGGCAUGGUCUGGUGUAAAACCUUCUGUUAAGCACCUGAAAGUUUUUGGCUCAUUUUGUUAUCUUCAUGUGCCAUCUGUCAAGAGAGGGAAGCUUGAUGAAAGAGCUGAGAAAGGUGUCUUUGUUGGGUAUGCAGCUGAAUCAAAAGGUUACAGAAUUUAUAGCUUGAGUAGAAUGAAAAUCGUGAUAAGUAGAGAUGUGCACUUUGAUGAAAACUCCUACUGGAAUUGGGACUUGAAGAAAGUUCAUAAAUAUGAUCAAACCACUCCAUCUAUUCUUGAACCAGCAAUAGAAAGUACAAUCAUUGAAGGUCCACUUGAUGUUGAAACAACUUCAGACACACCUGUGCUUAAGAUGAGGCCAUUAUCUGAUGUGUAUGAGAGGUGCAAUCUUGUACAUGCUGAGCCUACAUGUUACACGGAAGCUGCAAGAUUUCUAGAAUGGAUUGAGGCUAUGAAAGCUGAAAUUGAUGCUAUUGAAAGAAAUGGAACCUGGAAGUUGACAGAACUACCUGAAGCUAAGAAUGCAAUUGGUGUAAAAUGGGUUUUCAGAACCAAAUUUAAUUCAAAUGGUUCAAUCUUCAGGCAUAAGGCUAGAUUGGUUGUGAAGGGUUUUGCUCAAGUUGCUGGAGUGAACUAUGGUGAUACAUUUGCACCAGUAGCCAGACAUGACACUAUAAGGCUACUACUUGCACUUGCUGGUCAAAUGGGAUGGAAAGUGUACCAUUUAGAUGUCAAGUCAACUUUUCUAAUUGGUAUACUUCUUGAAGAAAUUUAUGUUCAACAACCAGAAGGCUUUGAGGUUAUUGGCCAUGAACAUAAAGUGUACAAGCUACAUAAGGCUCUCUAUGGUUUGAAGCAAGCACCAAGGGCCAGGUAUAGCAGAAUUGAUUCUCAUCUGAUCCAACUUGGAUUUAGGAGGAGUGAAAAUGAAGCUACUUUGUAUUUGAAACAAAAUGAUGAUGGUUUGCAACUGGUAGUAUCACUUUAUGUUGAUGACAUGCUAGUGACUGGAAGCAAUGUAAAAUUGCUAGCUGAUUUCAAAAUGGAAAUGCAGGAUGUAUUUGAGAUGUCUGACCUUGGCAUCAUGAACUACUUCCUUGGAAUGGAAAUAUACCAAUGCAGCUGGGGUAUCUUCAUUUCACAAAGAAAAUAUGCUAUGGAUAUUCUCAAGAAAUUCAAGCUAGAAUCAUGCAAAGAAGUAGCAACUCCGUUGGCACAAAAUGAGAAAAUUUCAAAGAAUGAUGGUGAGAAACUUGAGGAACCCUCUGCAUAUAGAAGCUUGGUGGGCAGCCUACUAUACUUGACAAUAACCAGACCUGACUUGAUGUUUCCAGCUAGUUUGCUUUCAAGGUUCUUGAGUUCACCUAGAAAUGUUCACAUGGGAGUUGCAAAGAGGGUGCUAAAGUAUGUUAAAGGACAACAAAUCUUGGCAUUUGGUAUUUAAAGACAAGAGGAGUUAAGCUAGAUGGUUAUGUUGAUAGUGAUUGGGCAGGAAGUGUUGAUGAUAUGAAGAGCACUUCAGGUUAUGUAUUUACAAUCGGUUCAGGUGUCAUAUGCUGGAAUUUAAGAAAGCAAGCAGUAGUGGCACAAUCAACUACAGAAGCUGAGUAUAUCUCCUUAGCAGCUGCUGCAAAUCAAGCAAUAUGGUUGAGAAAACUGCUUGCUGAUUUAGUCCAGGAACAAAGCUCACCAACUGAGCUUUACUGUGACAAUAAGUCAGCCAUUUCCAUUACUCAAAUUCCUGUCCAACAUGGUAGAACCAAGCACAUAAAUGUAAAAUUCCACUCUAUAAGGGAAGCUGAAAAUAAUUCACUUGUUAAGCUGCAUUACUACUCAACAGAUGAGCAACUUGCUGACAUAAUGACUAAAGGACUUCCUAAAUCAAGGCUGGAGUUCCUAAGGUUGAAGCUUGGUAUGUCCAAGGCAAAUCUCAAGGAGGAGUGUUAGAAUUCAUGAGAGUUUGCCUUUGAAAAUGUCUUAGUUAGACUCAGUCUCUGUUUUGCUCCAUAAUUUUCAAUUUUUCUGUUAGUAGAAGUAGUCAUAGCCGCUGAGAGUUUUUAGCAUUUUCAAUUUGGUUGUAAGCCUAUAAAUAGGCAUUCUCAUUGGUGAAAUAUUGUGUGCCUUUCUCCAAUUUUUAGAUGGUGGCACUUUGAAUCUUUGGAACAGUUGUAGGAGGAAGCUUUGCCAAAGCCUCCCUAUGCAAUACAUGGGCCUUUGGCUGCAAGUGAGAUUUGAAGAUUCUAUUCUCUCUUGGAAGACUUCAACUCAUUUUUAUUUUUUUAGUUUUGAGCUUUGAGCUUUUACUUCCAAGCAUGUGCAAAGAAGAAAGAAAACAACAACAAAGGUCCACUUAUAGAAGUUUUACAUGGAGUGAGACUCCCAUGGAAAAUAUUGUAGCUAUUGGUUUGUCAACCUUGAAGGUUAUAGUUUUGUUUCCCAUUGGAUCUCUGAGGAAUGUGUUUGUUGAAUCAUACAUUUUGAGCUUACUAAUGAUUUUGUGUAUAUACAUAAAUAUAAAUGAUGUUUUCUUUUUCAUUCAUGUGGAAUUUGCUUCUCUAGUAUAUGCCGAAAAGUUACAAAUUUGCUCUUGGGUUUUACUUGAAGUGAGGUUCAAUAUGCCCUUCUUCUGCAUUUUGGUGUAUACAAGAGUUUAUAUCAUAGGCAAAUCACUUCCAAUCCAGCAUCUUUUAAAAUUUUUGUUUCCUUUUUUUUUUUCUAUAGUUUAAAAUGAUGUUGAAAACACUCUAUAAAAAAUAAUUAAAAAUAUCUUAAAUUUAUUCUUAAAAAUAACUACAAACCAAUUUUCAAAAUUCUUUUUUUUUUUUCUUUUAUCAAAAGCUUAUCUGUUUCAAAAUCACAUCAAUUUUGUCCUAGCCAAAUUUUUAUUUAUUUAUUUUUCUGCUAUAAACUAUGAUUUUGGUGGAUGGAGGGACUGUCUCCUCAUUCUGCCACUUGACUGAUAUUCAUAUUCUGUCCACAUUCCCACCGGAAUAUCACAUUCCGACCAUCUCUCCGGCCAAACUGCUGUUAAUUAAUCAGCAUGUCUCCGUCCUCUCUGUGGAACUUUUUCUUUUCUACCCUGAACUAAAAUUGCACUACUAUUAUCAAUGGCUAAAUAUUUAGAGAGAAAAUUUCUCUAAAUUAUUAUUAUUAUUAUUAUUAUUGUUAUUAUUGUUUAAUAUGAUUGAAUUUUUUGAAUAAUUUAUUUGAGUAGAUGAUCAAAACGGAUUUUCUAUUUUUAUCAAACCAACAUUGAAUUGGAAGACGAAAAGUCCAAGGGGGCUCACAUGGUGGGUUCAGCUGUUGGUUUGGGUGGAGUCACUGCAACAGAAUGGGUGUGGGCUGCCCCCCAAAAACCCACUCACAUGACAUCUCUCUUUCCUCCUUUUUCCGUCUAUUCCCAAAACCCAAUGCCCACCUUUCUCACAGGGCUUUUUUAACUUCUCCAGUUAGUUUUUUUUUUUUAAAAAAAAAAAAUUUUUAAAUGAUAAUUACAACAUUGAAAUGUGUCUUUUAAAAAAACAUCUUUCAUAUUUUUCAUAUCAAUGAUACAUAUUAAAAAAAAUUGAAUUUACACUAAAGGUAUCUUUUUGAGAGACCUUCCAUAAUUUCAUAAAACUGAAUUUAUGCUACAAGUGUUUCUUCAAGAGACAUUUUUCUACAAUUUUUUUUAUUAUUCAUACAUGUUAAACAAAUUGCAUUUAUAAUAAAGAUGUCUCUUCAAGAAACACCUUUAAUAUAAUUUUUUUUUUUUUAAUCGUGUGUUAUUGAUAUGAAAAUUGUUGAAGUAUUUCUUUAAGAGAUACCUUCCAAUGUGACGAAAAGUGUGAUAAAUUUGAAAAUGUUUUCCAAUGUAAUAUAUUUUGAAAAAUUAAUUUUAAAUUCGCCAUACUUUUAUCAAAAAUCCCUUUCUCAUACAACCAUUUAAAAAAGACUACCAUGGCCCCAUACUUUUCCACUCUUCCAAGAUUCCAAUUCCAUGAAUGAGAUUGGAAAUGCACAUCUACCCACUUCUUCAUCCCCCACACUUUGGUUUCCCCCUUUUAAUGGAACAACUCCAAAAUUGAGGUAUAUGCAAGCUUUCAAAAAAUGGGUAUGUGCCAAUCCAACGGCCCAAAAUGAACUUGGAAUCUAGAUGUACUUUUUCUCCAUUAUAAGGCACUAAAAUGAAUUCCAUGAUUAAGAUUUUGUUACAUGUUUUGGUUUGGAUCCAAAUACCCUUUUGGACCCAAAACCCUAAUUUGUGUUAUUUUCCUAGAAGAUGAUGAAUCUCACUUCAUUAGGGUUUCAUAUGUAAACAAGUAGCAGAUCAAAAACUACCACAAAGUCACAAAGUGGAACUCGGUCUUCGCAUAUAAAAAUUUAAUACUAAAUCCACUCAUUGUUGGUUUUAAUCAUAAUUUCUAUAGAAAAAUUAGAGCAAGCUAUUAUGUAAAAUUAUGAAUGAAGAUAUGAGAAAUAUUACAUUAUCUAAUUGUUGUGAAAUCUAUCUUAAUUAGGUCUUUUCCUAUCGCAAAAUAAAUAAAUAAAUAGAGUUUUGUAGUUGCUAUAAUAUAUUUGUCUGUAAGUCUUAAAUUGAACUCAUUGGAAGCUCUAAACCUACUAGUGUGAACAAUUGGAUUACUUAAUUCGGUGAUAGCUCAUUCAUUCAUUUUUUUAAUUGAUCUUUAAAUUUCUUUCUUUCUUUCUUUAUUGGUGAUGUUUCUUGGAAAAUGAUGUUGUACGUUUGAGGCAACCUUCCUAGAAAUUGUAGUGUAUUUUAUAAUCUUAUACACAAAGACUAUGUUUGGUUCUCAAAAAUAUUGAGAGAAAUGUAAGGAAAAUAAAAUAGAGAGUACAAAUAAAAGGAAAAAAUAUAUAUUUAAAAUCAAUAAAUUAUUUGUAUAUGUUAUUUCAAAUUCAUUUCAUUUAUUUUUUUUCCUUUAAUAUUAAAAUUAAAUAAUUUUAAAAUAUAUAACUUUGUAACUAAUUUUAAUUUUAUUUGAUGUUCUUUUAUAUUUUUCAUGAUGAAAUCAAAUAUGAGAAAAUUAUUUUUUCUUAACAAGUUUUUUCCUUAGCACUUUUUGGGAAUUAAACAUAGCCUAAAUGAUGAUCAUAAUUUUCUACAUAUUCUCCCCAAGUUUUUAUUUAUUGGAGACAAACACAAUGGGGCUCAUUUUAGAAGUCUUCCCAUAGUUGAGUGAUCACAAAAAGAGGAAUUUUUAAUUUGCCUUUCAUCUUGUUGGUCUUCAAAACAACCUUACAAAAUUGAUCUCUCUCUAAUCCAAUAAAAAAUAAUAAUAAUAAGAGGGACUAUUGAUUUCUAGUUUUUAACAAUAAAAAAAUUAUAAAAAAAAUUCUUACAAAAUAAUUUUUAAAGAACUUUUGAUUCAUGAAAGACCAGUACCUUAGCCCCUUUUGAUCAAAAAUAUACUUUUUAAUUACCAAAAGCAUGUCAAAAGCCUUUUGACUAAUUGAAAAUUUCUCUAGAAAGGAUGUCAACCACUUUUUUUUUUUUUCAAAUAAUUUUCUUUUUGAAAAUAUAUUUUUGUCUUCUCAAUAUUUUUUAUUUUUUAUUUCAAUAAAAGAAAUUUUCUUAUUGUAAGAGGCAUUUUUCAAAGAGAACUUUUAAAAAUUAAGAUAUAAUUCUUCAAAGGCAUUUUGUAAUUCAACAUUUGUAGUUGAAGAAUUUACCUCAUCUUCAUGGUCCUCCAAAGCACAAAGUAAUGUUUGGCAUCCUCAUUUGUGCACUCUUUUUCUAUGGAGGCUUCAUCAUUUUCACUUCAUGUUACCAUCACUACCUUCUUCUUUUUAGCACUUGCGGACUCUUUCUUUGAAUGAAGCCUUCUUUCUUUGACCUUCUCAAAUUUGAUAUAUUUCAUUAACUUCUUUGAGAUGAGAUCAAACUCUUCAUUUUCGCUUUCCUCCUCUUCAUCAUCAAUUGUUGAAGUCUUGAAUGAUAUGUCAUUUUUUUCCUUUUGACCUCUUGAUACUUGUUCAUGUUGAUCUCAUAAAUCAUGAGUGACCUAAUGAGUUCUUCAAGUAGGAGCUUUGAAAGAUCUUUAACUUCUUGGACUACAACCACCUUAGCUUUCCAUUUCUUUGGCAAGGACCUCAAAAUUUUUAUAACCUUUUUUAUUUAGGUAUAGGUCUUUCCCAAAGCUUGAAGUCCGUUGGUGAUGUCCAUGAACCUAGUAAACAUCUCACUAAUAGAUUCAAAUUCUUUCAUUGAAAACAAUUCAUAAUCAUGCACAAGGAUGUUAAUUUAAACUUUUUAACUUGGUUGGUUCCUUUAUGAGUAAUUUUUUAAGAGUCUCCGUAUAUUUUUUGCAGUUUCACAUUGAAGUAUCCUAUUAUAUUCAUUUAUGUCUAAUGCAUGAUGCAAAUAACAUAUAACUUAGCAUUUAGAUGUGAAUUUCUCUUUUCUGGUCCAUCCCACUCAUGGAUUGACUUUGGAAUGGGCGCACCCAUUUUUAAUUUUAAUUGGAAUAUGAUGUCUAUCUUGAAUGACUUACCAUAAAUCAAAAUCAAUAGACUUUAAAAAUCAAAUAAUUUGUUUUCUAAUACCCAUGAUCAUUUCUAGAAAAAAAAUGGGGUCUAGAAAUUAGAAAAUCUUUCAGCUACUAGCCAUUGGGGUUAAUAUGGUAUACUAGAUUAAUCAAUCGUUUCUCAACUGAUUAAGGUUUUAGCCUUGACUGGUUGAGGCUUAGCCUAGACUUGUUAAACAUCUUUCUGGUUUUGAGCAUUUUUACUCCCCUCAACCUAUCUAAGCCUAAUCAAAACAUAUUUUUGAGAUCUAUUUAAGGCUAGAAAACCUUGGUUUAUAGCUCCUUAACCUUUAGGAAACCUUUAAAAAGAUUUUAACCAAAUUAAAACUUAAAUUUUUCCUUGAUUCAAUUUUUAUUAUCUAAUUUGUAAAAGAACUAAAAACAAUUUAGCACUUGGAUGAUUUUAGGUGCUUAAGUAAAAAACAAAAUGCAUGGUCCUAGUGCACAAACAACCUUAUAACAAGAUCUUUGACAAAUGAUCUUCAAUGAUUUUUUUUUUUGGAAGUUUUCUUCUUCUUGAUUUUUAUUUCACUUGAUUUAUUUUUAUGAUUGUCACUUUGAAAAUCUUCUUGUUUAAACACACUUAGAAUAAACCAUUAGUUCCAAACCUUCUUUUACGAUCUUUAAAAUCGAGAUUAACAAGGCAUUGGUUUCACAAAAUCAUUGAUUUUUUUUUUCUUUUUCAAUCUAAACUAAAGGUAUAUCAAUUUUAUUAAUUAAUAAAAGAUCUUCUCUUUGCAAAGCAAAAGUCAUAGCUAUGGUUGGAGAAGAAACAUAUUGCUCUUUUGUUUUUUGCAAAACAACUUAAAAUAAUUAUUGUUACUAGUUGGAAUUGGUUUCCAAAACUCAUAAAAUUGAUAAUAAAGACAAACUUAUGCCUAAGGUCAAAUGAGGUUUAUAGUAUUAAGUAUCAAAGUUUUAAAAAUGUGAGUUAAGGCUUUAAUGUACUAUAUCAUAGAUAGCCUUUUCAAAUUGUAAAAAUUCACUUCUUUUAUAGAAAUUUAUUAUUUAAUGUGGGAGCGACAACUUGGGCCUAGUUUUCAUAUAAUUGAUCUGCAACUUUGAAAAUUUGAAGCGAUUGUUGACUAAAGGUGUGAUAAGUCCAUCUUCGACUACUACAAAAAUAAUUUAUGGUGUCACUUUUAAAAUAAUGACACCAUAUGACUUAAAAUUUAUAAAGGUGACACAUCGUAUAAAAAAUUUCAAUUAGGAUAGAUGAUAUUAAUUUUAAGUUUAUAGUGUCAGUUUUCGAAAAGUGACACCAUAUAAAAUAAAAAUUUUAAAAUAUUAUAACUUAAUGGGCCCACUUUGAGAAUAAUGAUACUAUAUAAAAAAACUCAUUGUUCCCACAUACCCACAAUCCAAAAAAAUCUCAUUCCAUAACCCUAACCAUAAUUUUCUUCUACCUCUUCUCGUACCCACAGUUAACACACAACUACUCUUCUCUACUUCGUGGACUCUCAGGUAACCCAAAAUCUCUUAGAUCUAUCAUUUUCAUUUUUUUUAUUAAUGCCAAAAUCUUUAUUAGCACAAUUGAUUUACAUUCAUUGAUUUAGUAUAUCUGUAAUGUGGAUUAUGUAAAUAGUGUUUCUUUUAUUGAGUUGUGGGAAAUUAAAAAUUAGGUUUAACAUUCCACCAUAUCUUUUGUUUCAUUAUUAAAUCCAUAAACCCCAAAAUGAAUGAAAAUAAGAUAAAUGAAUGGUUGUUUAAUAUCUUUCAUACUCAAAAUGAGGGAUAAACAUUUUACAGUAUGAAAUGUUCUUUUAAUCUUACAAGAAAUUUCCUUUGAUGGGACUUUCUAUUUGUUUUCUAGGAAUAUUAUAGUUUAUUGUGAUGGGGAUAUGUAUCGAUGAUAUUGGAAAAAUAAUUUUUUAGAAAAUUAUUCUCAAUAUUGUCAUCUCCCACAAAAGGAAAAAUGAAAUAGUUUUCAUAUCAUGUUGGAGUUGGUUUGGAAUAUUGGAAUUAACAAUGAGAAAUUAAUUUUAUUUUUUAUUUAUUAAUGUAAAUGAAUUUUUUUUUAAAUUUAAAUAGGAAUGAAAAUUUUUAUAAUUAUAAAAAUGAUAAAAUCUUAUAUUUUGAUUUUUUUUUUCUUUUCCAUUGUAUUAUGGUUAAUAUCUCAUCUUGUUCUAUUCAUAUUUUUUCUAUUCUUAAAAUAUGUUUUUUGUUUUUUUUUUUUACCUUCUUUCUUAUUGUUUUAUAUGCGUUGACCAAAAUUUAGAGUAAUUUGAGCUUUGGUGAUGAAAUUUCCCUUUCAAGGUUAGAAAAUUUCUAUAAUUAAAAUCCUUUUAUUACAUAAAUUUUCCUUUCAUAAAACUUUUUUUUUUUUUGAAGAAGAAGAUGUUUUAUAAUUUUCUUUUGAUUUUCUAUGAAAUUUCCUUUAAUCGGAUUGUUUGCUUAUUUUAUAAGAAUAUUAUAGUAUGUUGUGAUGAAGAUAUUGGUUGGUCAUAUUUGGAAAAUAAUUUUUGUGAAAAUUAUUCUCAAUAUUGUCAUCUCCUUCAAAAGGAUUCUAAAAAUAUGUUUUAUUUUUGUCUUCUUUUCUUAUUGUUUUUAUAUGCAUUGACCAAACUUUGGAGUAAUUUGAGAUUGAUGAUGAAAUUUUCCUUUCAAGGUUAGGAAAUUUCUAUAAAUUCCUUUUAUUACAAAAAAAUUUCCAAUCCCUUCCAUAAAACUCCUCAUUUUCUUCAUUUUUCUUUUUUCUGAAAAAAAUGUUUGAUAAUUUAUUGAUCUAAAGAAUAUUAAAAGUAAAAAAUUUAAAAUAUUGAAUAUCUUUUCCUUUGAUGUUUUUAAUUUUUUAUUAUUUUUAUUUGAACAUAUUUUUCAUAUCCAAUUUUUUUUAUUAAUUAUUUUAAUUAGAAAAAAUAAAUAUCAAUUGGAGUUAUGACUGAAAAAUCAAUAAUUUUUAUGAAAGGUUCUUUAAUUCUUUCUCAUACUAAUUUUUCUCUUAACAUUUUUUUAAUAAUGAAUUAGGUUUUUUGUCUUAUAUACACAAUUUUCAUGCUUGUUAUAAUAUCAUGUCCUCUCAUAUUAGUAGUUGAAAACAUUUUUAUAUUUUGUUACUAACAUUUUAUUUUAUAUAAUUGAGAUAAAAUUUAAUGGACAUUGUUAUUUUACAAAAUGAACAUUAAAAGAAAUAUUGAAAUUAAAAAAAUCCUUCCAAGAAAAAAAAAAAAAAAAAAUAUAUAUAUAUAUAUAUAUAUAUAACGAAUUAAAUGUUAAAAAUGAUUUUUAAAAGCAUAAUGAAUUAUAAAAAAAACAAAUUUAAAAAGUGUAGGUUUUAAGUGGAAGAUUACUAUUUUCUAAAAUUUUAGAUUUAUUUUUUGAUUUUCUAGUUUUGAUUUAUUUUUUAUUUUCUUGAAUUGUUUUUAUUUGAGUUCAAAUGUGACUGUUUUGUUAUGAGAUUCAGUGAAGAGAUAAUUGUUGAUUCUACAGUUAUUGUAUUAAAGGUUUUACUCAUUUAAUGAAUUGUGAUAUUAUUGUGAUAUUAUUAUGAUAGUUUCAUUCUUCCAAUUAUUGUGAUAUUAAUGUUAUUCUUAUUUGAUUUCAUUUUGAUGAUAAAAAAAAAACAUAUUCUCAAGUAGAAUUUGAUGAAAUUAGAGGAGAAUUGACUACUUUUGUGAUAUAACUAAUCAUGAAUCAUGUUCAUAUAUCAUGAUCAUGCAUGAUGAGUCCCUUAGUUGUUAUAUGAAUUUUCCAUUUGUAGAGUAUAACAUUUCUUAUUCUUUACGAACUAUUUUUAUAUCGAAAUGGGAAAAAGAAAAAAGAAAACAUUAAUACUUAGAUUUGUUUAUUUUUUAUAACAUUAAUUAAUUUUUAUUUUCAAUAAGAACUUUAAAACUCAUUAAACUAUAAAAUGCAGGUAUACACUCUUGGGAGGACAUUAUGAAGAAUAAAAAGAAAAGAAAAAGAGGCAACAAGAUUUUGGGUUUUUAGAUGUGACUUUUAUGUUAUACAUUAUAGGACAUAAACGUUACUUUAUUUGGUGUUGAGAAUUUUGGGUUUUUGGAUGCAACUCUUGUGUCAUUUUAUGGUUAGCUAAUUUUAUGCAUAUGAAAUGCAGGUAUACAUGAAUGUUGGAAUGCUUAACAUUUCUAAAUCAUAUUUUAAUGUAUAUUCACUUUUCUUUUUUAGUUUCGGUGGGUUUGAUGUACUAUCAUUUUGUGAACAUUUGAUAUACAAAUAUUACUAGAUGAUGUAAUGUAUUACAGGUUAAUCCAUAAGCAUUACGAAAAUAUAAUUUAAAUGUGAUAUGAUUAUUAUAUUUAUGGACAAAAUAUACACAAGUUGAUCUUAUUUAUUAAUAAGCAUUACAAAAAUAUACAAGCUAAUUAACCAAAAACAACCAUAUCUUCCAUAAUCAUUUACAAUGAUGUGACACCAUAACUCAAAGGUGAUGCAUUUAAUAUGACACCUUAUAUAUCUCACACAACUCUAUAUUAAAUUAAGUAUCACUAAAAAUAUAUGGUGUCACUUCUAAAUGUGUCACCAUUUAUCUGCUUUGGUGUCGGUUCCAAAUACGUCACCAAUUGGUACUCUCUAUUGUGUCAGUGGAUAAGGUGAUGCUAUGUUGUAGUGACACCCUAUGUUUAUAGUGACUCAUUAUAAAUGUCACCAUAUAGUGAAUUCUUAAUUCACUGCAAAUAAUAUAAGACUCUUAUAUCAAAAAAGAUAAAAUUUCUAUAAUCUCUAUGAUCAUGUGCACAUGUAACCCAUAUCUAAUCCCUAAAUUAAUUUUCUGCGAUCAAGAUUUGCAUAAUCAGUGUGAGUGUUGGAAUUUCACUCAUAUCCCACUUUCAUUAUCAAUUACUACAAGAUUAAAGUCAAUGACAAAAUCUAAUUUACUCCACUCUCAAGUUCUCAAAUUCCCAUAAUGCAAGUAGGAAUAAGAAAAGUGUGAUUGCCCUAGUGGGUAUGGGCGGUAUUGGAAAGACCACAGUUACUCAACUGGUGUAUAAUGAUAGGAGAGUGGAGGAAUGUUUUGACCUUAAAGCAUGGGUUUGUGUUUCAGAUGAAUUUGAUCUUGUCAAGAUAAUGAAAACCAUUCUUAAGGCAAUCAAUUCUGGGACUUCUAAUGACAAUGAUUUGAAUCUGCUUCAACUUAAAUUAAAGGAGAGCCAUAGCAGGGAGAAAUUCUUACUUAUCCUUGAUGAUGUUUGGAAUGAAGACUAUAUUAACAGGUAUUUGCUACAAACUCCAUUCACUGUUUGUUUAAAUGGAAGCAAGAUUAUUGUAACUAUACGUGGUGAUAAGGUUGCAUUAGUCAUGUGUUCAGUUGGGACAGUUAUCCUUUGAGUACUGUUGGUGGCUCUUUGCAAAACAUGCAUUUGAAAAUGGAGAUUUUAGUCUACAUCCGGAACUAGAAGAAAUUGGCAAAGAGAUCGUAAAAAAGUGUAAAGGAUUGUCUUUGGUUGCAAAGACUCUCAAGGGUGCCUUAUACUCAGAGUUACAAGUAAAAGAAGGGGAAAACCCAUGGAACGGCGAAACAUAGGAUUUACCAAAUAAUGAAAUUCUCCCCACCUUAAGGUUAAGUUAUUAUAUUCUUCCUUCACCUUAAAGCAAUGUUUUGCAUAUUGCUCAAUUUUUCCAAAGGACUACAAAUUUGAAAAGGAAAACUUGAUUUUGUUAUGGAUGGCAGAAGGUUUUUUGCAACAAUUUGGAGGUAAGAAAACAAUGGAAGAGGUAGGUGAUGGAUCCUUUUAUGACCUAUUAUCAAGAUCAUUUUCUCAUAAGUCUAGUAGCCACAAAUCAUAUUUUGUAAUACAUGAUCUUAUCAACGACUUGCUCAAUUUGUUCCCAGACAAUUUUGUGUUUAGUUGAAGAAUGAUAAGAUGAAUGAAAUUCUUGAAAAGCUUUGCCACUUGUCAUAUUUUUGAAGUUAAUAUGAUUGCUUUAAGGCUAUGUUUGGUACGCAAGAACGAGGUUGUAAUUAUAAAUAAAAUUAAAAAUAAAUAGUUUUUAAUAAAGUAUGAAUAAUAAUAUUAUAAUAAAACCAUAAAUUAUAUUUUUUUUAUAAAUGUUAUAAAAAUAAGGAUAUUAACAUCUUAUAGAAGCAUAAUUGAUUUAUUUUGUUAAAAAUAAAUAAUAAUAAUAUAAAAUUAAUAAUUGUUAAUACCAUUUUUAAAAAUCAUUGAACUUAUGACUUCGUUUUUUUUAAAUAAAAAAAAUUAUUUUUGAAGAAUAACAACCACACAAUAGUAUUAAUUUUUAGAAACAAUUUUAUUUUUAAAUCAUAAGCCCAAAUAGUUUUUUAUUAUUUAGCAAAAAAAAAAAAAACUUCCAAAGUUUUUUUUUUUCUUCAAUGAAAAUAAAAAAUUAUUUUAAACUAAGUGUGGACCCGCAUUUUUCACUUGCGCCCCCACUCGAUCGGCGAGACUCGCUUUUUUAUUUGUGAAAAAUAAUUUUUGGAAAAGCCAGAGUCGCCACUUAUUUUAUUUUUAUUUUAAAGGGAAAAUAAAACAAGAAAGGAAAACUCUAAAAAAAAAUGACUCCAUAAUUUUUGGAAAAGCAUGUCUUUGAAAACCCGAGUCUAGGUCCGGGGAUCAGGUUACUUAUUGGGAAGGUACCUCUAGGAGGUAGCACCCUUCUAAGCCCUAAAGAGGUCUCUACUAACAAAGUUAAGGGAAGUGUGGCCAUUAAUCAGUUAAUUAUGGAUACCUAAGUAGGCUAGGUGAUUUUAAAGAGUGGCAUGCCAAACACAAUCAAAUUGCAAUAAAGGAGAGUUAGGGUGCGUACCUGAACCGCUCUUCAAGCGCUAUCAUACAACAUAAGAGUUAGUGUAGGAAUCUAUCACACAACAUAUGUCUUAUCCAGGCAAAUCUAAUAUAUAUUUAAACACCCAAGAAUCACAUCAUGCAUGGAUGUAGUCACCAAUAGCAUACGUGUCCAUAGAAUUCUAAAAACAAAAUAUGAGAAGGAGCGUACCUAGAUAGCAAGCUAAAGCGCCUUUAUGGGAAGCAAGGUUAGCCCAAUAACAAAUAUAAAACAAAUUCAAGCAUAUCUCCAAGAGGAAUCAAAAUCAAUUAAAUACCAAACAUUCACCUUUAAAAUCAAUAUUAGUGAAGAUAUCAAGAAUGUAGGACCCCCACCAAAGUCCAUAUUACUUUUGCACGAAUUGAUUCAAUGAAUUCCAUUGUUUGGAAUCAUGAAGUUUGUUCAUGCUUGUUGAAAAUCGAGAAAAAUCAAGAAAUUCAGUUGAAAAUCAAAUAAAAUAGUGAAAAUGCAUGCCGGAAGGAAAAUGGCAGUAAGAGUGUUAGAAUAUGGAUUUUAUACCUAGAAAAGGACUUAAGAUGAAUUUUUCAAAACCAGGAAUGUUUAGUUGAACAAAGGUUCAAAAAUUCAAUUUAAAACAAUAAGUUUCCAAUCAAAGAAGCAAACAGAGGAGAAGGUGUGUAUAGCAGGGUUGCCAUGAAGUGAAGCCGGGAAAUUUUGGAUAGAAGGGACCAAUUCACUGCAAGAGUAUUCAACUGUCAAAUGUUUCAACGAGCCAAGCUAUCCGGGUGGAGAGUGAAUUGUUGGCCACAGUUACUCUCCUCUCCCAUCCGGCGGAAGGCGCCGGGUGUGAAAUAUCCGGAGAAGGCGGAACGUCGAACGGAUAGAAUGGCGGUUGUGAGAUCGGCCGGGUAUAACGGCGGCUGUGAGAUCGGCCGGGUAGAAUGGCGGUUGUGAGAUCGGCCGGGUAGAAUGGCGGCUGUGAGAUCGGCCAGGUAGAAUGGUAGUUGUGAGACAUCCAGAGAAAUGGGAGGUCGGCCGGGUGGAAUGGCGGCUGAGGUAUCCGGGUGGAAUGGGCGAUGCCAUAAACUAAGAACCCUCAAGAACUCUGCAUCUGUUUAACUCCAAGAAAACCCGUUUUACACGGCCUUUAUCAAGUUCCCACCUUUCUCGGGAUGUUCAUGGUCUCCAUAUCCGAGAAUACCAAGGUGAAGAAAGGGAAGAAACGUAGAUACAGAUGCACACAAAAAAGACCAAGAAAGAAAAAAAGAGAAAACAGGGAAAAGGAAGAUGAUAGGUCGGUAAUCAGAAUAAGUCACACUUUAUGCUUUUCAAAAUGGCUUGAAGAAUUGAACGCAUUAAGACAAACUUAGUUCAUAUUAUACCAAGAUUUCACAAACAUUAAAACUCAGCCAUAAAUCUCUGUUUCAGCUAUUUGUAGAAAGAAUCUAAGAAAUCAAGAACACAAUCAUAACAGAGCAAGCUUGAAGGAAAUUUCGAUUCAACAACGUAAAUAAGUGGCCCUCAAUGUCCACUCCAAUCAACAAGAAUAACUUCUCGAAAACAGCCAGAGAAUCUAGAGUGGAAUGUAAACGGGAAUACCAAAAAAAAUAAAAAAAAAAGAACAAGAAGCGUACCUGGCAGAUUCCUGGCUGCAAUCUCCCUUUUCCUGCUCUUCUGCACCUUUUCCCUCUCACAAUCAAAAGAAUCCCCCCUCCCUUUCUUCUCUCACAUAUAUAUGUCAACCUUCCCAAAAGAACAACCCAAAUCUGCUGGAGGAAAAUCCCCUCAUUCCUUCCUUUUGUAAUCUACUUUCCGUUCUUAUUUUCUUCCCUUUUAUAACCGAUUCUCCCAUGGAAAUAAUAUAUGUGCUAUCCUUCUGAAAACAAAAUCUCUUUUUAAAAAAAAUUCUGUUGAUUCUCCUUCCAAAUAGAUGACGACCCGUUUCCUCAUGCCCAAAAAGCCAAGAAAUAUGAUUUAGAAAACUUGUAAUAAGAUAAAAUAAAAUAAAAUAAAAAUAAUAAAGAAAUCCAUAUAAGCCACACAAGUCAUGUAGGUCAUGCAAUCAUGCAAGUCAUAUAAAAAGUGGGUUUAAAAGUGCUUAAAUGGGCCUAGUGUGUCUAAAAGCCUAGAGCGGUGCCUCAUGGGCCAAGUGUACCUAAAAGCUAUCCUAAAAAUGAACGGAAAAGCCUAAGUCUAAAUUAGGGCUGCCAAGAGUCACAAUAAGGGGUCAGAUAAUCCCUCAACCAAAAUCUCCGAGGUGGCUCAGAAAAAGGUAAGUUGUACGAGUAGUAAUGGGCCACCAAGGAACUAUUUUGAAGCACUGAAAACGAACUUAAAGUCAUGUGCUAAAGGGAAGAAAUUGAGGGUCUACACUAAGGUUUAAAAAAAAUGAAAAUAAAAUAUUAUUUUAAACUGAGAUUUAAAAAAAAAUGAAAAAAAAAAUAUUAUUUUAAACUAUAUGUAUGAAUAUUGUAAAUUCAUUUAUGAAAAAAAAAAUUAUUUUAAACUAUAUGUAUGAAUAUUGUAAAUUCAUUUAUGAAAAAAAAAAUUAUUUUAAACUAUAUGUAUGAAUAUUGUAAAUUCAUUUCUUUUUUUCAUUCUCAUUCUGUUAUUGCUUAACAUUGAAAUAAAAACAAAUAAUCAUUCUAAUGUUGCAUUGUUAUAUGCAUCCAAAACAUAAGAAUUGGAAUUAUCAAAUUCAUUCUUAUUCAAGGAUGAAUAAGAAUGAAAAGAAAAUUUUCUUUCUCAUUCCUCAUUUCCUUUCACCAAACAUGCUCCGAGAGAUUUGGGACCCUUAAUGAAGUUAAUGGUCUUCGGACCUUCUUACCAUUGAAUUUGAGGACUUGGCCUCGAUAUGAUAAGGUUUCAAAGGUUAUAUAUCUACCAUAUGGGCAUAAAUAUCUUCUACAAUUUUGCUAAAGUAAUAGACUUUGGAAUAAUUUAUUACCUAAAAGUUCAAUAUUUAAAGUUCAACUAUCAUUGUGAUAUUUAGACCUUACAACCAUCAAAAGGUUAUCUGAAUCAGUUUGUAGUUUGUAUAACUUACAAACAUUGAUACUAUAUUAUUGAGAUUCUCCUAUUGAAUUGCCUACAAUGAUGUGCAAAUUGAUUAGGUUACAUCAUCUUGGUAUUAGUCACAGUGGAGUGAAAGAGAUGCCAAGUCAAAUGGAUCACCUUUUACAAAAAUUGAGUAACUAUAGAGUGGGGAAGCAAAGUGGGACAAGGGUUGGAGAGUCUUCAAAUGGUGCCGGUAGUGGUAGAAGUAGAGGGUAUGACUUCAAGUAGGUACUCUAGACCACGAAUUGGAGUUCAUUAACGUGUUCUUUAAUUUUGAAGGAUUUGCAAAGAAACUUUCAAAUAUCCAAAAUCUUAAAAAAAAUAAUAAUAAUAAAAUAAAAUAAAAAAUAAAUAAAAGAGAGAGAGAAGAAGAAGAAAAAAAGAAAAAAAGAAAAGACCCAACAGAAUAAUUUUGUAUCUUAGGAAUAAGAGUUGAAUCCUCCAAUCAGCAAGAAUAAUUAUUUAAUGAAUCAACCGGAUUGAGACACAAAGUCUUCAGGUGUGAAAAGCCUGAGACUUUCCCAUUUUUAUUAAUCAAAAUAAUAAUUUUUGAAAGAAAUAUCUAUCAAUUUUAGUCCAAUAAUUAUUUUGACUAACUAGACUUUUAAAAGUGAUUUUUAGGAUUUUAUAGAGUAAUAACUUUUAAAAGAAGGCGGUUUUAAAAUUUAAAUAGUGCUUUUAAGCGUCUACUUGGUAAUCUUUUGAAAAACAAUUCUCAGAAAAAAGAUUUUCAAAAUCGGUUUUAAAAACAAAUCCAAUUAUUUUUAUAAUAAAAUAGUCUUCUUAAUUCAUAAAGGUAAAAAGUUCAUAUUUUCUAUAUUUUAUAUUGAUGCAAAGGAGGCUCUAUACUAUUUCUAAAAAUCACCCCAAGGAGAAGUUAUUUUGAUUCCUUAGUAUAAGUUAUUUUUAAAACACUUUUUUUUAAAAAAAAAAUGGAUAAGUUGUUUUUAAAAAUAAUUUUUUAUUUUGAUUUUGUAAAAAUACAAAUUGUAAAUUUAAUUUAAAUAAUAUACAAUAAAUUUAAUUCAAGUUAAUUAAACAUCAAAAUAAUUUUGUAAUUAAAAAUAAAUUAAAAAAUAAAUAUUUUUUAAUAAAAUAUGAAUAGUAAUAUUGUAAUAAAUCAUAAAUUAUAUUUUUUUAUAAAUUUUAUUAAAAUAUAGAUAUUAACAUUUUAUAAAAGCAUUGAUUUAUUUUGUUGAAACUAAGUAACAAUAAUAUAAAAUUAAUAAUUGCUAAUACAAUUUUUAAAAAUUAUUAAACUUAUGACUUUGUUUUUAAAAAAUUGUUUCUCAAGAACAACAACCAAACAAUGUUAUUAAUUUUUGAAAACAAUUUUAUUUUUAAAUCAUAAGCUCUAAUAGUUUUUUAUUAUUUAACAAAAAAACAAAAAAAAAAAACCCUCAAAGUUGUUUUUUUCUUAACCGAAAAUAAAAUAUUAUUUUAAACUAUAUAUAUAAAUAUUGUCAAUUCCUUUCUUUUUUUCAUUUUUGUUUUAUUAUUACUUAACAUUAAAAUGGAAACAAAUAAUCAUUUCAAACUUGCAUUACUAUAUACAUCCAAGUAUAAAAAUUGGAAUCACCAAAUUAUUCAUUCCCAUUCAAGGAGAAGUAGGAAUGGAAAGAAAAUUUUCUCUCUCAUUCUUCAUUCCCAUAUACCAAAUAUUGUCUCAGAGAUUUGAGACCCUUAAUGAAGUUAAUGUUCCUCGGACCUUCUUACUAUCAAAGUUUAGGACUUGGCCUCAGUAUGAUAAGAUUUCAAAGGUUAUAUAUCCAUCGGAUGGGCGUAAAUAUCUUCUACAGUUUUGCUUGAGUAAUAGAGUUUGGAAUGAUUUAUUACUUAAAGUUCAAUAUUUACUGAGUGUUGUCACUGUGAUAUUUAGACCUUACCUCCGCACCCAUCAAAAGGUUAAAAAGAAUCAAUUGUCACUUAUGGGUUGUUUCAGCGUGAAAUUGAAGUUGAAUAAUGGAGGUGAAAUCCAAAAGCCGAGAAGCAGCCAUUUGGGUUAUGAAAAUGAUUUAUAUAUUGGAGUGGUUUGAGGGUUGGCCAUUUAAACCAUGCACUGUGAACUUUUGCACCUUUCUCUUUGGCAGCUUGAGCCAACCAACUUACAGAACAACAAAAAUUGAAGUAAUGAUUCCAUGAGUUGGGUGUGUGUAGGUGGGUAAGAGUUGAAGGCAAAGCAUGUGCUCUUGCAGGCCACUACCCGCCUGUUGUCGUGAGAUCUCACUUGGAGACCCACCGGACACAUGGUGUUGAGAAGGUUGACGUUGGAAAGAUGAAAGGUGGGGAUAAUCUCGGCUGGUGAUACACACAACACUAUGCACCCGGAACACCCACAGGAAACGAAGAAGAAUAACAAGAAAAUAGAACAUCCAAAAAAAAAAAAAAUUGCCCCCCAUGCUUACCUGAGAGCUCCUCCAAAAAAAAAAAAAAAAACCUGAUCGUUGGACUUCUCCCCCAGCCUCCUUGUCCUCCUUGCAGCUGGCUUCAAUUUUUUUUUUUCUUCUCUCAGCUCCGUCCCUCUUUUUCCUCAACCCCCCACCUUUUUUUUCUCUUCCUCUCUGAAAAACCCUGUUCCAGCCAUCAUCCAUCUGCCACUCUCUGUUCCAGCCAUCACCUCUGUUCAGAGACAUCCCUCUCGCAACCACUAGCAUGGGAAGUUGGUGGUCCUUUGUCAUGCGUCUCAACAUGCAGCUCGCUUGGAAAACGUCUCCCACUCCUCCUGCAUGAGAUGUUCUCCGGGGGUGAUAUGAAAAUACCCCUUGGUCCAAGAGGGGUCUACAAUUACAUUAUUUAAUUGUUGUGAAAUCUAUCUUAAUUAGGUCUUUUCCUAUUGCAAAAUAAAUAAACAAAUAAAUAGAGUUUUUGUAGUUGUUAUAAUAUAUUUAUUUGUAAGUCUAAAAGUGAACUCAUUGGAAGCUCUAAACCUACUAGUGUGAACAAUUGGAUUACUUAAUUUGGUGAUAGUUCAUUCAUUUAUUUUUUUAAUUAAUCUUUAAAUUUAUUUCUUUUUUUCUUUAUUGGUCAUGUUUCUUGGAAAAUGAUGUCGGACGUUUGGGGCAACCUUCCUAGAAAUUGUAGUGUAUUUUAUAAUCUCAUACACCAAUGGUGAUAUUUCUUGGAAAAUGUGGUUUCUUGUUUUUUCAAUUAAUCACAAAGGUGAUCCAAUGGUCACGCCUUGAGUUAUUGAGAAACCAGACUUUGGUUCCACAUUGCCCUUGGCUUUUAGUCCAAGUAGUAGGUGGUAUCCACAGCCAUAUAUGAUAGUGUUUUCCACUCCCAAGAUUCCAUGAUAUCCCUCUGGUUAUCUGUUCUCAAUCCUAGUAACAAAUAUUGUUAUGAGCACAUGGUUCUACACCUCAUGCUCAUAUGCUUUAUUGAAUUUAACGUGAUUGUUGAAUGAAGGUAUGACAAGUCCAUAUUUUUUUUAUAAAAACCAAAUGAUUAUGAGACUCUUAUAACAAAAAAAGUUAGAAAAUUUUUAUAAUCCCUACAAUCUUGUACAUAUCUAACUCAUAUCUAAUCCUUAAGAUUGUGAUCAAUCAAGAUUAACAUAAUCAUCAAUCGGUGAGUCAGAAUUUCACUCAUUUACCACUUUGAUUAUUAAUUACUAAAAGAUUAAAAAUCAAUUUACUCUACCCUUUCUUGCUGUUCUAAGAUUACAUCCCCAUUCAUAAACCUUUGAUUGAUUAAAAAUAUGCAAAACAAUAAUGGUGUUCCCCACUAUCCAAAGAUUCGAUUUCUAGCAGAGAUUGAUCUCUUUGGUACAUACAUGCAUUCAACAAUUAUACAAAACAAUAAUUGUUUCCAUUUCAUAUUGAAGAUUUUAAAAUAAAGACCAGACAUUUCCAAUAAAGAUUAUAUUGCAGUGCAUUUCAUAUACAUGAAACAAAAACUACUCUCUUUUACCUUCUACUUGAUUUCUCUUAUUCACCACCCACUUCUCUUCUCUUUGUGAAGCUUCUACUUGAUUUCUCUCAAUUCACCCACUUCUCUUCUCUUUGCGAAGCUUCUACUUGAUUUCUCUCUACUCACCCACUUCUCUUCUCUUUGCGAGGCUUCUACUUGAUUUCUCUCAUUCACCCACUUCUCUUCUCUUUGCGAAGCAAAGACAUGGCUCCAGUUGGAGAGGCAUUGCUCACAGCUUCUAUUCAAGUUUUGUUGGAAAAGAUGGCUUCUCGCGAGGUCCUGAGCUUCUUCGGGGGACAGAAACUCAAUGCUGCACUCUUGAAUAAGUUGAAGAUCACAUUGCUCACUGUCCAUGCAAUCCUCAAUGAUGCGGAGGUGAAGCAGAGUGAGAAUCCAGCAAUCAAAGAGUGGCUCCACGAGAUUAAAGAUGCUGCCUACGACGCGGAGGACUUGUUAGAAGAGAUUGCUACAGAAGCUCUUCGGUGCACGACGGAGUCUGACUCCCAAACUAGUGGAACUCAGGUAUGGAACGCCAUCUCGACCUCUCUUAAUCCAUUUGGUGAUGGGGUGGAGUCCAGGGUUGAGGAGAUAUUUGAUAGAUUAGAAUUUCUUGCUCAACAAAAAGACGCUCUUGGGUUGAAAGAAGUUGUUGGUAAGAAACUAGCAAAAAGAUGGUCGUCCACUUCUGUGGUGGAUGAAUCUGGUGUUUAUGGCAGGGAGGGUAGUAAAGAGGAGAUAAUUGACAUGUUGCUCUCAGACAAUGCAAGUGGCCAUGUCAAAACUGUGAUAGCCAAAGUUGGCAUGGGCGGCAUUGGGAAGACCGCCCUAGCACAACUUUUGUAUAAUGAUGAAAGGGUAAAAUCAUAUUUUGAUAUGAAAGCUUGGGUCUGUGUAUCCGAAGAAUUUGAUCUCUUCAGGAUAUCGAAAACAAUUCUUGAGGCCACUAAUGGAGCCGCUUUUAGUUGUACUCGUGAUGUAAAUGACUGAAUCUGCUUCAAGUGGAGCUAAGAGAGUCCCUUAAUGGGAGGAAGGUUCUAAUAGUUCUGGAUGACGUCUGGAAUGAGAGCUACAAUAACUGGGACAUGCUACAAACUCCGCUUAAAGUUGGAGCAAGUGGUAGUAAGUUUAUUGUAACCACACGCAAUGCAAAUGUUGCAUUAACCAUGCGUGCGCAUCACACUCAUCAUCUCGAACAACUAUGCUUUGAAGAUAGUUGGCGGCUGUUCACAAAACAUGCAUUUGAAAAUGAAGAUCCUCUAGUACAUCCAAAACUGGAGGCCAUUGUAAAAGAAACCGUGCAAAAGUGCCAGGGCUUGCCUUUAUCCAUCAAAACACUUGGGGGUCUUUUGCACUAUAAGAUGGAUGAAAAAGAAUGGGAUAACAUAUUGAGGAGUGAAAUGUGGGAUUUGCCGAGUGAUGAACUUCUUCCAACUCUGCGGUUAAGCUAUUGUCAUCUCCCCUCAAAGUUGAAGCGAUGCUUCGCGUAUUGUGCAAUUUUUCCUAAGGGCUAUCAGUUCCGAAAGGAGGGGUUGAUUUUAUUGUGGAUGGCAGAAGGUUUUCUGCAACAACCAAAAAGCAAGAAAAGAAUGGAAGAGAUAGGGGACUGGUACUUUCAUGAAUUAUUGACAAGGUCAUUUUUUCUUAAAUCGAGUAGCAGAGACUCAUGUUUUGAAAUGCAUGACCUUAUAAAUGACAUGGCUCAACAUGUAUAUGGAGAUUUUUGUACUCGAUGUUUGGAAGAUAAGAUGAAUGAUGUGUAUAAGAAGACUCGUCACUUCUCACACCUUGUAAGUGAAUAUGAUUCCUUUGAAAAGUUUGAGACUCUUGUUGAAGUUAAAUGCCUCAGAACCUUCUUUAAAUUCCAACCACUAUUCAUGCAGACUUGCUUAAGUAAUAGGGUUUUACAUGAUGUGAUACCAAAUAUUAGAUGCCUCCGUGUUUUGUCCUUGUCUGGUUAUUGGAUUGUUGAUUUGCCUGAUUCAAUUGGCAAUUUAAAAUGUUUACGUUUUUUGAACCUUUCUCACACACCUAUCAAAAGGUUACCAGAAUCAGUGUGUAGUUUGCAUAAUUUACAAAUAAUUCUACUCUCUAAUUGCCGUUGUCUCCGUGAGUUGCCUCAUGGAUUGAAGAAAUUGAUUAACCUAUGUUAUCUUUGUAUUCGUGAUUCUGGAAUAAAAGAGAUGCCUGAUCAUAUUGGUCAAUUGAGAAAUUUACAAGAAUUGAGUAGAUUUAUUGUGGGUCAAACAAGUGGUCGUAGGAUUGGAGAGCUCAGGGGGCUUUCAGAAAUUAGAGGGAGGCUGCACAUUUCAGAACUCCAGAAUGUGGUUUGUGGUAUGGAUGCCUUGGAGGCAAAUUUGAAGGAUAAGAAGUAUGUUGAUGAUUUGGUGCUGGAGUGGAAGAGCAACUCUGAUGUUCUACAAAAUGGAAUUGACAUAGUCAACAACUUGCAACCGCAUGAAAAUGUCAAGAGGCUUACCGUUGACUCCUACGGGGGUACAAGAUUCCCUGAUUGGUUAGGAGAUCGUUUGUUCUUAGAAAUGGUGUUCCUAAAUCUCAAGAAUUGUCAACAUUGCUCUUCUUUGCCGUCACUCGGCCAGCUAAGCACCUUUAUAUCUCAGGGAUGCAUGGCAUAGAGAGAGUUGGUACUGAUUUCUAUGUCAAUAAUUCUUCCUCAGUAAAGCCCUUCACAUCCCUUGAAACUCUCGUUUUUGAGAAGAUGAGACAGUGGAAGGAAUGGGUAUCUUUCGGAGGAGGCGAAGGUGGAGCAUUCCCUCAUCUGCAGGUGCUCUGCAUAAGGCACUGUGCCCCAACCUCACUGGAGAAUUACCCUGCGAACUUCCUUCCUUGACGAAACUUGAGAUUUGUGGAUGUCAGCAGCUUGUGGCUUCAGUUCCAAGGGUUUCAGCCAUUCGAGAAUUUAAGAUACUCAAUUGUGGUCAGGUUCUGUUUGGAAGCCCGCCUUAUGAGUACUUCACUCAUCUGCAAACUUCAGGAAUUGAAAUUUCAGACAUCUCACAGUGGAAGGAACUACCUCAGGGACUGCGGGGGCUCACAAUUCUAAAAUGCGUCUCUGCGGAGUCACUACUAGAGGGAAUAAUGCAAAACAACACUUGUCUUCAACACUUGAUUCUCAAACGUUGUUGCUUUUCCAGAUCCUUGUGCAGAUGUUGUUUACCCACUUCAUUGAAAUCACUACGCAUAACUACGUGUAGAAGACUACAUUUCCUCCUUCCUGAGUUCCUAAAAUGCGACCAUCCCUUCCUUGAACGAUUGCACAUUGAAGGUGGUUACUGUAGAUCUAUCUCUGACUUCUCAUUUGGCGUCUUCCCUAAGUUGACUCGUCUUGAAAUCUAUGGUAUUGAGGAGCUUGAAUCCCUAUCCAUUUUGAUUUCAGAGGGAUCUCUCCCAGCUCUCGAUAUACUGCUAAUCCAUACCUGCAACGAUCUCGUAUCUAUUGAGUUUCCAACUUUCGAGUUGACACGCUAUGAGUUCUUACAUUGCAAGAAGCUCAAGUCGUUGAUGUGCUCCCUCGGCUCUUUUGAGAAACUAAUUUUACGAGACUGUCCCCUAUUGUUGUUUCCAGUUGGAGGUUCUGUGUCCAGCAUAAAUUCACUUAGAAUUGACAACUGCGACAAACUCACACCCCAGGUGGGAGUGGGGCUUGCAAGGACUGGCUUCUCUCUUACAAUUCAGCAUUAGAGGUGGAUGCCAAGACUUGGUGUCGUUUCCAAAGGAAGGCCUGCUGCCCUCAACUCUCAACUCUCUUGUAAUUGAAAGUCUCCCAAAUCUCAAGUCUCUAGAUGGCAAGGGGCUUCAACUGCUUACCUCUCUUCAAAAAUUACGCAUCAAUGACUGCUAGAAUCUUCAAUCCCUGCCAAAAGAGGGGCUUCCCACCUCCAUUUCUUUUCUAAAAAUUAGCAACUGUCCCCUGCUGAAAAAUCGAUGCCAAUUCUGGAAAGGGGAAGAUUGGCAGCGUAUAGCUCACAUUCCACGCAUUGUGGUGGACGACCAAGUUCUGUAAUGAAGGUACUUAUUCUGUCCUAUAAAUGAUUUCCUUCUAAAGAAAGUAGGCUGUGAUUGAAGCUUUCUAGUCAUAAUAUUAAUAUCUUUUAUUAUUUGUCACUUUCCUGUGCUGAAAAAAUAUUACACCAAUUUAUGUCAUGGCAGGCCUAAAUACCAAUUUUAUUUUGAUCCAUAAUAAAUAGGAAAAAUAUUCUUUAAAUUUUCUAAUUAUUAUAACAAUUUCUUGCUUUCUUUCAGAUUAUCUGUAUGUCUCGACUCUGGCACUGAUUCAACAUGUCAUCACGAGGAAUAUUUUAAGACUCACUUGCUUAAUUAGUGCCAUGAAAAAAUGAUGCUUAAAAGGCAAGCAUCUCUUCAGGUCUAGAUUUCGUAAAUUGAGUAAUUUUGUGGACAUUGAGUUUGUUUUCACUGGCUAAUUUGCUGAACUGUCAUGACAGAUUUUUUUUUUCCCAUCCAAAGACUCAUGAGUUGAUACUCCCCUCGAGGAACUACAGAAAGCUGGACUCUGUUGGAGAGUAAAGUAUGUGGCAUGCUCUAUGAUUCCAAUUAGUAAGACAUUUCAAUUGCUUUGGUUUACCUUUCUCAGCUACAAAUUACAAUAUUCAUAAUCUCACAUGCAUUAAUUCUUCAGGUUCUCUGAGGCUGCAUCUGUGUUGAUAUCUUAGUUCUUCUCUAGAAACAACAGGUAUAUUUUGAUUCGUACUUUUCAUAAGCUGACACAUUGUGUAGUUCCAUGAUUUUCAAAACGAGAUAAACCUAUCAUGGCAGGCCUUUGAUCCUAGUUUUCUCAACAAAUUCAAGCUGUCUAGAAAUGAUCCUUCCAAUGGGACCAUUUUUUCCUGUGAGUUCAGAGUCAUGAUUCUCUUUCUGGUAGACAGUGGCAGAGAUUUUUUUUUCCCAUCCAAAGACUCAUGAGUUGAUACUCCCCUCGAGUAACUACAGAAAGCUGGACUCUGUUGGAGAGUAAAGUAUGUGGCAUGCUCUAUGAUUCCAAUUAGUGAGACAUUUCAAUUGCUUUGGUUUAACUUUCUCAGCUACAAAUUACAAUAUUCAUAAUCUCAUAUGCAUUAAUUCUUCAGGUUCUCUGAGGCUGCAUCUGUGUUGAUAUCUUAGUUCUUCUCUAGAAACAACAGGUAUAUUUUGAUUCGUACUUUUCAUAAGCUGACACAUUGUGGAGUUCCAUGAUUUUCAAAAUGAAUACUAAAUUCUACUGAAGCUAAAACAAAAAUCUUACUGCCUGAGGUUAUGUCUUUGAUGAAUUUUAUUCACUAUGUAGGGAAUAAAACCAAAUUCCCAACCCGUGAGAAACAAAAAAUUAGAGAAAAACCCAUGCCAAAGAAAAAACAAUCACACGCACAAGACAGUAUUUACGUGGUUCGGCAAUUUGCCUACGUCCACGGAGUUGCAGGGAUAUCACUAUUAUCAGGGAAGAAUACAGAGUACAACCUGGCGGCUACAAUAUUCUCUAUAUAUAUAUAGCACAGCAACCCUACCAUACUAAAAAACCCUAAUUACAAAAGGUGGUUCCACAAUGGGCUAAACGGGCCCAACAGGCCUCAAUAAAUCUCCCAUUAAAAAACCAUGCAAUAUUAUUCGGGUCGGGUCGUCAAACCGGAUCAAACAAAACUAGGCUCCACAAAGCCCAACACACUAUGUUCAUACGGCCUCCGAGUGACCUAGACUUUAGCAUGUGCCUUAGUGUACACAUUGUUUUCAUCUCUUUCAGCUUUAAUUGAUCUGCAGAUGUUCAGUGUAGGCACCGCUCAUCUCCUACUCAUUUACAUGAUUGCCAUGGACCUUUGUGCUUUACUUUGUUAAUGAUAAGGUAAUCAUAAUAGUACAUUAGUUGAGCAUGGCUGCAACCAUUUUCAUAUUCAGGCUUUUCUUGUGCUUACAAAUGAUAAUGUGAGCUUGAAUUUUCUGUUUUUAAAUUUGUGAUUCUGAGGCAGAUAUUUGGAGAAAAGAGAAGGCAAACCAUAUUCAAAGUCAUAGCACUGUAGAGUAUGCUUUUGUUCCACCCAAGUCCAAGUCAAUUGAGUUAAAUCUUAUUAAUACUUCUAGGACACAGGUUCAAAUCAUUUGAUUUUCCAAACUUGAUGACAGCAUCAAAUUCUGCUGAUUACCAUGUGAACCAUUUUUAUUUUCAGAUGGUGGUAUUUUGAAUCUUCAGAGCAGUUCCAGGAGGAAGCUAGCUUUGCCAAAGCCUCCCUGUGCAAUACAUGGGCCUUUGGUUGCAAGUGAGAUUUGAGGAUUUUAUUUUAUCUUGGAAGACCUCAACAGAUUUUUUUGAGUUUUGAGCUUUGAGCUUUGAGCUUUUACUCCCAAGUAUGUGCAAAGAAGAAAGAAAGCAAUAAUAAAGAUUGGUUUACUGAAGUUUUAUAUGGAAUGAGACCCAAUGAAAAAAAUUGUAACUAUUGGUUUUUCAGCCUUGAACAGUAUAGUUUUGUUUCCCAUUUUGUUCUUUGAGCAAUGUAUUUGUAGAAUCAUACAUUUUGAAGUUACUACUGAUUUUGUGUAUAUACAUACAUAUAAAUGAUGUUCUCUUCUUGAUUCAUAUGGCAUUUUCUUCUUUGGUAUAUGCCGAAAAGUGACAAGUUUGCUCUAGGGUUUUACUUGAAGUGAGGUUAGAUAUGGUUUUUUUUUUUUUUUUGUGUAUAUAAGUGUUUACAUCAUAGGCAAAUCACUUCCAAUCUAGCCUCUUUUAACAUUUUUGGUUCCUUUCAUCCUCCUCAAUGUGACUUUGGUGCAAGUCGUCUUGAUAUAAAUGUUUGGAGUUUAAGCUUUUGGGUCAAUUUAAUCUUUAACUCAACAUCAAAGUCUCUGUUUUCAAGAUUUCCUGGUGCUCAUAAGAUGUUUAAAUUGAUACCCAAGUGGAAUUCUAGGACAAAUAUAUAUAUAUAAAAAAAAAAAAGUAUUUGUAGUAGUAACACAUUAUAUAAGAGGAAAACGUAAUUCAAAAAAAGAAAAAAGAAAAAAGAAAACAUAUAUACCAAGUAUCAUGUAUCAACGCACUUCAAACGAUUUUCUAAAUUUUUAAUAUUUUUUUCAAAUACUUAACUUUAAAAAAAUUAAAUAAAUAACACUUUAAAAAGUGCUUUUAAUUCUAAUAGAAUCACUUUUAAACGAAUUUGGAUAUAAAUCAAACAAGUUGAUUUUUAGUGCAUCUAAGGCCCUUUGGGUAAUGUUUUUAAAAAUAAUUCUUUUACAACUUUUGAAAAAAGUUUUUAAAAACGGUUCAUAAUUAUUUUCGGUAUAAAAAAUAGUUUUAUUAGUUUAUUAUCCAUAAAGAUAUCAUAUACUUAUCUACUAUGUAAAAGUUUUUAUUUCCAAUUCAUGAAUGAGAUCAGAAACCCAUCCACAUCUACUCACUUUUCCAUCCCCACCCAUGGAGAAGAAGAAAAAGGAAAAUUUUGGGUUCCCCAUGGAACAACACCAAAUUGAGGUAUAUGCAUGGAUGAAAAUUUCGCUAAAUAUUGAUAUAUUGCAUAUCAGGGGAUAUGGAAAUAUCGGCUAGGCAAAAUUUCAAGAAAAAUCGCUGAAAAUCGCCAAUAUUUCCCUAUAUAUCGGUGAUUUGGUGAUAUUUCGCCGAUUUUUCCCAAUUUUUUCAGGUGGUCAACACAGGUCAACACAUGUUACAAUGAAGGCUUAAACUUGCUGUUAAGGGGGCUUGAACCCCAAACAAAAGGCUUAAACUUGCUAUUGAAGGUACUUGAACCCCAAACAAAUUAAAGGCUUAGCUAAGCUUGGCCUACCCUUGUUUAAUAUAUUGCACCAAACAUGUUUAUAUUGAAAUUCAUCAAAUAAAACAAAUAUUAAAAGAAUAUUUUAGAGAACAAAAUAAUUAUAAUAUUUUAUAAUUAAAUAAAAAAAUUCAUUUAAUUGAUUACCAAAAAUAUAAAAGUUAUCAUGAUAAUUUUCUUCAUAAUGUUUUUAAUAUCAUUAAUAGAUUAAUUAAAUAUUAUAAAAUUAUAUAUAUAUAUUCUAUAUCAUUUAAUACAAUUGAAUUAAAUGAAUCAUAAUUUUAAUAAUAAAUAUAUUUUAAAAUUAAACAUAUUAUAAUCAAUAUCACAAUAUUAUUAUGAAAUAAUAUUUGAUGUAAUUUAAUAAUAAAUGUACACUUAUAAAAUUCAUAUAUUUUUAUCAAUACAUAGAAUAUUAUUAUCAAAUAUGAUAAAUCAUAAUAUGCAUAUAUCAAAUUCUUCAACAAAACGACUUUAAAAUAUUUAUUAUAUUUCUAAUUAUAUUUUUAUAAGGUUUUUCUUACAUUUCCAUGAAUUUUGAUCAAUUUUUGGUCUUUCGAUAUUUUUUUCCAAAAUAUCUAUCGAUAUAUCCGUAAAAUCGAAGUACCGAUAUAUUCGUGAUUAUUGAUAUUUUCAUCUUUGGGUAUAUGCAAGCUUUCAAUGAUGGGUGUGUUAAUUUAGAUCUUUCAAUCCAAUGGCCCAAAAUGAACUUGGAAUCUGGUUGUGUUUUGCUCCAUUAAGGCACUACAAUGAAUUCCAUGAUUAAGAUUUUGUUACAUGUUGUGGUUUGGAUCCGUGUGCCCAUUUGGACCCAAAACCCUAAUUUCGGUUAUUUUUUAGGAAAUAUUGAAUCUCACUUCAUUAGGGUUUAAUAUGUAAACAAGUAACCGAUAAAAAACUACCACAAAGUGACAAAGUAAAACUCUGUAAAAAGGGUCUUCACAUAUGAAAAUUUAAUACUAAAUCCACUUAUUGAUGCUUUUGGUCAUAAUGCCUAUAGAAAACUUAAAAGCGAGCUAGAAUGUAAAAGUAUAAGUGAAGAUGCAAAAAAAAUAUUAUAUUUUCUAAUUUUUGUAUAUCAAUCUUAAUUAGGUCAUUUCCUAUUGCAAAAAAAAAAAAAAAAAAAAAAAAAAAAAAAAAAACUUGAAAUUUUUUGUACUUGUUAUAAAAUAUUUAUUUGUAAGUCUAAAAGUUAGCUCAUUGGAAGCUCUAAAUCUAUUGGUAUGAACAAUUGGAUUACUUAAUUUGAUGGUAUCUUAUUCAUUUUUUUUUUUUAAAUUAAUCUUUAAAUUUAUUUGUUUCUUUCAUUAUUGGUCAUGUUUCUUGGUAAAUAAUGUUGUCCAUUUGUGGCAAUUUUCCUAGAAAUCACGUUGUAUCUUAUAAUCUCAUACACCAAGAUCAUGUUUGAUUUCAAAUUCAGUUUUGUGGAAUUAUGAAAGGUAUCUUUUGAAGUGACACCUUCAAUAUAAAUUCAAUUUUUUUUCAAUGUGUGACCGAUAUGAAAAUUAUGGAAAGACGUCUCUUAAGAGACACCUUUAAUAUAAAUUUAUGAAAUUGUGGAAAAUGUCUUUUAAAGAGACAGUUAUAGAAUAAAUUCAAUUUUGUAAAAUUGUAGGUGUCUCUUCAAAAGACACCUUUACUAUAAAUUAAAAAAAUUUCAAUAUGUGGCUGAUAUGAAAAUUAUGGAAGGUGUCUCUUCAAGAGAUAGUUUCUGACAUGAAAAAAAACUACAAUAAUUCCUUAAUAGCUUCACAAGUACCCCUUUUUAAUUUCUUUUGUUUUUAUAAUUCAUUGUAGAAAUUAAAAAAAAACCCUUUCCAAGAACCAAGCAUAGUUUAAAUAAUGUUGAUAAUUUUCUACUGAUUCUCCCCAAACUUUUAUUGGAAACUAACAUAAUGGGGCUUAUUAUAGAAUUUUUAAUCUACCUAUCAUUUUGUUGGUCUUCAAAACCACUUUACAAAAUUCAAAACAAAAAAAAAAAAAAAACAAAACAAAAAUAGAGGGAACAUAGAUUUCUAGCUUUUAAAAAUAAAAAAAUAAAAUAAAAUAAAACCCAACAAUUUCUUAAAGUAGGUUUUGGACCUAAUGAAAUACAUAGCAGUUAAACAAUGUUAAAUGACAUAUGACUGUUUGAAAACAAUGUUAAAGACAUUAGUUCGAUCACUGUGAUUCUUAUUACAGCUAGAAUUUUAUUUAUGUAUCUUUUUGUUCGUGUAUCACAUUAUAGAGUCUACCAUUGUGAGAACUAAUGCCCCUUAAGCUUCAACACUCAUCUCAAUUUUAUGAAGGUUCUUUUAAUUAUUAUUUUGAAUUGGGAUUUGGCCACAACCUAAAUUAACCAAGAAUUGACAAUUGAGACAAACUCAUACUCCAAAUCCAAUUGGUUGAACUAAUUGCACUAUGGAAUGCUCAUAAUGUUGGUUCGGUUCAAUAAUUGAGUCGCUACCGGUAUCAAACUGAAAACAAACUAACUAAACUAUCAUUCAACUCUUUGGACCAAUUCUAUGGUCCGUACUGUCAAUUUGGUUUAGCAAUCUAGUCGUGCUAGGUAAUGAAUUGAAAACAAAGUUGGGUUGUCUCUUGACCAGUGAACCCAAUAUAUUAGAAUGUAAAAGGCAAAUGAUAAUUAUGCAUGCGCUACUUUUGUGUUUGUUGUAGUGUUAAAUUAUUUUGAAUGUGUAUUCAUAUGUUAUCAUUUUUAAUAAUUAAAUAUAUUGUAGCAAAGUGCAAAAGGCAAAUAAUAAUCAUGUCUCUUGCUACUUUUAUGUUUAUUGUAGAGGCAAAUUAUUUUGAAUGUGUAUUUAUAUGUUAUCAUUUUAUAAUUAAAUAUAUUAUUUAUCAAGAUUUAUACAAUAAUGUAAACUUAAUAAUUUUUAAGAUAAUAGAGUAGGAUAAUGUAAUGGAUAAAAUUUUAUUAUUUCAUUCUAGAAUAUAUCAUUGAAAUAGUAAAUCAUAAAUAUUAUAUAUUCAUACUAUUUAAUAAAUAUACAAAUAUGGAAAUGAUAUAUGUUGACAAUUUUGUUCAUUUUAAUGUUUAACCUUAGAAGUCUUUUUAAAUAAUGACUUACUCUUCAUUGAAGAUCAAGAGUUGUUGUUCGUCCAAUUGGGAAGUCAUAGGUAUGUCUAAAAAUGUUUGGCUUAUAGCAAAUUAGGCUCCCAAGAGGUAUAAAGAGAAACAAUACCUUCUUAAUUAAAGAAAAUUGAUUUUUUAUGAAUAUUGAAAGAAAUAGGGGAUGCUUGAGUGGAAAGCAACACUCAAGCGCUAGGAUCGCUCAAUCGCUUAGCAUUGUUCAAGUGCCCAAGGUGCUCAAGUGAUGGUUAAGUGUGCCCAAGGCGCUCACGAUUUUUCUGCUGAGAUUUGGAAGAUAUUUUUGAGAAUUUCAUGCAAAUCUCAUUUGGAAACCUUAUGAUACCAAAUCUCUUUGAGAUAUUUGCCUAUAAAUACCUCAUUAUAACCCUUCUAGGGUUAAAGAUUGGAGAGAUUUCGAAGAAGUCUCCUUGAGAGAAAGCAUAAUGAGCCACACUAUUCUCGAUCUCUCAUUCGAAGGAUUCAAGCAUUGAAUCUUAGGUUGAAGACUUUCAUCCCUUCAGCAAGGUUGAAGAGUAUUCAUUGGAGCAAUCAGAGGUUGCUACGUUGCGGAUGUGGAUCAAGUUGUAGGUACUUGAAAGUAAGUCUUUAGAGUAAAGUGAUCAAGUAAAUAUGUAUAACUUGAUCUCAUAUAGUAGAUUUAGAUUAACAGUCCUAAACCUCAUGAUUUUUUAUCUCGAUAGUUAGUGUGGGGGUUUUCCACAUAAACAUCCUUAUGCUUGAUUGCAUAUCUUUAUUAUCUUAUUUGCAUUGCCUAUUAUGAAAAAAUUUGAUAAUAGUGACUAAGUAUAUCCCAAACAAUUGCUAUAAUAAUGUGCAAAUACAUAUAGCAUGUGUUUAUUUUAUAGAAAUUUUUUAUUUAUACAUAAUUUCACAUAUUUUAUAGGAUAUUUCUCAGAUUUUAUCUACAAUCAUAUUGAAUAUUCAUAAAGCUAAUUUCAUUAUUCAUUUAUUAUAAUGGUAAUAUUCAAUUUAUUUUUUAUUUAUUUAUUUUUUAUUUGAUUUUUCUUAUUUAUGUUGAAUAUUAUAAUGAUAAUAUUAAAUUUAUUUUUUAAUUACAUAACUGUAACUAAUAUGAUUAUCACUACUGAUUGCUGAAAAGUUAAAUUGUAGAUGUUAUGAUUCAUUAUUUAUGUUGAAUGAGAAUUAAGCAGUUAAAUGUGAAAGAGGGACUUCCCACCUCUAUUUCUUUUCUAAAAAUGAGCGACUGUCUCCUACUAAAACAUCAAUACCAAUUCUGGAAAGAGGAAGAAUAGCAACAUAUAGCUCACAUUUCACACAUUGUGGUAUAAAUGAUUUUCUUCAAAAGGCAAUAAGUUGUGAUUGAAACUUUCUAGUCAUAUUGUUUUCUUCCUGCUUAGUACAUGUUUUAUCACUCUAGGGUUUAAUCCUUCAACAAUACUUUCUGUUAUCUCGACUGCCUUUAAUUAACCAUAAACUAACUACUUUUUAUAUCGACUUUGCCUUAAGGAAUUGUGAAUUAAUUGGAUCUACUCAUACUACCACCCUAUAAAUUUUCUUCCCUGCUAACUUUACGUAGUUAAUGUUAGAAAAGUUAAAAACAUUUUCUAAAUUCAUUGUCAAAUACACUCUUAAUUAUGAUAAAAUCAAUAUAACUCAUAACAUGUUUAGAUGAAUAUGUGAGAAUUAGAACCCUUUUAAUAUUUGAAAGCAUUUUUUUCCCAUAAAAUUUGAUAUUUUUUAUAAAAUUAAUAAUUAUUUUUAAAAAUAUAAAAUAAUCAUUGAAGUAAUUUUUAAACUAGUAACUAAUAGAUGUUUCUUUUAAUUAUUUUUAUUAUGUAAUAUAUCAUCAAAAAUACUAUCAAGUCACUUUCUCAUGCAAUUUGACUAAAUCAAAAUAGAUCUUAAUAUUAUUAAAUAUCAAUUUGUUUUUAUUGUUGAAGUCUUAACUUUUUUUCCUAGUGAUGUAUUACUAUUGCUAUGAGUUAAAUGAACAAUCUUUAUCCUUAAAAAUAAUUUAUUUUAUUUUAGCUAUUGUAAAUAAUUUUGAUAAAGAUAUUUUGAAACUAAUAAUUUAAAAAUUAUUAAUUUGAUAUAUUUAGGAACAUCCUUAAAUAUUAAAAUAUAUAUAUAUAUAUAUAUAAUUAUGGACCCCGCAUUUCGGCUCAUGCGUUUCCCACUCGAUAGCGAGCUCAAAUUUUAUUUGAAAAAUGAUUUUAAUUGUUUAAGAAAACUGACUUGGAGUCGCCACUUAUUUUUGUUUUAUUUUUAAAGGGUAAACAAAAUAAGAAAGAAAACCCUAAGUGCGACUCCUUGUUUUGGAAAAGGUGGCCUAUGAAAACCGGAUCGGGCUCGGGGGUCAGGUUACUUAUCGGGAAGGUACGGUAUGAACCGUAGCACCCCUCUAAGUCCCUAAAGUCGGGUCUCUACUAAUAGAAUGAAGUUGACGUGGUCAUCAACAAGAAAAACAAUGAACACUCAAAUCGAUCGUGCACAAUAUGAGAAUCAGAAUAUGCAUACAGAAUGAUCAAAACAAGAAUGAGUGCGUACCUGGACCUCCAGUCACGAAUGCGCUGUAGAAAAGAAUCCGUGAGUUCCUUUCUUGCCCAUGAUCAGCCUCCCGAUUGUCCUUCUCCUCCUGGAAACUCUCUGCCCUCCCAAUAUCUUUUUUUUUUCUUCCCCCUCUUGUUUCCUCCUCCCGCAAGCCAAUAUCCACUCCUCUGUUCCCCUGCUCCGCAUGUCUGGAGCCCCAACCACCACUAUGGUUGUGGUCAGUUGCUCUCCACACUUUUCAUGCAGCUGAUGUUUCCAGAAAACGGUCCCCGCCCCAGCCUUUCUCGAGUUGACACGCAUAAAACCUCAUAAAUGCUCCACCUGAUAAGAAACGGCUGCAGCUAGAUGGGGGUCUACAAAUAUGCCCCUCUUUAGUAGAGUUCACGAAUGUAAAAGACAUGAACACUAGAGUGAAAAGAAAGUGUGAAUAGUGAGUGGAAUGAAGUGGACUCUACUGAAGAACCAAGGAGACCCCCAUAGGGACACUGGUGAAACACGAACUCGCUCAGACUAACAGAUGGACAACGAGGCUCUAAUCCCAAUAAGGAAGGAUGUCUCAAAAUGUCUCUAAAGUCACACUGAGGACCCAGGCUCUCUCUAAGAUGUCUCCAAAAGUGACUCGAAAGACCAUAUCCAAGAUGAGUAACUGUCGAACCACUCUGAAGUACAUGAAAGAAUGCGUCUAAAGGAGACUGUCCUACGCGAACCACAUGAAAGCAACAAGUGUAGGGUGCUCAAUAACAUGACAGAAAUACGUAUCAUAGACUCAAAGGAUCGUGUCAUGAGCAAUGAGGAGGGAAAUCUGGAAGAACAAUGACGAAUAGGCGAUAAGCACAAGGUAACCAGGUGAGGAAAAAAUGAGAGUAAGUGUGAUACCAUGAAAGCCAGAGUGGGCAAUGUCAGUGAAUGUGAAUACCGGGGAACUGUGACUCAGAAUGAUACAAAGGAGGAGAAGUGACUCUGAUCAUCAAUAACACGGAAAGAUGGAGACUCAAGGUGCCCGAAUGGACAAUGUACAACGGCUCUGAACGCCAAACUAAAGAAAGAUGAUGGCGUCGAAUGCCUGAAUGAGCAUGAAAAAUGGCUUUGAACGCUGAAACUAAGAAAAAUAGUGACUCAAAAUACAUGAAUGAGUAUGAAAAACGGCUCUGAACACCAAAAACUAAAGAAAAAAGAAAGUGAUGGCUAUGGAUGUGGAUAUGAGACUACAACUCUGAACAUCAAACUGAGAAUGAAUAACGACUCUGAAUGCCAAAGUGCAAUUGUGGCUCUAAAUGCCAAAUGGGAAAUGUACGAUGACUCUAAACACCAAACUGUAAGCACGGCUCUGAACGCCAAAACGAAACAAGGGCUCUGAAUGCCAAAUGGAAAGCGAGCAAUGGCUCUGAACGCCAAAAUGAAACUAGGGCUCUGAACGCCAAAUGGAAAACGGACGAUGGCUUUGAAUGCCAAACUGAAAGUACGGCUCUGAAUGCCAAACUGAAACAAUGGCUUUGAACUCCAACUAAAAAGAAUGAUGUGAUAACCCCAAAUGUCGAUCCAAAACCGAGGCUCUGAAUGCCAAAUGGAAAACGAACAAUGGCUCUGAAUGCCAAAUGGAAACAAUGGCUCUGAACGCCAAAUGAAACAAUGGCUCUGAACGCCAAAACUAAAAAUGAUAUACUGAUCCUGAAUGUCGAACUAUAACCAUGGCUAUGAACACCAAAUGGAGAAUGAACGGUGGCUCUGAAUGCCAAAUGAAACUAUGGCUCUGAACGCCAAAUGGAAACAAUGGCUCUAAACGCCAAAUGAAACAAUGGCUCUGAACGCCAAAUGGAAAACGAACAAUGGCCCUGAAUGCCAAAUGAAACAAUGGCUCUGAACGCCAAAUGGAAACAAUGGCUCUGAACGCUAAAAUGAAAAAGUGAUAGAAAUGGACGUCGAAAUGAAAACGCGGCUCUGAAUGCCAAAAGAAAAUGAACGACUCAGAACGCCAAACUGAAACGCCAAAUGGAGGAUAGAUCUAGGUGUCAAACUAAAAACGAACAAUGGCUCUGAACGCCACACUGAAAGUAUGGCUCUGAACGCCAAACUAAACUGAAUACCCAUGAACGUCAAGUUGAGAAGGACGACUCUGAAUGUCAAAAUAGAGAAUGACAUGGUGGCUCUAAACGCCGAACUGCAAGGGAAUGAUGGGGGGAAAUAUGCCUCAGUGUAGCAUGUCACCAUAGCUCUCAAUCCAUCGAAAGUGUUUGAAAGAGACUCCAUGAGUCUCAUAAGAUGCUCUAGUAGUGAGUCGAGAUGAUCAAAUCAAAUGAUCCACUAGGGAAUCUCAAAAGAAAGACGAUCUGAUAGGGGUAACCACUGUGAUCUCAAUACAACAAUCUACUGAAGAAUAACAUAUAGCGAGGCAGUCACAACCCGAAUGUCCUGCCCCACUGAAAGCUCAUCUCGAUGAAUAUCGCCAAAACAGUGACCUAUGGAGCAAAUACGAUAUCUCUCGGCCGAGUGGUGAAAACUGUAACAAAUUUGUGAUAGAAUGACCUUCUUCAUAUCCAAAUGAGGGAAAUAUGCCUGGCAUCAGAUGUAUCCAAUCUGUCCCGAUGAAUCAUGAGUAACUCAAUAGGGAUGCAUCGUAGAUCUGACAAGUGUCCCGACAAAAUGAUGAUGUGAGAGUCCACGAGCCUGAGGCGACUCCAUCCAAAAAUCGUAAUGACACCAGAAAGUAUGAGCCUGAUGAAACGACUCAAAGGAAAGCCCACCGGAGAAUCAUGACAAAAUGAAACCGAAUCCUCAACUCGGCAUGUAUCUUGUAACUAGGGAUGAUCAUGCAAACCAGAGGGGAUCUAUGAAUCUCAAUCGAAAUGGAAAAUAUGCCCCAGUAUGGCAUCAAAGGUGUAACAAGCCGGGAAAAUCAAAUGACAUCAAAUCAUGCAUCGACAGAUAUGUAAUCCCGGUCAUCCGAAUCCAUAACAACAUCACACUCAUCAAGCUAAGAUGCAUCUAUCAAAUAGAGGGGCACGAUGGCAUCUGAGCGCCGAGAAGUGCGUGUCUAACUGGAUGACUCCCGAGAGGCUCCACUGAGGAAUCAUCAUGACAAUAGUGAACAAAUCGUUGUCUUAACGCGUGUUCUGUGAGUGGGAACGAUCACGUAACUCCAUGGAGAUCUCCAAACCUCAUCCGAAAUGGAAAUAUGCCCCAGUGUGGCAUCAAACGUACAAUAAGUCGAAAAUCGAGUGAUAUGGAGUCAUCUAUCAUCGGACAUGUGAUCUCCGUGAUCCAAAUCAAAUCCAAACAUCCAGGGAACGUCUCUCAGAAUAAAAAGUAUAAAAACAACCCGAUGUCGAGAAAUGCGGACCUAGAUGAAUGGCUCCACUAGGGAUCCACUAAAGGGAUCAUCAUAAAAUAGCGGAAACAUCAUCGUCUCAACGCAUACCCCGCAGGUGGGGAUAAGCAUGCAACUCCGUAAAGAUCGGCAAAUCUCAUCCAGAACGGAAAUAUGCCCUAAUAUGGCAUCGAAUGUGUGAUAAAUCAGAAAAGAUCAGGUGUCAUCAAAUCAUCCCUCGUCAAAUGCGCUAUCCCGGUAAUCCAAACACAACUGAAACGAAUCUAACCAUCAAAAAGGCGUCUCCCAGAAGAAGAAGCAUGACAAUAUCUAAAAGGCAACCAGAUCUCAAACACCUGUCCAAGCAGAGGCUGUCGAAGACGACAUCUGAUCCCAUGGCCUCAAGGUGGUCUUAAGACACGGGACGUAACGUAGGCUAGGGUGAUAGGGUGAUAGAAAUGAAGGGAAACUAGACCCAAAUACCCAAUGAUCAAAACUCAUGCCCUUAUGUAUAAAAUGCAAUAUGUAUAGAGAAGCCCGUGAGCCAUGGACCUGAAUGUGCCCAACGUGAAUGUGAUAUCAAUAACGAGGUGAUGAAGAAAAAUGAUCUGAUAGCCGGAUGUGUAAGAAUGAUGCAUGUGAAGUGUCAAACUAGGAAUAAAAGGGUGUGGUAAGAAAAAAAUGGCAAAGGGUGAUAUGAGAAUGAUGAAUCAAAAACGAAGACGAGAAUGAUGAUGAAAUGAGCAAUAUAAAGGGGAGUAGUGAUCAACUCAAAUCAGACAUGGAGUGAAGUCACAUCAACAAUGAACGUAAUGAUGGAUAGAACAAUGACCCGGAGUCCUUAGGAGAAGGCCACUCAUCUCGCUCUCAAAACAUAAGACAAAAUGAAUACAAAGAAUGAAGGGUCUCGGGAAGCUCACAUACGAACUCCCAUCAACAAACAUACUCGAUACAGUGACCCUCGAAUAUUAACAUACACGCCCAGCAAUGGAGAAUACUAUGCACAUACACACAUGUGCUUAUUUUUCUUUCCUUUUCGGUUUUUUUUUUUUUUUUUUUUUUUUUUUUUUUUUUUUUUUACAUAUAUACAAAAGCACAUACCCUGAACAUAAACAAAUGAACCCCAAAGAUGAUAUCAAUAAUGAAUAGACACACUCCCAAGUGCUAAGGUAACAAAAACUCUCUCUGACAAGAUGACCUUCUCAAACUAAGGAUCUCUAAAUCAGUGUCCGUAUGAUAAAUAGUGGAAAUGAUGUAACUAUCCCCCCAUGUAAUGAACUGAGGAGGAUUACCGCUCGAGGUGGAGAGAAUAUGAAGCAAAACAAGUAGAUAGAAUAAAGAAUGAGAGAUGAAAAACACAACUAAUGAGAUAUGAAGGAAUGCAGUAGGAAAAAAUAAUGAGAGAAAGAUGCACCUGUAGGUCCAAGGCUCAUGAGGCUUCCAAACAAUGCAUGCAUACACUAAAGGGCCCCAAUCCCGAUGUAAAAAUGUGAGUAAGGUGAUAAGAUAGAAAUGCUAUAAUGCACACGCGAGACUCAAUGGGCUAGCAAUGGUUUAUACGUCAAAAGGGAAUAACAAGGUAUAUGGCUAAACCGAAAUGAUGGCCACCCAUCCUGCGACCAUGGUCUCAAACAUAGUACCUCUUUAGCUGAUCCACGUUGGUAGGCUCCGAGAAUUGGUUUCCAUCUAGAUCCAUCAACCAUGCAGCGCCCUCUGGAGUCAACUCUCUGAUGAAGUAAGGUCCGCUCCAAUUGGGUCUGAACUUCCCUUAGGAUCUCUGAUCAAUCCCCUGAUGACCUUCAGAACCAAGUCACCUACAUGUAGUGGUCUGGGCUUGACCCGCUUUUUGAAAGCACGGGCCAUCUUCCUCUGAUAUGCGCGAACAUGGUCAGCUACCCUCAAUCUCCUCUCAUCAAGGAGAUUGAGCUGAUCAAAUCGAGCCUGAGCCCAAUCUGCCUCGGGAAUCUACUGCUCUGAUGCUACUCUCAAUGAACCCAUUUCAAUCUCAACUGGUAGCACUGCCUCCAUACCAUACACCAAUGAAUAGGGUAUGGCCCCUAUAGAGGUGCGAAAAGAAGUCCGGUAAGCCCAUAAUGCGUAAGGGAGCUUCUCUGACCAAUCCCGAGAAGUCUCAACCAUCUUCCGUAAAAUCCUCUUAAUAUUCUUGUUCGCGACCUCUACUGCCCCAUUCGUCUGGGACCUAUACGCAGAUGACCUAUGAUGUUGGAUGCCAUAUCUCUGCACUAAGGUGUCAACCUCUACUCUGAAAUGCACCCCUCUGUCUGAGAUCAACUCAUGAGGGACUCCGUAUCGGCAGAUGAUGUGUGAUCUAAUGAAACUAGCAACUCCAGAUGACGUCAAUCUCGCAUAUGAGGCGACCUCCACCCACUUGGUGAAGUAAUCAAUAACGACAAGGAUAAACUCAUGACCACUGGAAGAUUUCGGCGAAAUCUUCCCGAUGAUAUCGAUACCCCACACUGAAAACGGCCAUGGUGAAGUCAAUGCAUGCAACUCUGAGGGCGACACGUGAAUGAGAUCUCCAUGUAUCUAACACUCGGGACAUCUCUGAACGAACUGGCAACAAUCCAUCUCCAUGGUCAGCCAAAAAUAGUCAGUCCUCAUGAUCUUACGAGCCAACAUAUGUCCUCCCAUAUGUGGUCCGCAGACUCCCGAAUGAAUCUCUCUCAUCACUCGAUCGACAGAGGCGCGGUCCAAACAUAAUAGCAACAUCCCGUCAGGUGAUCGUCUAUAUAACAUCUCGCCACAAAUCAUGAAUCGGGCCGCUAACUGUCUCAAUGCUCUCUUAUCCUUGGCUGUAGCGGUCUCAAGAUAUACGCUGAGUCUCAAAAAAUGAUAUAUGUCAUGGUACCAAGGCAAACCAUCAUCUGGUUCCGCAUCAUCAAUCAAGCAACAGUAAGCGGGAGUGGAUCUCGACUCGAUCAAUAAAAGACGAACAGUGGCAUCAGCACGAAUAUCGAUCAUGGAAGCUAGAGUAGCUAAGGCAUCAGCAAAUUGAUUCUGCGCUCUAGGCAGGUGCGUGUAUCUCAAAUCGUCAAAUCUAGCGACCAGUAGCUCCAAAUAUGUGUGAUAAGGCCUGAGCUUCGCAUCUCUAGUCUUCCACUCACCCUGAAUCUAUCUCAAUACCAAAUUGGAGUCACCAAACACCUCCAUCUGUCUAAUCUCGAGCUCAAGGGUCGUCUCCAAUCCCAAGAUACAAGCCUCAUACUCAACAAUGUUGUUCGUGGCCGGAUGUCGAUCCGAGAAUGCCAAACGAACAGAUCUGGGAAUGUGAUCACCGUGAGGGGAUAUCAACAAAACGCCUAUCCUGCAUCCAGAAUGGUUGGCUGCACCAUCAAAGUACAUGCGCCAACCCGACAGACUAGUCACAACUACAACAUCCUCAUCUGGAAAAUCAUCGUCAAUAGCUCUAGCAUCAGAAACUGGUAAAGAGGCUAAGUGAUCUGCGACAAUGCUCCCUCUAAUGGACUUCUGAGUGACGUAAUGGAUGUCAAACUCCGUUAGAAGUACCAACCAUCUCAUGAGGCGACCAACUAGAGCAGGUCUAUCAAACAAAUAUCUCAGAUGAUCGAGACGGGAUAUCAAGUGCACGGAAUACUCAGUCAUGUAAUGUCUCAAUCGGCGAGUGGCCCAAACCAAUGCCAAGCAAUAGCGCUCAAUCAUGACAUAUCUCGUCUCAUAGUCUAGCAUCCUCUUACUCAGAUAGUAAAUGGCUCGGUCUUUGCCCAAAUUAUCGAGUUGAGCUAACAUGCAUCCCAAAGCCACGUCUGAGACUGAUAAGUAUAGGAGUAGAGGGCGGCCCGGUGUAGGAGGCGCUAAGACUGGAGGUGACAACAAGUACUCCCUGAUCCUCUCGAAUGCGCGCUGACACUGAUCAUCCCAAACAGUAGGUUGACUCUUCCUCAAGAAUCGGAAAAUGGGCUCACAGAUGUCUGUCAAUCUGGCAAUGAAUCUACUGAUGUACUGAAGUCUGCCCAGGAAGCCUCUGACCUCUCUCUCUCUGUCCUCGGUGUAGGCAUGUCAAGGAUGGCUCUAAUCUUGUCCGGAUCUACCUCUAUGCCUCGCUCACUGACCAUAUAUCCCAAGAGUUUCCCAGAAGUCACUCCAAAAGUGCACUUCUUGGGAUUCAGUCUCAAUUUGAACUGUCUGAUCCUCUCAAAGAAUCUCUCUAGAGCUGCCACGUGAUCUGAUCUAUCUCGGGAUUUCACUAUCAUGUCAUCUACAUAAACCUUGUGUAGACCCUCAAUUUUGUCCUCCUGGCACAUGUCUUAUUAGAUACUUGUUCGAUACUUUACAGUUAGCUCCUUGGUGGCCCAUAUCUACUCACACUACUUACCUUUCUUGAACCACCUCGGAGACUCUGGUUGAAAGAUUGCCUAACCCCUUAUCAUGACCUUGGCAGCCCUAAUUUAGACUUAGGCACUUUCCUGAACGCUUUAGGCCCAUUUAAGCAUUUUUAAACCCACUUUUUAUAUGGCUUGCAUGAUUGCAUGGCCUACAUGACUUAUGUGGCUUAUAUGGAUUUCUUCAUUAUUUUUAUUUUAUUUUAUUUUAUCUUAUUACAAGUUUUCUAAAUCUUAUUUCUUGGCUUUUUGGGCAUGAGGAAACGAGCCAACAUCUAUUUGGAAGGAGAAUCAACAGAAUUUUGAAAAAGAGGAGAUUUUGUUUUUAGAAGGAUAGCACAUAUAUUAUUUCCAUGGGAGAAUCGGUUAUAAAAGGGUAGAAAAUAAGAAAGGAAAGUGGAUUUCCUUUUUUUGGAUCAGAGAAGUUUUAUUUUUGGAAGGGGGGGAUUGUUUUUCUUGAGGAGAGAGAUCUAAGACAAGGGGGACUUUUUCUUUGGCAGGGAGAUUUUUUUUCUUUUGGGAGCAGAAAUUCACAUACAAAAAGCAAUCUUUUUUAGAGGAGAGGAAGACACGCAUUUUUUUUGGGGGGGGGGGGGGGCCAGUAGAAAAACCUAAAAGACUAAUUGGGCUGCCAUUUUGAAACAUCAAGAGAGUAUUUUUCCGAUACAAUACAGGUUAGUUUUCGAUUUUUGAUACCGUAUUUCCUUUUUUUAGUUUGGGUUUUAGUUGUUUGAUUUAAUUAAUUGUUUGUGAUAAAUUCCUUUUAAUCUCGAUUUCGAACAAUCUUUUAUUUUUUUUAGAUAANNNNNNNNNNNNNNNNNNNNNNNNNNNNNNNNNNNNNNNNNNNNNNNNNNNNNNNNNNNNNNNNNNNNNNNNNNNNNNNNNNNNNNNNNNNNNNNNNNNNCCAUUUUUUAUAUGGUUGCCAUGAUGCCAUGCCCAACAUGAUUUAUGUGGUUUAUAGGGAUUUUUUCAUUAUUUUUAUUUUUUUUUUUUUUAUUUUAUAACAAUUUUUUUAAUUUUUUUUUUUGGGUUUUUGGGGCAGGGGAAAAGGAGCCAACUUUUUUUUGGAGGGAGAUUCAACAAAUUUUUAAAAAAGGGGAGUUUUUUUUUUUAAAAGGAUACCACAUUUUUUUUUUCCUUGGGAGAUUGGUUUAUAAAGGGGUAAAAAAUAAAAAAGAAAAGGGGUUUUCUUUUUUUUGGUUCAGAAAAUUUUUUUUUUGGAAGGGGGGGGUUUUUUUUUUUUGGGGAGAGAGUUUUAAGCCAGGGGGGAUUUUUUUUUUGCCGGGGAGUUUUUUUUUUUUUGGGGGGCAAAAUUUCACAUACAAAAACCAUUUUUUUUUAGGGGAGGGGAAGCCACCCAUUUUUUUUUGGGGGGGGGGGGGGGCAGUAGAAGACCUAAAAGACUAAUUGGGCUGCCAUUUUGAAACAUCAAGAGAGUAUUUUUCCGAUACAAUACAGGUUAGUUUUCGAUUUUUGAUACCGUAUUUCCUUUUUUUAGUUUGGGUUUUAGUUGUUUGGUUUAAUUAAUUGUUUGUGAUAAAUUCUUUUAAAUCUCGAUUUCGAACAAUCUUUUAUUUUUUUUAGAUUAAAUGUCUCUCUUUUAUGAUUGCAAUUCAUUAGUUCUAUGCUAGUUUAUUUUUAAUUUACAUGAAAGUUUAAAUAAAGUUUAUAUUUUUAAUUCCAAUUAGUUUAUUUUUAAAUUUGAAUGAGUUAUCGAUCUUAAUUCUUUAGUUUAAUUGACCUUGUGAGAUAAAAUUUAUAUUUUUUAUGCCAAUUAGUUUAAUUUUAGUUUAUUUUAAAUUUAAAUGAGUUAUUGAUCUUAAUUAUUUAGUUUAAUUGACCUUGUGAGAUAAAAUUUAUAUUUUUAAUUCCAAUUAGUUUAAUUUUAGUUUAUUUUUAAUUUGAAUGAGUUAUUGAUCUUAAAUCUAUUAGUUUAAUUGGACUUGUAAGGUAAAGUUUAUAUUUUUAAUUCUGAUUAGUUUAAAUUUUAGUUCAAUUUUUAAUUUGAAUGAGUUAUUGAUCUUAAAUCUAUUAGUUUAAUUGGACUUGUAAGGUAAAGUUUAUAUUUUUAAUUCCUAUUAGUUUAAAUUCUAGUUUAAUUUUUAAUUUGAAUGAGUUAUUGAUCUUAAAUCUAUUAGUUUAAUUGGGCUUGUAAGGUAAAGUUUAUAUUUUUAAUUCCGAUUAGUUUAAAUUCUAGUUUAUUUUUAAUUUGAAUGAGUUAUUGAUCUUAAAUCUAUUAGUUUAAUUGGACUUGUAAGGUACGUAAAGUUUAUAUUUUUAAUUCCGAUUAGUUUAAAUUCUAGUUUUUUUUUAAUUUGAAUGAGUUAUUGAUCUUAAAUCUAUUAGUUUAAUUGAUCUUGUGAGGUAAAAUUUAUAUUUUUAAUUUCAAUUAGUUUAAUCCUAGUUUAUUUUUAAUUUGAAUAUGUUAUUGAUCUUAAUUCUUUAGUUUAAUUGGUCUUGUAAGGUAAAAUUUAUAUUUUUAAUUCCAAUUAGUUUAAUUCUAGUUUAUUUUUAAUUUGAAUAGUGUUAUCGAUCUUAAUUCUUUAGUUUAAUUGAUCUUGUGAGAUAAAAUUUAUAUUUUUAAUUCUAAUUAGUUUAAUUUUAGUUUAUUUUUAAUUCGAAUGAGUCAUUGAUCUUAAUCUAUUAGUUUAAUUGGUCUUGUAAGGUAAAGUUUAUAUUUUUAAUUCCGAUUAGUUUAAAUUCUAGUUUAUUUUUAAUUUGAAUGUGUUAUCGAUCUUAAUUCUUUAGUUUAAUCGAUCUUGUGAUGUAAAGUUUACAUUCUUAAUUCCAAUUAGUCUAAUUCUAGUUAUUCAUGUGUUUCUUGAAAUUUAAAUGUUAGUUUUUGGAUGAUAAUUUUGUUAGUUUGUUUGAUUAGGAAGUCAUAAAUUUGUUGCCUUAGUGAUUGUUGGUCAAAUUUUUUUUUUAGGGCCACUAGAAACCCAAGAAAGUUGGCCUUUACUCUCACCACUUUAAUUGACAAGAUUUUCUAAAAUAUUUAUUUCGUGAUCUUUGUUUUCUUUUGUUUUGAUUGAUAUUUUGUUUUCUAUUUUUGUUAUUUUAAAAAUUAAUUUCUUUUAUUUUAAAACAAAACUCUUUUUCUCAAAAAAAUCGUUUUUAAAAUUUUUUUUAUUAUUCAUUUAAAGCCUUUAGAAUCAAAAUCUAUUUUCUUUUUAAAAAAUAAUAUGCAACCAUAUCUUAAUCGGUUUGCAUCCUUCUCAAUUUUCAACAAAAAUUUUGGUUUUAAACAAAACGCGAAUCAAAGCUUGUGGUCCCAAAUAAAUGGGACAAUUUUAGGCUAAAUUCGUGUAUAUUAAUUUGAGGAAUUGGUGAAACCCCUACAUAAGAAAAAAUUUUCAAAAUUUACUUUUGCUACCACCCUGCUAUUUAUCGUAAUCAUAUUUACAUUUUUUUUUUAGGAAUUGUAUACAAGAUAUGUAUGAUAAUUAAUUAUUCCGAAUUCUGAUCAUUUUUGCUAAUUAAUUAGAUAAGCAUGCUAGGAUUUAUUAUUUAUUAUUUAUCAUCUAACCCCCAUGUCCUGAGGAAGUGCAUUAGGAGUUAUAUAUGCUAUCCAGGUACGUUCCCAAAAUUUCACGAAUAUGCAUGUCAUUGCCCUUGUUUGAUGCCAUACUUGAUUGCCUCAAUGCUUGUUUGAUCAUCCUUGAUAAAAUGCAUGUCGUGCGUCAUAUUUCUGAAUUAACCAUUGAUGUUUUAUGAUAGCGCUUAAGAAGUGGUUCAGGUACACACCCUAACUCUCCUUUAUUGUGAUUGAUCUCCUUAUUUAGCAUGCUACUUUCUGAAAAUCACAUAGCUUACUUAGGUAUCUACAAUUAAUCAAUUAAUUUACCCAUUUCCCCAAUUUAGUCAGUAAAGACCUCUUUAGGGCUUAGAAGGGUGCUAGCUCCUAGAGGUACCUUCCCAAUAAGUAACCUGAUCCCCGGACCUAGACUCAGGUUUUUCAAAGACAUGCUUUUUUCCAAAAAUUAUGGAGUCACAUUUUAGGGUUUUUCUUUCUUGUUUUAUUUUCCCUUUAAAAUAAAAAUAAAAUAAGUGGCGGCUCUAACUUUUUCCAAAAUUAAUUUUUCACAAAUAAAAAUCGAGUCUCGCCGAUCGAGUGGGGGCGCACGUGAAAAAUGCGGGUCCACACCUCGACAUCCUGAUGCAUCAUGUCAUGGAAGAGUGUGGUCGCUGCUCUCUGAUAAGUGGCUCCUACGUUCUUCAAUCCGAAUGGCAUGACUCUAUAGCAAUAAGUGCCCUACUCGGUAAUGAAGGACGUCUUCCCCAUGUCCUCUGGAGCCAUCAAGAUCUGACUGUACCCGGAAAAUCCGUCCAUAAAGGACAACAUCGAGUAACCUGUUGUACUAUCAACUAGCAUGUCGAUGUGCGGGAGAGGAAAAUCAUCCUUAGGACUGGCCUUGUUGAGAUCUCGGAAAUCAACACAGACUCUCACUUUGCCGUCCUUUUUGGGAACAGGGACGACAUUGGCCAACCACUCCGGGUACUCAACCACUGAUAGAAAUCCCACACUGAGCUGCUUUUGAAUCUCCUCUUUCAUCUGCAAGCUCCAACGAGGGUGCAAUCGUCUCAACUUCUGCUUAACCGGUCUGGCAUGAGGCAGAAGUGGUAAACGAUGCUGGACGAUAGAUGGAUCAAGGCCCGGCAUGUCCUCAUAGGACCAUGCAAAAAUGUCUAAGUAUGCUCUGAGCAACUGGAUGAGGAUGUCCCUCUCAUCAGCAGAUAAAUCUGACCCGAUCCUCAACUCCCUAGGCUGAUCUGCUGUGUCGAAAUCAAUAAUCUCUGUGUCCCCUACAGCAGGUGAAACCCUCUGAUCAAUGGGAUCCGAAUCGGAAACAGAAGAUGAGUCAUCGUCUGAACCAUGCCGUGCAAUCCCAUCAUCAAUGUCAAAUAUCUGUGUUGUGAGUGAAGAUGGGGCAGAUAAAUCAAUAUCAUAAGAGACAGGUAAGUACUCGAAAAUGCUCAAAUCCAUAGAUGAAAAGUCAGAAACAUAGUCAUGACGGGAAACAAAUCCCAAUAAAACAUCAAAUGAAAGAGGUGAGUCCACAAAGUCGGACACUCCCUCAACAAGGCCAACAGGGCCAUCAAGCAAAUCACCAACAACUAUAGGAUCCUCAGCAAUCUUCGAAGCAGGGGCAGUCUGGAUCUCCUCGACGACCUUGAGGACGGACAUCCCGAAGAGAUCAAAUGGUGAAACGAGCCUAGACAGGGCUAUCUCCUCGAUCUGACUCAAGCUCACUGCAAGCAUCUCGUCAACAUACUCGUCAUGCGGUACGGCUCCGUCUACUAUGUCACUAAUCUCGAAAAAUGUCCUGUGAUCAUCGAUCUCAUUCGGGAAGCAAAGCAUCAUAAGGCUCGUACAAUCGGGAGAGGAAGGGGCGAUCAACGCAGAAGUCAAAGGGCCAGGGGCUUCGUCACUCAACUGUAACUGCUGGACGAGGCGCUGAAGCUCGGCCUCUUGGGUGGUGCUGAGUCCUCCGAUGAUCCCAUCAGACAGUGCAUGUGACUCUGAUGCCCUCACAAAGUAAUUGGCUAGGCUCAUGGUGUAUAGGCGAACAGGAUAAUAAAACAGCGUGUGAGUCAGCCGAGCCCUCACCCUCUCCUUGCGCAAUCGCGCCAUGUAAUGAUAAUCGGCCUCAGUGGGAAUGAAUCCGAGCCCGAAUGGUACAUCGUGGUCCGGAAAGGCCAUGAACUCACUAGGCCCGUGCUAACGCCGCCCCAAACCCAUGCCGGGAAGAUAAGACAUGCUCUGCAUAAUAUCGAGCACCACCGUGCUAUUGUGCUGGUCGAAGGACAUGGCUACAAAGUCUCGGCAAAAAUCCUCCAUCUCUAGAGUCUGCACCUUAUCAAAGGUGAAGCCGGUCAGAAAAAGAUCAUCAUCACUGUGGCUGAUCUGGAGCACACACUCGGCGGAAAUGAUCAUGUCCCCUGCUGACUGUACGGUGACGACCUGACCCUCGUGAAUGAACUUCACUUUCUGAUGAAGUGAAGAAGGAAUAGCUCCGGCUCGGUGAAUCCAUGAUCGGCCCAAAAGCAAGUUAAAGGAUGUAGGAAUCCUCAAAACCUGGAAUACGGUGACAAACGUGGCCGGACCUAUCAAGAGCUCAAUCUACAAGGUACCCAUAACCUUUCUCCUAGUACUGUCAUAAGCUUGAACUGUCUGCAUUGAAGGACCGAAAUCAAAGGGUGCGUAUCCAAGGGCGAUGGCGGUGGCCAAGGGACAUACGUUCAGGGCCGAACCAUUGUCCAUGAGGACAGAUGAAACUCGACGACCUGAACAGCCGAUAGAAAUGUAGAGAGGACGUGUGUGGUCUGAGCCCUCUGAUGGCAAGUCGUCAUCGGAAAACACGAUACAAGAGGCUCUGCCAGCCAUCAUCAUGUGAAUAAGUCCCUCGGGAGUGGUCGUAGUGUUGACCCUGAUCUGGCUCAAAGCUCGAAUCAGUGCAUCUCGAUGAGUACUAGAGGACGCUAAGAGGCUUCAAAGAAAUACGAGCUUGAGUGCUCUACAGCUGUCUCAGGAUCUCGUCAUCCUCUGCUCAAACCUCCUCGGGAGCAGACGUCCCCUCUAAUGGUCUGGCGGCAGUGGCAGGAGGUGGCUGUCUCAAGACUCUCCCUCCUCGGAGAAUGUACUGAACGUCCGGAGUCUGAGAAUCAUCAACGUGUGGAGCCUGAACCCCCUCAACAUCUGGGAUCAAGAUGAAUGGCACCUGGACGUUGUAAUGUGGCAAAAUCAAUGGCUCAACAGUGGCAGUCUGCACCGAUGCCGCCUCGGGAACUAAUCGGAAAGGAGUAGGCAUCCGAGGCCCUAGAGUCACCCCACUCAUCUCAUAAAUCACAUCUGGCAUGAUGGGCUCUAGGUCUGAAUCGUCCUCACUCAACAUGUGGACGUGGUCGUCUAUCUCAUCGAAGUCCAAGAAAUGAAUACCAUCAGCUGGUGGAGGGACUGCAUGUGUGGUGUGGGCCGGUAACGGGUUUGUGGAACCACUUGGCUGACCCAAGUGCACCAAACCCUGGUCGAUCAAAUCCUGAACGGCAUGCCUCAAAGCGGUGCAUCGAUCGGUCUCAUGUCCAGGCCCCUGAUGGUAUGCGCAAUGCAGAUCCAUCCUGAACUGGGGUGGAAUCGGUUGAGGUGGCGGCCUGGGAGCUAAAACAGUCAACAGCCCUGCCUUUGUGAGCUUCCGAAGAGCCUGGCUCAACGUCAUGCCUAACUGCGAGAACUGUCUCUGUGUCCUCAAAGCAAAUGGAGCAAAAGUUUGCUGAGCUCUAGGUCGGGGAUAAAGCGCUGUGGGUCUCGCAGUGAACUGAGCAGCAUAGCAUGGCUGUCCUGUGGCCGUGUAGGAAACCGGGGGUCUCUUAAUGCCCUGAGAGGCAUAAUAAGGCAAAGCCAAAGUCUGUGGCACAUAGGGCUGAUCAUAAGUCGGACGAGGUGCCCGUGGCCUGUACUGAUGAGGUGCAUAGGAAGAAUGAGGCUCGAAAAGCUGUGGGAUCGGCUAAUGGCGCCUGAGAGGCCUUUGACUGGAAGAACCAAUGGCGCUCACAUCCAUUAACCUCUAUCCUACGAAAGGCUUCUUCCCCUUAAUAUCACUAGGGGAAGAAUCUGUCCACAAUCCUCUCGAGAUGUCGUCCUCAACAUCGUAUAAAGCCAAAACCAGAGACCCAAAAUCUGCAAAUGGUACCCCGACCACAUGCCUGGCAAUCCUCGGCUGUAGGCUCCUCAAAACCAUCUGAAUCUGAUCUCUCUCUGAUGGUUUAUCCACUACCUUGGCUAUCUUCCCGCGCCAGCGGGAGAUGAAUGAAGAAAUAGAUUCCUCUGCCCUCUGUCUCAGAGCCUCAAGCUCCCUCCUCGAUACAUCUACGACAGUGUUAAACGAAAACUGUCGUAGGAACUUGUAGACCCUCUAUUUUGUCUUCCUCGCACAUGUCGUUUAUAGCAAUUCUCUGGUGGCCCGUUAAUACUCGUGUAACCUAUCUUUUCUAAGCCACCUUGGAGACUUUGGUUGAGGGAUGAUUUGACCUCUUAUUGUGACCUUUGGCAGCUCUAAUUUAGACUUAGGCACUUUAGGCCCACUUAGGCACCACACUUAGCCCGUUAGGCAUCACCCUAGGUCCAUUUAGACACUUGGCCCAUUAGGCAUCACCCUAGGCCCACUUAGGCACCUUAGGUUCACUUAGUACACCUUAGGCCCAUUAGACAUGCCUAACCCAUUAGGCACCACUUUAAGCUCACUUAGGCAUCCUAGGUUCACUUAGAUACACUUAGGCCCACUCUAAGCCCACUUAGGCCCACUUAGGCAUCCUAGGUCCAUUAAGCACCACUUUAGGCCCACUUAGAAUCCCUUGGGUAGUUCUUUAAGCUUAGUACACUAAGGUUUGUCUUCUGGAAUUCUAUUUGUUUGAUUUUUGUUUUAAGUGGGUUUUAGUUUAUUUGUUCUUGUAUUUAUUUAUUUUUAGGAGAUUAUAAGAUACUAACGUUAUGUUUCUUUAUCAUGAAAUAAUAUUUUGGUUAUCUUGUGCAUGUAUAUGAUUAAUCAUCUUUAUUAUUAUUAUUAUUAUUAUUUAUUUAUUUAUUUAUUAUUAUUAUUAUUAUUAUUAUUAUUACUAUUUAAUUGGAUGAUUUUGUUUUUACUAUUUUUAUUGCAUGGUUCUAUGGAAGGGAGAUUCGACCGUGAUUUGAAAGAGCAUUCAACCCAAGACAGAUAUGAAAAAGGGAAGAAAGAGAGAGAUGGGAAGGUUUAGAAACUUACCAAAGCUGAUUUUGGCAGGUGAAAAGAAGAUGUUCGGUGUGUAUAGGGAUGGAAUGAAGGCUAGGUUCAAAAUGGAGGGUUCUAAUCAUGUUGGACUGAUGCGGAAGAUUACGGGUUUUCUCUAGACCGGUGAGGGAUUUUUUCCAUAUUGGUAGAGUCAACGGGACCAUUGAGAAGGAAAGGAUUCUCUGGAGGGAAGUGGCAGCUGCACCAGGAAAGAAAGAAAAUAUUUUUGCAUUCAAGAAGAGAGGAAAAGGAUCAGAGAGGGGGACCUUUCCUACGGUGUCUUCCAUCACUGUGGCUAGAGAGGAGUCGGAGAGAUUGAGAAAAGGGGAAGGAGAAGGAAAGAAAAAAAAAAAGGAGGGAAGAAGGAGAGGGGAUCAACAACUGCUUCAUUCUGGAAGCGGGAGCAGGUGCAGCCGCACCAUUCAGACCAAAGGAAAGUUUGGUAUUUUGGGUUGAGGAGGAGGUGCAGUCGUACCUGGUUUUGGAGGAAGUACAUCGCACCUUUGAGAGGGUUUUCAGCACAAGGAGGGGGAAAGAAAAACAGGGAGUGCGAUCUGGAGAGAGGGGAAUCAUCAUUCACAUCUCCAUGAUUGACUGAAAAAGCCAGGACGACUAGAGAUUUUUUUUGCUGGCCUCAGCCUUGAGAAGGAUCAGUAGCGUGCUUCCUCUAAAACCAACCAGACAUCUCACCACGGGGACACCGGCUUCAUCACUGCCAGUCCGCUCAUCUUGAUGAUUCGCCUAUCACCAUAAUCAGAAACACUUACGAGGUGCAUCAAAUCUCCACAAAAAGAUUUCCGUUCACACCUUCAGCACCAACUUCACGCUGCCAUCCGUAGUCGCAUGCCUCUUCCCCCUCCUCUCGCAAUCUGCAUCCGCCAUCAGUCCACGCAUCAAGCCUUCAUCCACACGACUGCCGCUUUGAGGGAAGCAAUCCACGCACCAAUAGAGUCUCCACAGGAAGCAUCUCCACCUGAAGGAAAUCCACUUACACGGCUGCCACCUUGAGAAGGACAAUCCACGCACCUAACUGCCAGGUAAGUUUGGUUUCUAUGUGGGGUUGCUUUGAAAAAAAAAUAUAUAAAAGUCUGGUUUGAUUUUUGUUUGGAUUAUUAUAUUGGGUUGCUUUAUUGGUCCAGUACGUUUUCAUUAAUAUGGCAGCAAGAAUACUAUUUUUUAGGUUUAAUUGUUUAGUUAUUAUAUUCGGUGAUGUUUUGGUGUACCAUUUUUAGUUUGGAUUUUUGUAUUGGGUGAGUGGGUUGAUUUGUUUAUUUGCUUGAACACGUGUUUUCUUUAAUAUGGUAAUACAAUCUCACAUUUGUUUAUUUAUUUUUUUGAUUCAUCACAUUAAAGGUUAGUUUUGAUGUAUUAUAUUAAAUUCAUAAAAUAUGAUUUUAGAUAGCUUUACAUAAAAUAAAAUAAAAAACAUAUAUAUUUUAAUCUUCAUUUGAUAUGGUUUUGAUUCAUUUAAUUACUGAUUUUUUAUUUAUUUAUUUGUUACCAAAUUAAUGCUUUGUAAUUUAUUUAAUUAUAAAUAAAAUUGAUUUUAUAGGUUAGAGAUUUGGUUUUAAAAAUCAUUUUUGUUAGUUUUUAAUUUUACUUUAGGUUUAAGCACUUUUAUAAAAUUUUAGUUCAUUAAAAUAAUUUAUCAUAUAUAUGUUUAUCCAAUUAUAAAUAAAUUAUUUUUGAUUUGUUAUUCUAGCUUGAAAAUUAUGUUUUGUUCACUGUAGUUACAAUUUAUUUUCUUAGUUUGACAAAUUAGUUUCUUAGUAUUGGUUUGGGCAAUUUUUGUUAAUAAUGGAAAAGUUAAGAUUUUUUAGAGUUUAGAUAAUUUUUUAUGAUAGUUAAAAAUUUAGAAUAUUGAUUAGCAUUAUUUUGGUUCUCAAUUAGGAAAUUCAUAAUUUCAUACGUUUUAGUUUUAAUUUAUCUUUUAGUUUAGAUGUUAUUAAAAUUCAGUUUAUUAGUUCAAUUGCUUCCAUGUCACUCUUUUCAUAUCUAAAAGUUGUUAAAUUUAAUUCAUGAUUCAUCCUUUUAGUUUAUUAGUUUUAGAAUUUAAGUUGGUUAAUUUAUUUCAUUCUGCGUUGAUAUAUUCAUGUUUUAAAAUAAAAUAUAUAAAAUUAAAUAAAUAAAUAAAUAAUAAAAAUUUAUUUUAGUUUUGAUUGAUCCUGUUUUAGUUGAUAUUUUUUAGAGUUUUAAUUAAUUUGAUUGGUUUCAUAUUGUUUAGUUUAUGUUAAGAUUUUUUUAUUUUUUAUUUUUUUUAUUUUUUAUUUUUUUAUUCCAUUUUCCCAUUAAUUAUAUGCUUUCGAAUUGUAGGCUAUUAGUUUAAUCUAUUCCCAUGUUGUCAUUUUGUGUUUAAAAAUAGUUCAUUUUAGUUUUUGACUAAUUUUAUUUAUUCUAUGUGUUUUUUUUCUUUUAUUCAAUUAUUUAGUUAGUCGAUUAAAUUUAUGACUCCAAAUCAUUAAUAUUAGUUGAUACGUAUCGUUUGUACUAUUUUAAAGGUCACAUAAUAUUUAGUGUUUGAUUAAGUUUAUCUUAAGAUUAAAUGUUUUUAAAGUUUUAGUGCUUGUAAGAUCUAAGGUUUUGGUUUAUCACUUUGGUCAUCCUUUGUCAAAAUCAAUUUUUAGAGGUUAUCGGAAAAUAGUGAAGAUUGGCCUCCAUUCCCACCACUUCAAUUUUAUCGGUUGUCAAAAAUUCUACUUUGUGAUUUUGUUCUUUUUUUUCUUUUGCUUGGUAUUUUGAUUCAUACAUUUUAUUGUUUUCAAAUUAACUUCUUUUAUCUUUAAAACAUAACAAUAUUCUCAAAAUCUCAUUUCCUUAAAAACAAACCAUUUCAAAAAUUCAUUUAGAGUUCUCAGAAUCAAAAUCCCAUUCCCUUUAAAAAUUCAUUUCAAAGAUUCCUUUAGGAUUCUUAAAAUCAAAACCCCAUUUUCUUAAAAUAAUAUGCAACCAUUUUUUUUGAUCGGUUUGCAUCUUUCUCGGUUUUUAACGAAAAUUUUGGUUUGAAAUCAGACACGAAUCAAAGCUUGUGGUCCCACAUAAAUGGGAUAAUUUUGAGCUAAAUUCGUGUAUAUCAAUUGGGGAAUUGGUGAAACCCCUACAUAGAAAAAUCUUUUCAAAAAUUAUUUUUGUUGCCACUUUUGUCACUUGUUGAAAUUAUGUCUAUCUUUUUUUAGGAAUUGUAUACAAGAUGAGUGUGAUAAUUAGUGUUUUCAUAUACUUUGAUAAUUUCUGCUAUGCUAAUUAGAUAACGAGCAUGCUAGGAUUCCUAUAUUUUAUUAUUUAUUAUCUAACCCCUCAUGUCUUAUGGAAGCGCAUUGUAAGUCAUCUAUGUUAUCCAGGUACGUAUCACCUACUUUCUAAAUUUUGUAAACAAUCAUGUCACUGUGAAAUAUGCAUAUGUUUGAUAAUCCUUAGGUGCUUAGAUGUAUGCUAGAUUCGCUAUGAUUAAAUACAUGUUGUGUGCUAUACUUCUAUACUAUCUCUCAUGUUUUUUUAUGGCGCUUGGGAAGCCGUCCAGGUACGCAUCCUUAACUUUCCUUCAUUGUUAUUUGAUCUUGUUAGGCAUGCAAUAUUCGAAAUCAUCUAAUCUACUUAGGUAUCCAUAAUUAACUGAUUAAUGGCCACACUUCCCUUAACUUUGUCAAUAGAGACCUUUAUAGGGCUUAGAGGGGUGCUACCUUUCAAAGGUACCUUCCCAAUAGGUAACCUGAUCCCCGGACUUAGACUCGGGUUUUUCAAAGACACGUUUUUCCAAAAAUUAUGGAGUCAUUUUUUUUAGGGUUUUAUUUCUUGUUUUAUUUUCCCUUUAAAAAUAAAAAUAAAAUAAGUGGCGACUCCAACUUUUUUUCAAAAAUCAAUUUUUCACAAAUAAAAAGCGAGUCUCGCCGAUCGAGUGGGGGCGCACGUGAAAAAUGCGGGUCCACAGAACUCUUGGGCUAAGUCAUCCCAUGUACGGCGUCUCGAAGACUCCAAAGACGCGAACCAGCGUUGAGCCACCCCACUCAGAGAUAGUGGGAAAAGAGUGAUCAUCUGAGGCUCGUCCAAUCCAUGAGCCCUCAUCACCGUGCUGUAUAAUCGGAGGUGCAUGCGUGGACAACCAAUGCCUGUAUACCUCUCAAUAUCCGGCAUCCUGAACUUAGCCAGUAGACUGGCUAUCGACAUACCCUCUAGAUCGUCUUAGACAACGGAGCCAUCAGAUACUCUCAACUGCCUCAUGCGCUGCUCAAUGCGGUCCAUGCGCGCAUGAGCAUCAUCGAUAACAAGGGCCUGGACAACUGCGGGCGGAACAACCUCAGAAUGACUGUGUAGCACAUAGGGUGAAGCCUGGGGCACCAAAGGAACUGGUGGUGGCGGUGGAGGUGGCAACGAGUCAUGCGGUGUCUCAUCCUGAGCCACUGGGGGUCUACUCUGCUGACCACUGAUCUCCUGCCUGAGGUUAGCCAAAGUCUCCUGAAUAGAAGCCAUCGCGGCCGUGAACUGGUCGACCGUAACUACCUGCUGAUUCAUAAUUGAUCUCUCUGAAAACCGAACCAAUCUCCCCUCUACUCUGAUCCAAUGAGGUAAGUCCAGACUGAUAACAAAGGUCCAAUCCUGAAAGUCUCGUCCUCUGCUCUAAUCUACGAAGGUAUACCUAGACUCAGAACAAAGGUCUAAUCCUGGCAAAUCACGAAGAACGAAAUAAGGAUAUGGCUCGAGGAAAGUACGAAAGAAAUGAUAAUCUGAACAGAAACAAACAAGGCAUCCAAGUGAAAAUGAACGGUCUGACCGUACUCAAACUCGUCCUGAUCUCAGUGCACUCUCAACUGGAGACUAAAUAGAGGGAACAUCGGAUCCAAAAUGUGGCUAAAGAGGCUUUGAAAGCCCUCAGAUGCACCCACGUGUAGGGAGGAAGUCCUAGUUGAAGGAUCUACGACUCAACCUACAAGGUCAAGGUGGUUCUAGAUGGAUAAGGGUGGACUUUAAAAGAUCCCUAGCAGAAGCAAUCAUACCCUCCGGUAGUAUGCAACCCUCUGCACGCCUCAGAAGAGACGGGGUGCUUCCAUGCAAGGUGGUCAUCACCUCCAUACAUGCACUACCUCGACAUCCCAGGGGGUUCCUAUGGUGAAACCUCUCAAACUCGCAACUCUCAAAAGUCAGCUAGAGUGCACAGUGAAUGGUGUGGGUGCAUCUGAAACCCUAUGAAGCUAAAACAGAAGAGGAAACACACUGGCCACACAAAUAUCCAUGAAACCUAGCUCCGGGCUAUAUAGGUCUUCAAUGAUCGGACUCCAAUCUGCAUCAACGUGUCGCUCUUCUCCAGAAUACUCCCAAACAUCGGUAUAGCCCGUCGCUAGACCCUACUCCUAACCUCUAGCUCGGUCAGAGUGCAAGCACACACAAGGCCUCACAUUUGCAAAAGUGAAAACCGAAAUGAAGGAAAUGACCGAAACCAGAGGGUGGGAGGUAAGGGGAUAAAUGUGCGACCCACAUAGAUAGGCGACAUGCAAUCAUACAAGGGAGGGCAAUCAUGCAACAUACAGUCAGGCAGUGCUCAGAUAUAUUACCAUGUACACACAAGAUAAGCGAGAAUAUGACAAUUAGAUGAAUAAUGAUACAAAUAUCAUGCUCAAAGACGAUCGAGUUAAUAUGCGAGCAAGCGAAUCAACAUGUCAAAUCAAAUUAUAUACAAUGGUGAAUCUAUACAACAUGUGAUGUGAUCAAAACAAACAUGGCAAAAUCAGAAUCACUAUACUAAGCAAAACAAAACGAGCAAUCGAUGCAAUCAACAUGUCAACAUCCUCAAACAAAUAAAACAAUGAAGUACGGAAGAGGUAACUAUCUCGGGUCUUCAAUCAUGACAAAUCAAUCAUCAUAAUCAACAUACCAAUAUCCCAGAUGAAUACAAUAUCCGAACAUGCAUCAAAACUCUCAAUGUACAAUCAAAAGAUAGGCAUCCACUGAUUGACCAAUCAAAUGCCACAUUUGCUUCAUCCUAAGUUCAAGCUUGACCCUUUAAAAAUCCCCAGUGGAGUCGCCAUUUUGUGGACCUCGCAUUUCGGCUCAUGUGUUUCCCACUUGAUGGCGAGCUCAACUUUUAUUUGAAAAAUGAUUUUAAUUGUUUAAGAAAACUGACUUGGAGUCGCCACUUAUUUUUGUUUUAUUUUUAAAGGGUAAACAAAAUAAGAAAGAAAACCCUAAGUGCGACUCCUUGUUUUGGAAAAGGUGGCCUAUGAAAACCGGAUCGGGCUCAGGGGUCAGGUUACUUAUCGGGAAGGUACGGUAUGAACCGUAGCACCCCUCUAAGUCCCUAAAGUCAGGUCUCUACUAAUAGAAUGAAGCUAACGUGGUCAUCAACAAGAAAAACAAUGAACACUCAAAUCGAUCGUGCACAAUAUGAGAAUCAGAAUAUGCAUAUAGAAUGAUCAAAACAAGAAUGAGUGCGUACCUGGACCCCCAGUCACGAAUGCGCUGUAGAAAAGAAUCCGUGAGUUCCCUUCUUGCCCGUGAUCAGCUUCCCGGUCUUCCUCCUCCUCCUGGAAACUCUCUGCCCUCCCAAUAUUUUUUUUUUUCUUCCCCAUCUUGUUUCCUCUUCCUGCAAGCCAAUAUCCACUCCCCUGUUCCCCCGCUCCGCAUGUUUGGAGCCCCAACCACCACUAUGGCUGUGGUCAGUUGCUCCCCACACGUUUCAUGCAGCUGAUGUUUCCAGAAAACGGUCCCCACCCCAGCCUUUCUCGAGUUGACACGCAUAAAACCUCAUAAAUGCUCCACCUGAUAAGAAACGGCUACAGUUAGAUGGGGGUCUACAAUAAUAUUAUUUUAUCUCAAUGAGAUAAGAUAUUUGAAACUUAAUAAUUUGAUAAAAAAGAUUAUAAUUUAAUAUAACUUUUUAUAUCCUAAAGUACCAAAAUAGAUUGCAAUAAACAAAAGUUUAGGGAAAAUGAGUUUUAACUCACUAUUUUGAAAAAAAUAUAGAAAAAAGAAUUCCAAUUUUUAUAAAUCAGUUUUAUCUUCACUCAUUUAAAAAUAUUUUAAAAUACAUGCACUUUUUCAUAAUUCAAAUAAUUAUUUCUUAAAAUAACCUUUUUACUUGUGAUAUUAAUAACACUAAUUAACAAUUUUUUUAAAAGUGAGAAAUGGUUUGAGAUUAAUAAAAUAAUAAAUUUAAAAAUUAAAAAUACAAUUAAAACUUAAAAUAACUUUAAAGCUAAAAACAUAAAAAUAAAAUAUUAACUUUUACUUAGUUAAAGCACUUUGGUCGAAAAUAUAGAUAUCAAGAAAUUGUUGAAAAUAAAAUAGGAGUAAAUUUUUUAUUUUUAAUUGUAUUCAAUUUUUAUAUAUUUUAGUUUUAACUUAAUUUUCUUAUUUUAUUGUUGAUGUCAACUAACAAAAUUUUUAUUUAAUUUUAUUGAAAAAAUAUAAGAAGAUGAAGGGAUUUAUAUAAUACAAGAUAUAAAAUCAUUAUUGAUUAAUAUAAUAAAGUAAAAGGAUGUUUCAGGAAAUAAUUAUUUGAUUCAUAAAAAAGUGCAUGGAUUUUAAAAUAUUUUUAAAUGAAUGAUGAUAAAAUCAAUUUAUAAAAAUUGAGUUAUUUUUUCUAUAUUUUUUCAAAUUAGUGAGUCAAAACCUACUCUUCCCAUCAAAUUAUAUGAAAUUAUAAUUUGAUUUAUUUUUAAGUAAAAAAAAAAAUUAAAAGUAAAAUUGGUUUUCUUUAGGUGACUAUUGUAGAAAUUAAAAGAAAAACAACUUUUUUCAUUGACAGAAAAAUUAUAAAAAAUAAAUAAAUAAAUCAACUUUUUCAUUAACACAAACUUGUUUUAGAAUAAUUAAUAAUUUGGAAAUAACUUUAAAUUGUCUUAAGUAAGGGGAAAAGAAAAAAAAAAAAGAAAAAGAAAGAAGAAGAAGAAGAAGAAGAAGAAGAGCUAGUUCAUUCUUGUAAAAGCAUUUCUAAGAGAAGUAAUGAAAGACUAACAUUAAAUACACUUUUAUUUUAACCACUUGCAAACAAGCCCUUAAUUAAUAAAUAACAAAGAUGAUAAAAUAUCAUUUGUGGUCAUAUUUACUUAACAUUAAAAUUUCAUGGCAUGCUUCCUAACAUUGAAUGGUCUAGGUUGUGUAAUUUGGUUGUAAUUCAUUUUUCCCAUGAGAUUUAAAGCCUCUUUGUAUCUUUAGAAAAUUUUAUGAGCAAAUAUAAGAAUGCCUUAAGGUACUUUGAUUCUCGAGAAAUUUGAAUGAAAAUGCAACGAAAGAAAGUAGAAAGAAAAAGUAGAAGAAAACAAAGAACGAAAGAAAACAAAAAAAUAGAUAUAGAGUCAAUAAAUUAUUUGUUUAUGUACUAUUUUAAACUCGUUUAAUUUAUUUUAAAUUUUUUAUAUAAAGAUUGAAUAAAAAUUUAUAAGUUUCUAACUAAUUUUAAUUUUAUUUAUUUCUUUAUUAAAGUAGGCUUAGAGGAUUGAAAUUUUCAUAUAAAAAAAAAUGAUGUAAGGUUUUUCUAACUUUUUCUUAAUCAAACAACACUCUCAUUCAAAUAUGUAAUUUUCCUAAAAAUGAAAGACUAAGUAAAUGAAGUUCAAUUGAGGUGAAAUUUAAGUUAAAGGAGUUUGUUGAUGAGUCUAGAAAUUUUAAAAAUUAAUUUCUAAGUCAAAUGGAUACCAAAGAUUAUCAAUUAAGCCUCAACCAAAAUCAAAUCCAAAUUUGCCCAAAACAGAAUAUGUUGCAAUGCUACUCACUUUCUCGAAUUUUCUCACCAAUUAAAUAAGUUCUAAAUAUUAUGAAACUCUCAAAAUCUAAUAUAUAAUGAGUUUAAAAAAAUAAAUAAAUGAUUUAUAAACCUAAAAAAAUUCUAAUUACACCAAACUCUAAAAAAUAAAAACUAUCUCGGGAUAACUUGUCGAAAAUCCAUUAGCAUUUUCAUAAUUACUUUCCUAUGAAAUUGAAGUUGGAAUGGCAUGAAAUUAAGCUCUAUAAUUUUCUUUUUUAUUUUAAAAACAUAUAAAAAUAAUUAAAAAUUAUUUUUAUAUGAAAUAAUUAUUAAUAAAAACUAUAAAAUAACCUUUUAGAUAUUUGGAUAUAAUUUAUGAUUGAUGUUACCUUAAAUUUUAAUAGGAAGGGUUAGGAUGUAGGAAGAGGCCUGAUUUAAGCUUGUCUCAACCGAAAGGGCCGAUGCAAGCCUAACCUGGCCAAUAACUCAGGGGCCUGCAUUGACCUAGUGAGUCUUGCCUUGCUGAGCUAGAUGGGCCUAAGCCUGGUCCUGGCCGGCAAGGUGCCUCCAGGAAGAUCCGGAAAGCUUCCCUUUUCCUAUGAGUGGGUAAGCAGUCCUCAUCAGGAAUAUUGCAUGUUACCCCGUAAGUCUUGCAACCCAUGUUCAACAUCAUUUUCUUCUUUAAAGGGUGGUCCACACUCCUUCCUAUCUUAUCUUUUUGUGGUGGAUAUUCACAAGUCUCUUAAAAAUCAUUUGACAAAACUCAUCUGAUAUUCAAAAGUCUUCAUCUACCUCUUUCUUCUGCCUAAUGGUGAUUUGAACAUAUUUUUUAAUACUUAUUUUUAGAAAUUGUUUUUAAGUUAAAAAACAAAAAAAAAUAGCUUUUUAAUAUUUCAUAAAAAUAAGAGUUUUGACAAGUUGUCUUUUAAAAGCAGUUUUUAAAAACAAAAAACAAAAAACUCAAUUGUUUUUAGAAAUUAUUUUUCUAUUUUUAUUUUGUAAAAACAUUUUAAAUCCAAUUGAUAUGAUAUUAACUAAAUUUAAUUCAAGUCUUAUUAAAAGUGAAAAAUAGUUUUAUAAUUAUAAAUAAAUUAAAAAUAAAUCAUGCUUAUUAAAACAUGAAUAGUAAUAUUAUAAUAAAAUAAUAAAUUAAAUUUUUUUGGUAUAAAAUAUACUAUUUUGGUUUAUGUUAAAAAAAUAUGGAUAGUAACAUUUUCGUAAAAGCAUAAUUUGUUUUCUUAAAUAAAUAAUGAUAAUUUAAAAGUAACAAUGAUUAAUAAUAUUUUAUUUAAAAUAAAUAACUAAGAAAGUUUAAAUUUUUAAUAUGUAAAUUAAUCAAGUUUUUCAUUACAUGCACACAUGUCGUGUUCAAUUACGCAUACAAUAUUCUGGAAUAUUUCAUUGAACCGCAAUUAAUUAGAUUGAUUUUUUGAAUUCCAAAUUAUUUUCUUUAAAAAUUGUUAAACUUAUUAAUAAAUUCAAUAUAAAGUGUGCCCCUUGAUUUAAAGUUCAUUUUUCUAAUGAGAAAAUUUAUAAAACUUUAAUUAUGUGUAAAAAAUUAAUAAGUAAAUUCAUUAUAAGUCAAUUUCUAUUUAUUAUUUAAAUUUAAAUUAUUUUUAAACAUUAUUAGACUCGUUAACGAAUCUAAUAUAUUAAGGUUUGUUUAAUUUAUAAUUAAUUUACUUAGUGAAAAAAAUCGGAAAAAAAAAAUUCUGCAUAGAAAAAUAAUAUAGUCCUUUGGGACUAAUUUUUAUCAAUAAACUUUUCUCAUUAAUGAGUCCAUUAUUUGAUUUUUAAAUUAUUUUUAAAAUUUUCUAAAUUUAUUAAUAAAUCCAACCUAUUAAGUAUUUAAAUUUAUUUGUGUAGUGAAAAAAUGGGAUCAAAUUGCAAUCCACAUAAUAUCGGUAGGUAGAAAAUGAAUUCUUCUGUACCUUUAGCAUUAGUUGAUAGGCCAUCGUCUUCAUCCACCUCUUUCUUCCAAGGCCAAGGCUCUUCCACGUUGCUCUGCAACUGCUUUCUUGAAUUGUUCUUGGAUCCACUAUUCACUUCCCUUGCAAACCAACAAACAUGGCUGGGGCUAUAGUAGGAGGAGCACUUCUCUCGGCUUCUAUCGAAGUUCUACUUCACCGGAUGGCUUCUCGCGAGGUCCUCACCUUCCUCCGGCGACAGAGACUCAGUGCUACGCUCCUAAGGAAGUUGAGGAUAAAAUUGCUGGCAGUUCAGGUAGUGCUCGACGACGCUGAGGCCAAGCAAUUCACAAAAUCAGCUGUAAAAGAUUGGCUGGAUGACCUGAAAGAUGCUGUGUAUGAUGCAGAGGACCUGUUGGAUGAUAUCACCACUGAAACUCUACGCUGCAAAAUGGAGUCUGAUGCUCAAACCAGCGCAACUCAGGUACGUGACAUCACCUCUGCCUCGCUUAAUCCGUUUGGAGGGGGGAUCGAGUCCAGGGUAGAGGAGAUCACUGACAAACUAGAAUAUCUUGCACAAGAAAAAGAUGUUCUGGGAUUGAAAGAAGGCGUUGGAGAAAAAUUGUCACAAAGAUGGCCCGCGACUUCCUUGGUAGAUGAGUCUGGGGAGGUGUACGGAAGGGAAGGUAAUAUAAAGGAGAUAAUUGAAUAUUUGUUGUCCCAUAAUGCAAGUGGGAAUAAGAUAAGUGUGAUCGCCCUGGUGGGUAUGGGCGGUAUUGGAAAGACCACACUUGCUCAAUUGGUGUAUAAUGAUAGGAGAGUGGUGGAAUGUUUUGAUCUUAAAGCUUGGGUUUGUGUUUCCGAUGAAUUUGAUCUUGUCAGGAUAACGAAAACCAUUCUUAAGGAAAUCGAUUCUGGGGCUUCUGAAAAAUAUUCUGAUGAUAGUGAUUUGAAUCUGCUUCAACUUAAAGUGAAGGAGAGACUUAGUAAGAAGAAAUUCUUACUUGUCCUUGAUGAUGUUUGGAAUGAAAACUAUACUAAUUGGCAUAUGCUACAAACUCCAUUCACCGUUGGUCUAAAUGGAAGUAAGAUUAUUGUAACUACACGUAGUGAUAAGGUUGCAUCGAUCAUGCGUUCAGUUCAUAUUCAUCAUUUGGGACAGUUAUCCUUUGAGGACUGCUGGUCGCUAUUUGCAAAACAUGCAUUUGAAAAUGGAGAUUCUAGUCUACAUCCAGAACUAGAAGAAAUUGGCAAAGGGAUUGUAAAGAAGUGUAAAGGAUUGCCUUUGGCUGCAAAGACCCUAGGGGGUGCCUUAUACUCAGAGUUACGAGUAAAAGAAUGGGAAUUUGUAUUGAACAGCGAAACGUGGGAUUUACCAAAUGAUGAAAUUCUCCCCGCCUUAAGGUUAAGCUAUUCUUUUCUUCCUUCACACUUAAAGCGGUGUUUUGCAUAUUGCUCAAUUUUUCCUAAGGACUACGAAUUUGAAAAGGAAAAUUUGAUUCUAUUGUGGAUGGCAGAAGGCUUUUUGCAACAAUUUGAAAGCAAGAAAACAAUGGAAGAGGUGGGUGAUGGGUACUUUUAUGACCUAUUAUCAAGGUCAUUUUUUCAGAAGUCCAAUAGUCACAAAUCAUAUUUUGUAAUGCAUGAUCUCAUUAACGACUUGGCUCAACUUGUUUCUGGAAAAUUUUGUGUUCAGUUGAAGGAUGGUAAAAUGAAUGGAAUUCUUGAAAAGCUCCGCCAUUUAUCAUAUUUUAGAAGUGAAUAUGACCAAUUUGAGAGAUUUGAGACCCUAAAUGAAGUUAAUGGUCUUCGUACCUUCUUUCCUUUGAAUUUGAGAACUUGGCCUCGGGAAGAUAAGGUUUCAAAGAUAAGAUAUCCAAGUAGUCAUAGGUAUGGUUUAGAGUUUCGCUUGAGUACUAGAGUUUGGAAUGAUUUGUUGAUGAAAGUUCAAUAUUUACGAGUGUUGUCAUUAUGUUACUAUCAGAUAACGGAUUUGUCUAAUUCAAUUAGUAAUUUGAAACAUUUGCGCUAUUUAGACCUUACCUACGCACUCAUCAAAAGGCUACCGGAGUCGGUUUGUAGUUUGUAUAAUUUACAAACAUUGAUAUUAUACAAUUGUAAAUGUCUUGUUGAAUUGCCUAAAAUGAUGUGCAAAAUGAUUAGCUUACGUCAUCUUGAUAUCAGGCAUAGCAAAGUGAAAGAGAUGCCAAGUCACAUGGGUCAAUUAAAAAGUUUACAAAAAUUGAGUAACUAUAUAGUGGGCAAGCAAAGUGGGACAAGGGUUGGAGAGUUGAGGAAGCUUUCCCACAUUGGUGGGAGUCUUGUCAUUCAAGAGCUGCAGAAUGUGGUUGAUGCUAAGGAUGCCUCAGAGGCCAAUUUGGUAGGCAAGAAAUAUCUGGAUGAGUUACAGUUGGAAUGGAAUCGUGGAAGUCAUUUUGAACAAAAUGGAGCAGACAUAGUGCUCAACAACUUACAACCUCAUUCAAACUUAAAGAGACUUACUAUUUAUAGUUAUGGUGGCUCAAGAUUUCCAGAUUGGUUAGGUCCUUCAAUUCUGAAUGUGGUGUCGCUACGUCUCUGGAAUUGUAAGAAUGUGUCAACCUUCCCACCGCUUGGGCAGCUACCCUCUCUUAAACAUUUAUAUAUAUUGGGGUUGAGGGAGAUAGAAAGGGUGGGCGUUGAGUUUUAUGGCACUGAUCCCUCCUUUGUAUCCCUAAAGGCUCUAUCAUUUGAGGGUAUGCCAAAAUGGAAGGAAUGGUUGUGCAUGGGAGGCCAAGGUGGAGAAUUCCCUCGUCUCAAGGAGCUUUAUAUAGAGGAUUGUCCCAAGCUAAUUGGGGACUUACCAACCGAUCUGCUUUUCUUGACCACACUACGGAUUGAAAAAUGUGAGCAGCUUGUGGCUCCACUUCCAAGGGUUCCAGCCAUCCUUCGAUUGACAACGCGCAUCCGUGACAUCUCACAGUGGAAGGAACUACCACCACUACUGCAGAAUCUCUCAAUUCAAAAUUCCGAAUCUCUACUGGAGGAGGGAAUGUUGCAAAGUAAUACUUGUCUUCGAGAGUUGAGAAUCAGAAAUUGUUCUUUUUCGAGACCCUUGUGCAGAGUUUGUUUGCCCAUUACAUUGAAAUCAUUAUAUAUAGAGGAGUGUAAGAAACUAGAGUUUCUCCUACCUGAGUUCUUAAAAUGUCACCACCCUUCCCUUGCCUAUUUGUCUAUAUUCAGUGGUACUUGCAAUUCUCUCUCAUCCUUCCCACUCGGCAACUUCCCAAGUUUGACUCACCUCAUUAUCAGCGAUCUCAAGGGGCUUGAAUCCCUCUCCAUUUCAAUUUCAGAGGGCGAUGUUACAGCUUUGCAUGGGUUGCACAUCAUCAGGUGCCCUAAUCUUGUGUCUAUUGAAUUGCCAGCUCUCGACUUCUCACGAUAUCACAUUCUCAAUUGCAAGAAUCUCAAGUGGCUGCUGCACAACGCUACAUGCUUUCAGUCAUUAACAAUAAAAGGUUGUCCUGAAUUGAUAUUCCCAAUACAAGGUCUGCAAGGACUGUCCUCUCUUACCUCUCUCGAAAUCUCAGAUCUUCCAAAUCUCAUGUCCCUUGACUGUUUGGAGCUUCAACUGCUCACCUCUCUUGAAAAAUUAGAGAUCUGUGACUGCCCCAAGCUCCAAUUCUUGACAGAAGAGCAGCUGCCCACCAACCUUUCCGUUCUAACAAUCCAGAACUGCCCAUUGCUGAAAGAUCGGUGCAAGUUUUUGACAGGGGAAGAUUGGCAUCAUAUAGCUCACAUUCCACACAUUGUGAUCGAUGACCAAGUUAUGUAAUGAAGGUGGCAUUACACCAAUUUAUAGUCAGGUACUUGUUCUGUCCUAAAAAUGAUUGUCUCAGGAAAACUAACAUACUUAAAUACCAAUUUUGAAUUGAUCCAUUAUCAAUAGGAAAAAUAUGCUUUAAAUUUUCUAAUUAUUAUAACAAUUUCUUGCUUUCUUUCAGGUCAUCUGUGAUGCUUCACUCUGGCUCUGAUCAACAUAUCUUCAUAAGGAAUCUUUUAAGACUCCCUUGCUUAAUUAGGGCCUUGUCAAAUGCUUCAGAUUUCAUUUAGAGUGAAUUGAUGCUUAAAAGCCAAGCAGCUCUGCAGGUCUGAUUUGGUAAAUUGUGUUUCUUGUAUAAUUUUGUGGACCUUGAAUUUGUUUUCAGUGGCUAAUUUGCUGAAAUCUGAUGGCAGGCCUUUGAUCCUUGUUCUCUCAACAAACUCUAGCUGUCUAGUAAUGAUUUCCAAUGGGGCCAUUUUUUUGUUGUGAGUUCAGGUUCAUGACUCUUUUUGGACAACAGUAGCCAAGAUUUUUUGCACCCAAAGAAUCAUGAGUUGAUACUCUGCUGGAGGAACUACAGAAGCUCAACUCUGUUGGAGAGUGGAGGAUGCAGCAGGCUCUAUGAUUCCAGUUAGUGAGACAUUUCAAUUGCUUUGGUUUAACUUUCGAAGCUACAAACUACAAUACUCAUAAUCUCAUAUGCAUUAAUUUUCAGGUUCUUUGAGGUUGCAUCAGCAUUGAUAUCUUAGUUCUUCUCUAAAAACAACAGGUAUGUUUCUUUUAAUUCAUACUUUUCAUAAGCUGACACAUUGUGGAGUUCCAUCAUUUUCAACACAAGAUAAACCUAAUACUAAAUUCUAUUGAAGCUAAAACAAAAAUCUUACUGCCUGAGGUUCUGUCUUCCAUGAAUUUUAUUCACUAUGUUCAUAUGGCAUCUAAGCAACCUAGACGUUAACAUUUUCCUUGGUCUACAUAUUGUUUUCAUCUCUUUCAGCUUUGAUUAAUCUGCAGACAUUCGGUUUAGGCACCUCAAACUCAAAAUCUUCAGCUUCUGUCAUGCCAUCUCCUUCUCAUUUCAUGAUUGUCAUCCACCUUUGAGCUUUACUUUGUUAAUGGUAAGAUAGUCAUAAUAGUACUACAAUAGUUGAGCAUGGAUUGACAACAAUGCAUGCUUUCAGUCUUCAACAUCACACGGUUGUCCUGAAUUGAUAUUCCCAAUGCAGGGUCUUCCCUCCAACCUAAAUUCACUUACAAUAACAAACUGCAACAAACUUACAUCCCACAUGGACUGUGGCCUGCAAGGGCUGGCCUCUCUUACCUCUCUCAAAAUCUCAGGUCUUCCAAAUCUCAGGUCCCUGGACAGUUUGGGGCUUCAACUGCUCACCUCUCUCCAAAAAUUAGAGAUCCGUGACUGCCCCAAGCUCUAAUCCUUGACAGAAAAGCUGCUGCCCACCUCCCUUUCUGUUCCAACAAUCCAGAACUGCCCAUUGCUGAAAGGUCAGUGCAAGUUUUGGACAAGGGAAGAUUGGCAUCCUAUAGCACACAUUCCAAACAUUGUGAUCGAUGACCAAGUUUUGUAAUGAAGGUAGCAUUACACUAAUUUUUAGUCAAGUACUUGUUCUGUCCUUAUAGUAAUUUUCUCAGGAAAACUGAUAUGCUUAAAUAGCAAUUUUAAUUUGAUCCAUCAUAAAUGGGAUAAAAUAUGCUUUAAAUUUUCUAAUUAUUAUAAUAACUUCUUGCUUCUUUCAGGUUAUCAGUAAUUCUUCUCUCUUGUAAAUUGAUGCUUAAAAGCCAAGCAGCUCUGCAGGUCUGAUUUCGUAACUUGUUUUUCUUGUAUAAUUUUAUGGACCUUGAAUUCGUUUUCAUUGGCUAAUUCACUGAAACUCAUGGAAUGCCUCUGAUCCUAUUUUUCUCAAUAAAUUCGAGCUGUCUAGCAACAAUCCUUCCAAUGGGACCUUUUUUUAUCGAGUUCAAAGACUCUGUCUGGAAGAUUGUAGCAGAUAUUUUCUAGCAUCCAUAGACUCUCAUGAUUGAUAAUCUGCUUGAGGAACUGAGAAAGCUCAACUCUGUUAGAGAGUGGAGCAUGCAACAUGCUCUGUGAUUCCCAUUAGUAAGAUAUUUUAAUUGCUUUUGUUUAACUUUCUAAGCUACAAAUUACAAGGAUUUAUAAUUCCAUGUGCAUUAUUUUUCAGGUUCUCUGUGUUAAUAUUCUAGUUCUUCUCUAGAAAAAACAGAUAUGUUUCUUCUGUGUUAAUACUUUUCAUAAGAUGACACAUUGUGGAGUUCCAUCAUAUGCAUGACAAGAUAAACCCAAUUCUAAAAUCAACUCAGCCUAAAACACAUUGUGGAGUUCCAUAUGGCAUCUUAGCGCCGUAAAUGUUAACAUUUUCCUUAGUGUAAUCAUUGUUUUAGCUUCAAUUAAUCUGCAGAUGUUCAGUUUAGACAUCUCAAACACAAAACCUUCAGCUUCUGACAGGCCACCACUUCCUAGUCUCUGCUCAUCUCCUUCCCAUUUAACUAUUGUCAUCAACCUUUGAUUUUUUUACAUCGUUGAUGGUAAAAGAAUCAUAAUUGUACUACAUUUGUUGAGCAUGGAUGCUACCAUUUAAUUUCCAUAUUCAAGCUUUUCUUGUACUUACAAAUGAUAAUUUGAGCUCUGGAUUUUCUUCUUUUAAAUUUGUGAUUCUGAGGCAGAUGCUUGGAGAAGAGAGAAGUCAAACCAUAUUCAAAGUCAUAGCAGUGCAGAGUAUGGUUUUGUUCCACCAAGUUCAGGU
rnacentral:lncRNA from 1 species